rnacentral:lncRNA from 1 species
NNNNNNNNNNNNNNNNNNNNNNNNNNNNNNNNNNNNNNNNNNNNNNNNNNNNNNNCUUCUACAUAAUCCAUAUCGUGGGCACCUACACCUAAAGGUACACCUACUUCUUCCUCAAAAGGUUGACUAAGCGGUGCCGGAGGCACACAGUUAUAUCUACUACUUGAAGUACCUCUACCGUUAGUAAUUUAUUUUUUACUACCACUACCAUCUCCGGGACAAAAAAUUUUAAUACUUUAGUAGCGAGGUUUCUUAAUUUAUCCAUAAUAUAAAUUAAACUAAAAAUAUCAAAAUAAACAAAUAUAAUAAAAUUAAAUAUUCAACAAUUAAUACACUAAAUAAAAAUUAAACGUAAGAGAUGGAACGACAAUAUCAAAUUUUGAAAGUAUAUCCGAAGGUUGCGACUUUAGAAACUUCCACUCACACUUUGUAAUCGCAAAAUUAAAGUGAGCACUUUAGGGAAUAUAUAGAAUAGUUGAGAAUUGGGAUUUGAGAAAGAAUGAGAUUUGAGAGAAUGAAAAAUUGAGUGGGAAAUGAUUUGAAAGUGUAGGGUAUUUAUAGGAAAUUUUUUGAGUUUAAAAAAAUAUUUUAAUUGAAAAAAAAUUAAUUAAAAAUGGUCAAUUAGCCGUUUUUUAGUUCCCAAGCGGUAAUAUAGCCGUUGGGCCCAACAGGCAAAAAACUGAUUUUUUUUUUUUUUUUAAAAAAAACAACCGGUCCGGUUAACCGACGGACUUGAACUGGGCCUGAUUCGGGCCGGAUUAACUGGACCCAAAAUUAAAAAUAAUUCGGCCCGGGAUCCUGUACCCUACAGCCCGUAGGCUGACCGGGCCUGUUUCCCAAGUGGCCAAGUCGGGCCGGAUCAACCCGGCCCGUUUGACACCCUUAUCUAAAAUUGAUAUCUGACAUUAGUUAUUCUUUAUCGUUAAUACAAAACACAUACAUAAUGCAUGACACUAAGGUUUGCUAGCCAUUUCAUAACCAAUGUUCUCUCGCUAAUUUGGAUUACUGAUUCAUUGGUUAAAGGUGGAUCAUUGUUAACUCGUUUAAACACCUACCUAAUUAUCCUCAUCAAUGUGUCAAUCCACUCCAUCGUAGUUCUAAUUUGUACUAAUGUUCUUUGAUGGUGUUGUGUCCACUAGGCCACUGCCCAUUCUCAUAUAUAUGUGGGUCCUUCUAAGCUCACGUGCUAUUCUACAAAUCAAAUUAUUUCCACUAUAAAACACCCCCUCCUACCUCUAAAAUGCACAUAACAUUUUUUCUCAUUGAGACUUGAGGGACUCAACACGAGCCUUUAGCUAAAAACCUUAGCUAAAGACGGCCCCAAAAAACAAGACAUUAUUCACAAUGGCAACACCUAACUUUGAAUCGAGCCGAGCCCGAGCCGUGUGGCGGACUUGCCUCCUAUCAGCCCUUCGAACCGCCUUGGCUUGCACCAUAGUUGGUGUUGCAACCCUUUUCGGCCCACAAUAUAUCAAGAAGCAGAUAGCAUUACCAGCUUUUUCAUAUGUUACUGUUAUUCUUGUAGUUACUGAUGCAACUUUAGGUGAUACAUUUCGUGGUUGCUGGCUUGCAUUUUACGCCACCAUUCAGGGAGUUUGUCCCGCUAUCCUCAGCCUUUGGUUAAUCGGCCCAGCCCGGCUCACGGCAGGCACCACAGCUAUCGCGGUGGCUAUAAGCGCCUUCGUGGUGGUUCUACCUGAUUAUACUCACUUGAUAGCAAAGCGCAUCGCGCUAGGCCAAAUUGUUCUUGUUUAUGCCAUAGCAUAUAUUAAUGGUGGCCUAACGGAACCUGUUAUGCAUCCUGUUCAUGUUGCUGCUAGUACUGGGCUAGGAAUUGUGGCUUGUGUUUUGGCCUUGAUUUUUCCCUACCCAAGCCUGGCUUGCUGUGAGGUGAGAAUUAAUUCUUUGAUAAACCUUAAUUUCUCGUGCAUGGUUUGUUUGAAAAUAAAAUAGUAAUGCUUCAUCAAGUUGGUACACUUUAAUUAAGUACCACCUUUUUGUUAUAACAUGCAUUUCAUGGUGUAACGCAUUAUAGUACUCCUCCCAUUUUCAAACAUUACGCAUGCACCUUUCCUACUAAACUGGUGCAUGUCUGUGUAUAUGUAUAAUUGUAUUUAUAGUUGUGGACCUUUGACUAUUCCACUAGUAACCUGCUAUCUCUCACCGGGCACAUAACGAGUAAUUUUGUUUAUCAAAGCGUCAAAGCGUCGACAAAUAAGAAAGAAAAUCACACCUAGCAUGCAUAUAGUUUUGUCUCAGUUUGAAUCCUGGUCUCUUAUAUGGCAUAUAUAUAAGUUUCUCACAUCCUGAAUAAGUUUAACAUAACCCAUGCAACUCGGACCCUCACAUAAUUAGAAUUUUUUAACGAUAAUAACUAGAGGAUGUAGAAUAGUUUCAACUGGUAAUGAUUUGAAUAUUUAACAAGAUUGUUACUAUAUUAUUUUCAGGUGAAAAAUAAUUGCAAGCUCUUUGCUGAAAAUGCUUCCGAGAGGUUUAACUUGUUUGUGAAGGCAUUUUCUGCUGAAGACAACACUUGUGCACUUGCUUUCAUUUCUCAAGCCAAAUCCUUAGUCAAAACAGGAUCCAAACUUCUCCAGGGCAUUAAAACCAAACAAGUAAGUCCCAUAAAAUAUUGACAUGUUAUUUAGUACUCUAUGAAACAUUUAACUUCUAUACACUGACACUAACUGUGUAAAUUCUUUUACACUAUCAAGUCGCCUAAAGUUACAUGUAACGGUCCAUAAUAAGUGAAAUUAAUAGCAUGAAAAAUAAGAUAAGCAACUUACUAUGACAUGUUUAAAACACUGACUAUAAAUGCAUAUAAGUUGAUUCCAUGACUAUAGUUAUUUCUCUUAUAUUUGGUGAAUACUUUCCUAAUAUCCAUUUUGCUGGUAUAAACUAUACAGGAAAGCAUGAAGUGGGAAAGAUUUCCAUUCAAGUUUCUAAGACCAUAUGGAGAGAACCCUGGGAGCAGAUUUCAAGAUCUUCAAACACCUUUAAGAGGGAUGGAAAUUGCCUUGGAUAAUUAUUCUCCUCCAUUUCCUGUUGGAAUUCUUAACUUAGAGCUAAAAUCUGGUGUAGAAAUGUUAGGUGAACGCAUUUUAGAGCAAAUCAAGAACAUGUCCCUUGACAAGUCAACAACUGUGCCAGAGUCAAAUCCAGAAAAUACUCAAAAGUUCUUCCAAACACUUCAUACAAUUCAGCCAACAAAAAAAGACCUUCCCUCUUUAUUCUUUUUAUUUUGCUUGAACCUACUAUUAAACAAACCAAAUGCCAAUUCAAUACCCAAAGAAGUGUCCACUAAUCCCAAGCAACAAGAUCAAGAAGGAUUCUUGAAAAGAACAUGGACCAAUUACUUGUCCGUUACCAAAAAUAACAAAAGGUUUAUGGCAGCUUUCAAAUGCUCACUUUCAUUAGGCCUUUCUAUAUAUUUUGGAUCAAUCUAUAGUAAGGGAAAUGGAUUUUGGGCAGGGCUUCCAGUUGCUAUUAGUCUAGCAGGAUCAAGAGAAGCAACGUUCAAAGUCGCGAAUGUUAAGGCACAAGGGACAGUAUUGGGAACAAUAUAUGGUAUUAUAGGAUGUUUUGUCUUCGAAAAAUAUGUGAAAAUUAGAUUCUUGUCUCUUCUACCAUGGUUCAUUAUCAGCAACUUUUUGAGACAAAGCACAAUGUAUGGCCAAGCUGGCGGGAUUUCAGCAGUUAUUGGGGCAGUACUAAUUCUUGGUAGAAAAGGUUUUGGUCCACCUAGUGAAUUUGCCAUAGCAAGAAUAACUGAGACUUUUAUUGGAUUGUCAUGUUCCAUCAUGGUGGAAAUUUUGUUACACCCCACAAGAGCUUCUACAUUAGCAAAGUUGCAACUUUCCAAGAACUUUGAAAUCUUGCAUGAUUGCAUUGGGUCAAUAAGUUUUGGAUCAUUGGGAAAUUUAGUUGAGAGCAAAAAUAAACUAUUAUCCCAUGUUAAUGAGAUGGGAAAAUUUAUUGUGGAAGCAGAGGCAGAGCCCAAUUUUUGGUUUGUGCCAUUUCAUGGAGUUUGUUAUACUAAGCUAAUGGGAUCAUUAUCAAAAAUGGUGGAGUAUUUACAUUUUGGGUCACAAGCUUUUAUGUUACUUGAACAAGAAUCAGGAGGAAUUGACAAUUUUGUAAACAAGUUAGAUGGUGAUAUCAAGCUUUUCAAAGAUUUUAUUGGCUCUUCAAUGAAAUGUUUUGAGGAGGUCAGUUUGGUCAAAUCACUAGCAAUACUUGACAAGGAAUUUGAGAAGAAGAAACUUUCAGUUGAUGUUGAGUUAGGAACAUCACCAAGUAGUUAUGACAAUAUAAUAAGGUAUGCAAGUGAAGAGGAGAUUGAUGAAAACUUCAGGUCUUAUUUUCAACAUUCAAAAGAGUUUGUGGACCAAAUUGUCGAUGGUGAGGAGUUAACGGGCCAAAUUGUAUUAAGUUUGAGUGCAUUGGCUUUUUGCAUGGAUGGACUUGUGAAGGAAACUAAAGAGAUUGAGAAGGCAAUAAAAGAACUUGUACAGUGGGAAAAUCCUUCAAGCCAUGUUAAUUUGCAUGACAUUUCUUGUAAAGUACGAGCUUUAGCAAAUAUUGUAGCAAAUUAGUGAAAGAUAAUACACUAAUGAUACUUGAAGAUAUCGCAUUUUGUAAUUAUCAAUUGUGAAAAUAAUUGACUCUACUAUUUAUAUGUGGAUACAUAUCUCCAUAUAUGCCAUCUUUACAUGCAUAAUUCUUGUUUGGAAUAAUGAAUGAAAAUAUAUCAAAUUUGUCUUGUAACACUUUCUUUGUGGUUUACGAUAUAUUGUACUCACCUUAUUAUAAUUUUCUUUGGAAUAAUCCUUUUAACCUAAUUAUUGAAUUAAUAUAAAAUGUAAUUUAAUUAAUUUAUCUUUACCAUAUAUUUUAUACUUUCUUAUUCAAUUAAUUUUAUAAACAUCUUUUUUUCAAAAAAAAAAAAAAAAAAGAGGAAAAAAGUCAUCUUUUAAGUAUCAAAAACAUGGUGCAGAAGCUGUGGAUUUACCACCUGCAAAUUAAGAUACCCAUGUUUGCUUGUAAUAUACCAAUUCAGAUACAUAUUUGCACCUACUAAAAAUUAUUGACUUUAAUAGAUAAAUAGUUAUAGCUAAAUGAUCAUAUAAGUUCUUCAUUCAUGUCUUCCAUAAAUCUUUGGCCAAUUAGCCGCAAUCAUCAAACAGUAAACAAGGUAUUAUUAUAGAAUAUAAUUAUUUCACUAAUUAUUACAAUCUUUUUCUCGUAAUACCUUUCACUAAUUAUUUCAAACAUGUACCCAAACUAUUUCAACAAUGGUAUCCAAACUAUUUCGGUGAUGGCAUCCAAAUUAUUUUAGAAUUAAACUAUAAAACAGAAUCUUCUAGACUUUUUAGUACUUUAUGAAGCUAAAUUUCAAGGCUAAAUAUAUUAAUGAAAUAAAUCUUUGCUUUCGGGAGGAUUUGGCCUUUGGGAUGUGGUUGGGGGAGAUAUAUAGAUGUGUAAUAUGUGUUCAUUAUGCAAUGUCUAGUUAAAAAGCACUGAGUGGUAUCUAAGCAGCUAACUUUGAAAAAUAGUUUUAAGUGGCUGCAUAUGGGUCCUCCCUCUAGGCAUGCAGCCAUCAAACUUUUUCAAUUGAAGACAAAGUGCAAAGUACAUUUCAAAUUGUACGUUUUGGCGUGGUGCAUGUUAUAACUCUAUCAUGCCAGUUAUUACAAUUCACAUAUGAGUUAAUAUAAAAAUAAAUUACAACUAAUUUAAAUUUUCUUCUGGUUCAUGAAUAGUACUGAAAAGCAUAUAUACAUCAAUCUCUUCUUAACCAGAAAAAAAGAAGAGCAUAUAUACAUCAUAUACUAAACGAUAUUAAAAGGUAAUUAAAGCCAUCCUGUAUAUAUUGUCCACAAUAUAUUUGGUGACUGAGUAUAAUAAAUGAUCAUACCCAUCCCCUACCCCCACCCCACCCCAGAAAAAAAGUCAGUUCGAUACAUAAUUUGUUUUUUUAUUCUUUCCGCAUUCACAUAAAACCUAGGGGGAAAAGAAUGACAUUAUAAUACUUUGACGUAAGUAUCAAUUACUGAUUUCAUGACUCAACAUUCGCGACCUAUAUGUACAUAGUUUGCUGUUUCCUUUUGUUAAUCCCGGCUCAUCAAACUAUCAAAAGCUAAAAGCACACUACUGUAAAAACAAAUUAGUGGAUUAAGCACAUAAACCGAAAGGUCAAAAGUAAGUCAAAUUCGAAUCAUGUUAUUACAUUCCGUCUGUUUAUCACAGCUGUGAUGAAUUAACUCUCUAUUUGAAACUAAUUAGUAGUAUUUAAAAGUUCAUAGGCAAAAGAGCAAAGUUUGCUCUUUUUGUUUCUUGUCUUACCAACUAGGAAACUUCUCUUAGCAUUAUUCUAUCCGACAAAAUAUAAUGGUUUAUAUAACCUUUGUAAGGUUUUAUACGAAGUCAAGAUUGCGCACCUUAAGAAAUCCAAACUUUUUCUUGUUUAUCUGAAAAAAAAAAAAUUACUACUAAAGUAUAGAGUAUGGCUUUUGCUAGGCGCCGCAUAGCUAAAAACUGAAAUAAAUUAACUAUGACGGCGACUAAAGUUAUACUACUAUAAGCUUUUCUGAUAGGCCUGUGAAGGAAAGGGAAAUCAUAGGAACAGGAACAUAUACUAUAACUUUUGGAAGCUAGCAAUAAAAAUAAGUUAUAUAGUAAACACUGAAAUUGGGUUGAUGAAAGCCUAUAGGAGAAAAAUGUAAUUAAUGUGUAAAUAUUACAUACUGAUUAUACAGUAAUUAUACAUUGCAUACUUGCUUUACACACUGAUUAUACAGUAAUUAUACAUUGCAUACUUGCUAAAUUUUACUCCCUCCAUUCAUUAAUAGUUUUCUACCAUUGACUUAACACAGAGGUUAAGAAAAAAUACAUAUAUAUGUGUGUGUAAUUUUAUCAUAUACCCUAUGAAUAUAAUAAAUUUAAUAUUUUGAGAAAUACUUUUAUAAUGAAUCGUAUUUAAUAUUAAGAGUAAACUGAAUAGAAAUGGAUAAAUUAUUCAUUAUUUUUCAAAUUGAACAUUUGAUUUUCCGCGGAAAUUCAUGGAAUUCCGGCAACAACGAUGGACCGGCGAAGAACCAACAGUCCUAUUCUCCUCUUCGACGGAAUUUCAUAAGUUGCACGUUGCUGGUCCGUCACUGUUGUCGAAAUUUCAUGGAUCUCGUCGAAAAAUCUAUGAAUCUGGUAGUAGGUCUCUAGUCGUGUCUCUUACUCAGCUAAUGCGCAUUCGUAUAUCUCAACCUUAGAUACACUAUUCUGGAUAUAUAAUCCUAGAUACACAAUCUCAAAUACAUGCAACCCCUAAAAUACAUGCAACCUCAAUAGUUUUUAUAACUUAAUUCAAAAGUUAAGGGAACUUUUAUAAAUAGCCCCUUUGGCUAUUUCUGUUACUUUUCCUUAUUUGUUAUGAACUUUACUGGACUGCUUGUAGAGAUACACGGCUAGUAUAAAGUCAAAAAGAAAAAGAAAUGUCAAAAUCCCCCAAAAGGUAAUACUAUUAUGGCGUCAUUUGGUCAUGAAAGUAAUAAUUUUUCAAAAUUGGUGUUGGAGUUGAAGUUAGAAUUGGUGUUGUGUUUGAUUAUGAAUCUAAAUUGAAGUUGUUUUUGAAAUUUGGUGAGAAAAAUAAGAGUGAGAAAAGUUUUCAUAAAGUAAAAUAAUUUUUAUGGUCAAACACCAUUAUUUUUACUUUUUUUAUUAAAUUGAAAUAAUUUUGAGAUAAUAAUUAUAAAAAUACCUGAAGUUUGACCGGAUUUUCAGUUGAGCAUACUGAACUUUGCGGGGUCCUAUUACCCCCUAGACUUUUUUUAUCGUAUUUUAAUGACAUAUAUCUGUCCACUUGGGCACGUGUAAAUAUGAGGUUGGCGCGUGUAUUACACGCGCCUAUACACAUGUAAAAACAAGAUUGACGCGUAUAUUAUACCACCAACCGUCGAAUCUAGGUAUUGAGCUUCGGGGAAAAAUUAAAUUCACUUUAAAAAGGACCACCGCAAAGUUCAGUAUGCUCAACUGAAAAUUCAAUCAAAGUUCAGAUAUUUUUGUGAGUAUUAUCCCAAUAAUUUUUUGAAGAAAGUGAAAAAAUCUUCAUGUCAAACGUCUACUAAAACUGGCUGAUAUAUUGUUCAAGGUCCAAGAACUACCCUCCCUAAUUGACGUUCAGAAUGAAAGCCAGAUGAAAAAUGGAGUGGAAAAAAGUUAAUUGUGGCUGCUGGGAUUCGAGCCCAGGUCUCCACGGCCACAACGUGGAAUUCUGACCACUAAACUACAGCCACUUUGUGUAGCACGAAACAAAUAUAUAAUUUAUAUUCAAAGAGGAAAGAACAUAGUUCUCUGACUAACGAAAUGCUGAUAUAGUAGGUUAUCUAACAACAAACAACUUGAGAUUUUGAUUUUGCUAUGAAGAUACUACAUUUUUAUUUUAGUUGUGAAUCAUCCUUUCUAUCAUGUUUUGGUUAUGCUUCUUCAGAGUCUAAGGUUAAUUGGAAAUAAUUUCUCUAUUGGGGGUAAAUUUGUAUACAUCUUACUUUUUCAUACCCUACUUGUAACUUUCGAUUAUAUAAGAUGUUUCGAUUAAAGUGCAAAACGAUAAGGAAAAUGUACUUAAAUCAAAGAACUGCAUACAGGUUUUCCAGUGUCAUCCGCACGUAGACAAAUUCCAAAUAUAAAUAGCUAAACAAUGAGUUUCUCAUAAUUUCAAGUUACUAAAACUUCCUUUAUGUCAAUGUUAUGAACCAAUUAUCCCACGUCCCACAUUGGGAAAAUAAAGAAAUGCUAAAGGAAUUAUAAGUCAAAUGGAUUCUUCCACCUAUUAGACUAGUCUUUUAGGUUGGGCUCUUCCAUUUGAUUUAUAACAUUGGUGCUUUCAUUGAGAGUCUCACGCGUUGGGCCGUGACUCGGAGUGGUGGCCUGGACCCAAGAGGGGGUGUCAGCCGUGACCAACGAGGCAAAGCCGUGACCAACGAGGAUCGAUCCACGUGUGGGGAGCCGCGCGUUGGGCCAUGACUCGUAGUGGUGGCCAGGACCCAAAAGGGGUGUCAGCCGUGACCAACGAGGAUAGAUCCACGCGUGGAGGCCUCGACUCGGAGUGGUGGCCUGUGCGUCAGGAGUGGUGGCCUAGACCUAAGAGGGGUGUCAGCCGUGACCAACUGGGCUCAGUAGUGACCAACGAGGUCAUUGGUUCUCAAGCGGAGGAGUGGUGGCCUAGACCUAAGAGGGGUGUCAGCCGUGACCAACUGGGCUCAGUAGUGACCAACGAGGUCAUUGGUUCUCAAGCGGAGACGAUUGUUAUGAACCAAUUGGCCCACAUUGAAAAAAUAGAGAAAUGCUAAGGGAAUUAUAAGUCAAAUGGGUUCUCCCGCCUAUUAGACUAGUCUUUUGGGUUGGGCUCUCCCGUUUGAUUUAUAAAAAUCAAUCUCUAGUUCUACGUACUUUGUGACAUUACAUUGUUGAGUUGAUAGGAAGCUACUGGCUAAGACUGCGUUUUUUUUUUAAGAUUCAGACAUCUGAAUCUGAAUGCACAUUUGAAUGAUUAAAAUGUUAUCUCUAGAUCUGAAAAUUGAAUGAUUAAAAUUGUUUGUUUUUCAACAUCUGAAUGUAUAAAAAAAAAUUAUUUGUAUAUAUCAUAAAAUAAAAAAUGCAAUUCAAAUAAAUAACUAAUUAUAUAUAAGGAAAGUAUGUAAUUUAAUAUAACAAAAUUAUUAUUUGAUUGGAAAAAAAAUAUUUAUGUUUGUUAGUAAUAGUGGAGAUGGUUUAUAAUGGUGGUUGCGGUGACAAUAACUGAUGUCAGUGAUUGGUAAUGUUAGUGGUGAUGGUUGGUAUUUUAGUGACUGUUAUGAUAGUAGCGGUUGAUAGUGGUGAUGGUGGUUGUGAUGUGACGUUGCUUGAUGUUAAUAGUUGGAGGUGUUGAUUGUGAUGACUGAAAAAUGAAUGAAUGAUGGUUAACGAUAUGUUGGUGCUAGUUGGAGAUAUGUUAGUUGUGAUGGUGGAAAUGGUUGUUAGUAGAGAUAAAAUGCGGCGAUGGUAGUGAUUGAAGUGAUGGUAGAAGUGGCGUUACUAGUGACAAUGGUGCUGGCCGCCGAAGAAUGUAUGAAGGUUGUGAUGUAUUAUUGGUAGUUAGCGGUGGUGCUAGUUGUGAUAGAUGAGUUGGUCGAUAGUAGGGAUUGACCGGUAAUGGUUGAUGAUGGUGUUGUUGUUGACAGCGGUGAUGGUGUUAAAUAUAAUUAGAAUAAUAGAGGUAGCAGGUGUGGUAACGGUUGACAAUAGUGGUUGAUAGCGAUAUUUGUUUUCGAUGGUAGUUGUGAUGGUGGAGGUGGUUGGUGGUUGACAAUGAUAAUGGCGACAGAGGUGGUGACUGAUGAUUAUGAAAAGAGUGACGGUGAAUAUUAUCCAACACCAUAAUACUUUUUCAGACCUAUUAAGAUUUGAUUCUAAAUAUGAAUGAUUAAGAUUUAUUCAGACCUAUUAAGAACUAAAAUCUUAAUAAAAAACGAAUGCAUUUAAUGGUCUGAAGUAUGAGCCAUUCAGAUUCAGACCUCCAUUAAGUGCAAACAUAUGAGCCCUAAGUCCAUCAAGUUCACCCUUGACAUUAGAAAAUAGAUAAUCAAAUUUGUAGAAUUAUGCUGAAAUUGUAAAAGAAACUAAAUAACUUGUAGAAAAAUUUUAGACUAUAGAGCUGAAAUUGUCAGCUGUUUGUUUAACUUCAUAAAGCAGAGACACAACAGAAACAAUGACAUCAAGACUCAAGGAGGCUAUUUGAGAAAAAUAGGUCCAUGACAUCCAUAAAGGCCAAUCCUCUCCUGUCCAUUAGGCCCAUUCCUUCUAAAGAAAGUUAAUGGAUAGGCUUAAUAUAUGGAAAAGGACACUAAUGGCCUGUUGGCCGAAAUAAAUUUCAUCUAAAUAAUCCAAGAAAUCGCAUGCGUUGAUGCAUGUUUUUCCUUUUCCUUAACUUUGUUAUUUUUUGAUUGGCCAAUGCUUUUUUUUUUUUUUGGGCCAUUACUUUAUUUAUUUUUCUUCUUUAUUUCAAAGAACAAUUUAUCUGUUUUAUUAAAAUUCUACCAAAAUAAAAAAAAUUAUAAAUUAUAAAAUUUGUAUUAUUAUUGUAUAGAAGAUUUUUCUUUUUCAAAUACAUAUUUUAAACCAAAUACAUAUAUACAUAUUUUAUACAAACAAUGAUACGACUUAUAUACAUAUUAUAACAUUAAUUGUGUAGGUUCUAUACACAUUUUAUACAAUAUUUAGCUAUAAUAAUUAUUUAGAUACAUAUUUUAUCCUACAUAUAUACAACUUCUAUACACAUCAUAUACAAAAACAUAUUUUAUACAAUAAAUAUAAACAUUCUAUGCAACAACUAUACAUUUUUUAUACACAUUUUUAUACGACCCUUAGUUGUAAUUAUUGUUCAAAUAUGUGUUUUAUAUAAUUAUUGUACAUUUUUAUAAAGACAUUCUAUACGAUUUCUAUAUAUAUUUUACAUAGAUAUGUGUUUUAUAUAACAAUACAAUUUCUAUACACAUCCUAUCUAGUUCUACACAUAUAUCUUAUAUAGGUACAUUUAUACAUAAUUAUACAGUUUUUAUAUAUUUGAAUUUAUUUUUAAAAAAUAAAGAAGAUUUUUAGCUUAAAAAAAUAAUAGUGAAUUUUUUAAAAAAAGAACUAUUUAAAAACAAGUCUGAGACCAAAAAAAAAAGAUGGAGGAGAAGAUAAUUCAGAGUAAAUAGUACAAUAGCAAAUCAGAGUUGAUGUGAUGGAGAAGGAAGGCUUUAAAAAAAACACAUAGAAAUCAACCUAAAAAAAUUAAAAAAAUAAAUAGAAAAUUUAGUUCUAAAAAUGAAAAAUGUAGAUCUUCAAAUGCAUAAAUAUGCAAGUAUGAAGUAAGAGAGAGAUCUUGUCAAAUCAAUUGUUAGAAAUUGAACCACACGUGUGUGUAAUACAAUUUUACAGUAAUAUGAUAAACAAUUGAAAAUAAAAAAAGAGAAAGCAAAAUCUAGAAAAAGGCCUUAGUGGGUGUUUGGCAUUGCUUAUAAGUUGGUCAAACCAAUUUAUAAGCACAUUUUGGCUUAAAAAAGUGUUUGAUAAAAAUUUUAAAUGCUUGAAAUAAGUUGAAUUUGGCUUUUUUUAAGCCAAAAUAUAGAAGCACCCACUUACCAGUUUUUUUUUUAACAACUUAUAAUUUAUUUUAGUUGACCAAGUAAAUUAUCUUUUUGUCCCUGGCAAUUAUACCUUAUUCCAAUUUUACCCUUACCUCUAUUUAACCUUUUCUACCUCCAUUCUCCAUUUUAUGCGCGCCGCUCCCUUCACCAUUUUUUCACCUUCUCCCUCUCUUCAAAAAGCUAAAUCUCAGCAUUUUCUUCAUUGGAGAAAGCUGAAAAAUCUAUCAGCUCUUCGUUGUAAGCUUCUUCUUUUUUUAUUGAAUUUGAAUCUAUGGUUUAUCGAUUUAAAAACAUAGCAUUGAUUCUGUUGUUGUUGUUGUUGUUUAGGAAUCUGAUGAGAUUUAUGUUGAUUGUUCGUUAUCGAUACGUUUCUUUACGUGGGUCGUUGUUACUUUUUUGCUGUUAGUUUGUGUGUUUAUCCACCCCCCAUCUGGUAUUAUCAAGUGCAUUUGCUAUCGAUUUAAAGAUUUGUUAUUUGUGGUUCAUGUGCAUUGGUUUUGUUGUUGUUGAGAUUUAUGUUGAUUUUUAGUUAUCGAUGUGUUUCUUUACGUGGGCUGUUAAUUUUUGCUCUCAAUUUGUGCUCCCCCAACUCUUAGUUGGUAUUAGCAGGUGCAUAGAAAUCGAUUGAACUACAUCGAUGAAAUGUAUGUUGAUUGUUCGUUAUUGAUGUGUUUCUUUACAUGGGUUGUUGUUAAUUUUUGUAUGAGAGGAGAAACUCGUUUAUUGACUGAUCCAGCACGCUUGAGACCACAUUUAAGUGGUGAAACCAAUCUUUUCCCUGUUUCAUUACUGAAUAUGUUAAUUAAGGUUAUCUUCUACAUACUGAGAACUUUAAAAAAAAAUUACACUAUCAACAAAUCACCUAAGCGAUAAUUACUAAUAAAAACCACAAAAACAAGUAUUAGUAACAUGAAAAUAAGGCCGAUUACCUCAUAUAGUAAGUCAACAGUUAUGAUAGGGAAAAAAUAUUUACUCUGUCUAUGUAUAUAAGUUAAAUUCGUGUUAAUUUACUUACGUCUUUUGACUGUAAGAAGUUUAAGAUGUACUUACCAACUUCAUUGGUGGAUGCAACUCUUGUAAAUGAGAAGUUGAGAGGAUUUGGAGAACCAUCUGUCCAUGAAAUCUUGGAAUGCUUUUUCCUGUCUCAAUUUUAAAAUGGUUACUGUUUUUUCCAUGAGAUCAGUUUCUCCUCUCAUGCGUUUUGUUGUGUUCAAUGAAUCUGUAUAAAACAAAAUGAUUAUAUUUUGGACUAAAGCAAGGUUGAAUGAUCUAUUGAUAAAUAAACUUCUAUAUAUGACAAAUUUUAAUAGGAAAAUAUUUCGUAGAAGACGACAUAUCUUUAGUUUAAUAGCAAAAGAUCUAAAGGUUGGCUUUACUUUCUUAAACUUUGUGACAAGUCAAAACUAGAUAAACAAAUUGAAAUGGAUUGAGUAAUAAUUAAGUUGUGGCUAUUGGCUAAUUUUGUGUUUGUGUUCCAAUGUGGUCAUUUCUCCAUAAUCAUGUAUUUGUUUUACCAUGUGCCAUUUCAGUUCUUUUUCAUUUCAGUUAGGCUGGGUAGUCUGUAGAUCUUUGUUUUGUCUUGCUCAACAUAGCUUUAAUUUUUACUUUACUAGUCUCUUGUCUUUUACCUUUUCAACUUUUAUCCCUAAAUUAGCUAAGUGUGGCAAUUGACAUUUAUAUUCCAUCUUCAGAUCAUUUAUAUUCCAUCAUGUCGAAUACUAGUUUGGUACGAAGUAAGGCUAAGUGGGACUAUAAUGCUCAUAUUGCUUUUAUUGAGGUGUGUGGAAGAGAAAUUAGAAAAGAAAAUAGACCGAACUCUCAUUUGAAUAAAGAUGAAUGGAAAAAUUUGGUUGAUGUGUUCUAUAGUAGAACUGGAAAAAACUAUACUAAAACACAGUUGAAAAAUAAGUGGGAUAACAUGAAAUAGGACUGGGCUUUUUUUAAGCAGUUGAUGAGAGAGAAUACAGGUUUAGGUUGGGAUGCCACAAAAAAUACAAUCAUUGCAGAUGACGAUUUGUGGAAGCAAAGAUUAAGGUACGACCUCACAUUAUUCUAUAUUUCUUUGUUAUUUCUCUCAUUAUUUGAUUUACUUAAGUAUUUUUUUUUUUGGGAAUUUUUUCGUUUCAGAUGGAUCAUCGGUAUAGGAGGUUUAGGAAUAUGGAUCUUUCUCUCAAACGUUAUCGUUAUGAUGAAUUAUUUUCGGAUAUUGUUGCUAUGGAAAAAAGAGCACGCACAGUCAAUAAAGAACAAAUUUUUGGAAUUGAAGAAGAUUUGAACAAAGAAAAAAUAAAUGAUUUUGAUGAUUUUGAGAAAGAACGCUUCAUUAAUCUCAAUGAUGAAGGAAGUGAUGAAAGUGAUGACCCAAAUGAUAUGAAUUCUCCUAUAUUUUCCAAACCAUCAUUAAAAGAGAACUUUCAACUGAUGUAUAGGAACUAGCAGUCGAGUAAAAAAGAGUAAGACAAUCUACUAGAGAGGAACUACACUCUUUAGUUGAAUUAAUGUCAAGCAAGAGUACUGCUACAUCUCAUGCGGUGGACGAUCCCACCAUUGAUAAGUGUAUGGACUUUUUGACAAGUUGUCCCAAAAUUGAUAUCCCGUCUGAAAUCUACAAUAAUGCAGUGAAUUUGUUUCUAAAGAAAGACGUCCGUCAAAUAUUUCUUAAGAUGACUAGUGAUGAAGCUCAAAAGUCUUGGUUGGCAUAUAACUAUCAGUUAUACCUUCUUAAUAAAUAGCGAACGAUGUAUUCAGUUUAUUGUAGUACUUUUGUUGUUUGAUGUUUGUUAGUAUGGUUGUACGCAUAAACUUAAAACACUAUGGUUGUAAAACCUUUUUAAAAUUAAGUUGACUUUAUUUGUAUUGUUGUAUGUGUGUGUGUUUUAUACAUAUGUGUUAGGAAAACCAGUUGAAAUUUUGAUGAUGAACACAGUGAAUGAAACAAGUUCCACAACAUGUUCCAUGCAACAUGUUCCACACAAGUUAAUCUACUACUAUCGAUUGAUUAGCAUGAAUAUCCUACAAGACCGACAGGAUGUUAGAGCAAAGUUAUUUAUAAGACAAGCUGAUAAAGAAGAAACAAGUUCAAAUUCAAAAGAGUGAAGGCAAUCCAAGUCAAGAUAGGAAGGACAUCAAGGCAGUCCAAUUCAAACUAGGAAACAAGGAAGGGCGGCAGAAAUUAAAAGACGGAAAAGGCAAUCUAAUUCAAUUAAGGAAAGGAGAUCAACUGAAGGUUUCAAUUAGGGUUGCUAUAAAUAUAAGGAAAAGAUCAAAGCAGUCUGUGCAUAAAAGAGAUAGUCAACAAUUAAGCAAUCAAGUUCGUCCAGUUGAAGAAGAAGAACCUAAUCUAUACGUCUUAAGUCGUAGAUCAGUUGUAAUAGGUUGGUUCUAUUAAUUGUAAUGAGUCAUAGUUCUUGUACUCAGUGAUCUAUAAACUGAGAUAGAAGUAUUUGUCUUCAAGUUGGGGAACUCGAAGAUUUGGGAACACUUAUCUUGGGUGAGAUUGGUGUUUUUGUAGUAAUAGGAAUUAGAAGUUUUAAUUCCUAAGUUAUAAGAAGACUUGUAAUUGUUUGAUUAUUGAGGCUCAAGAGUUUUUAGUGAAGUUGGGAUUAAAUCCUGUAGAGGUACAGGUCAUGGUUUUUUACACCUUUUUUGAGCCGGGUGUUUUCCACAUAAAAACACUGUGUUUAGCUUUCUCUUCUGUGAACUGCGUUUACUUACCUGUUCCACAGAUAAGCAAAUAGUAAAAUUGAGAAAUAGGUAGGUCUCAUAAUUUACAAGUGGUAUCAGAGCGGGUUCUCUUAAAUAAGGCUAGCACCUAAGAAAAGAUCAACAUAAUGAAUUUCGGACCUCCUACUGGUCACAGUGAAGGAAAGUCAACUACUAGACCUUCACUCUUUAAUGACACUCACUUUAUCUGGUGGAAAUCAAGGAUGGAGAUGUUCAAUCAAGGAGAAGACUAUGAGUUAUGGGACAGGAUCACUAAAGGUCCUACUAUUCCAAUGAAGUUAGUUGAUGGAAAACAAGUCAAAAAGGUGAGAAGUGAGUUUACCCCUAAUGACUUAUUGGCCUUGAAGAAAAACGCAAAGGCAAAAAAUAUCUUGGUUUGUGGCUUAGGACCAGCUGAAACAGGAUAUCAACCUGCACUAAUGCUAAACAGAUCUGGGAUGCACUGGUGAAUGCUUAUGAAGGCACUUCUCAAUUAAGAAAAUUCAGGAUUUCUCUCCUUUUUACUGAGUAUAAGGCUUUCAAGAUGAAGGAGAAGGAACCCCUGCAUGAGAUGAUGACAAGGUUUACCACCUUAAUCAAUGAACUUACUUCCCUGGGAAAAGUAAUUUCUAAGGAAGAACAAGUUGAGAAGGUAUUAAGAGUAUUACCUAAGUCAAAAUGGAAUGUUAAGGUAACAACAAUCAGGGAAGCAAACAAAGAUCUUGCUGGAAUGACCUUGGAUGAGUUAGUUGGAAACCUUAGAACUUAUGAGAUAGAAGUUGAUGGAAUGAAAGAACAAGCACAUCUUGAAAAAGUCUUGGCAUUAAAGGCUUCUGAUAGUGAUGAAAAAAUUGAGCUUGAUAAGGAGCAAGUUGCCUUCAUAACAAAAAACUUUAGCAAAUUCUUCAAGAAAAAAAAAGGAACAAGUGCUAAGAGACGAUCCAAUGACAAUCCAAAUGGUUGUUACAAGUGUGGCAAAACUGAUCAUUAGAUCAAAGACUGUCCAGUCUGGAAAAUAGAAUGGAGGAAGGAAAGGGCAAAGAAGGAAUCAAAAGAAAAGGCAAAAAGGAAAGAACAACAUGUAAUGAUAUCAGCUUGGAGAUCGAAUUCAGAUGAAGAUGAAGUUGAUGAAACUGCGUUUAUGGAUUUUGGAGAUUCAGACUUAGAUGAAGAAGAAAAUGAUUAUGAGGUAAGUAUACUUGAUCUUAAAGAAAAACUGCAACUGUUUUUAAAAUCAAAACUUGUUUCUUUAAUGAGUGCCCUGAUUGAUGAUUUCCAAGAAUUAACCUCUGACAGGGAUGAAUUGUUCAACAGUUUUGCAAGCCUAAAAUUUGAUCUCAUUGAUUUGAAGGCUUACACAGGAACUGUUGACAAAGAAAAUAGCUCACUUAAGAACCAGAUUACAGAACUAGAAAUUUCAAAUAAUGGUCUUAAAUCUGAAGUCCUUAAACUAACUUUAACUAAUAAUGGAAAAAACCCAUGAGUACAGAUCAAGAAAAUUCUGAACUUGAGGUAAUUAGAUACAAACACGAAUGCUAUAAUUUAACUGAAAAAAUGAACAAGCUGAAUCAAGAAGUUUCAACACUAAAACUUGAUCUUGAAAGGGCAAAUAGGUGGACAAAUUCCUCAAGAAUUAUUCAUAAGCUGGGUGAAAAAAGAUACAAUGAAACGACUGGAUUGAGAUUCCACAAAAAUUUUGAUGUAACCCAAGAUUUGUGCUAUUUCUGUGGUAACCUUGGACAUCCCACUACUGAAUGCCCAGUAGCUACAAAAAGCAGAUCCAAUAGUCAAAACCUGGCAAGGAGAGUAUCUCAGACCAAAAGGAAUAAUUCCAGUUCUGGUCAGAGAAACAGGUUGAACUGCAUGUUGCCCGCAUGGACUAAAAGAAAUUUGAUUCAUCUUUUCACUCAUAAAACAUGAUCCAAGUUAGUCUGGGUUCCUAAGUCUAACCAUUGAUUUCUUUUGCAGGAGAAAGUGAACGGAAGCAAAAAGACUAGUACUUAGAUAGUUCUUGCUCAAGACACAUGACUGGUGAUAAGAAAAAGUUCCUUUCACUCUCCAAAAUAGAUGGAGGAGGAGUUUCAUUUGGUGAUGGAAAAAGGGAAUCAUUACUGGAGUAGGAAAUAUUGGCUCAUUUGAAUCAAAAGCAUUGGAAGAUGUCUAUCUUGUUGAGGAACUAAAGCACAACCUGCUGAGUAUUUCACAAUUGUAUGACAAAGGUAAUAAAGUUAUUUUUACUGCUGCAGGGGUCAAAGUCAAAAGGAUGGACACCAAAAAAGUGGUGCUCACUGCAAACAGAUACAAAAAUGUAUACAAAGCCGAUAUUAUGAAAUUACCAGGAUCUGAGAUGACCUAUCUAAGUGCUAUAGAAAAUGAUCCCCUCUCUUGGAACAGAAGACUUGGUCAUGCAAGUCUAAAACAAUUAUACAUACUUUCUUCUAAAGAUAUGGUAUUGGGAUUGCCCAAAACCAAGUUUAAAAGGGAAAAGUUAUGCAGUGCAUGUGUAUGGGGAAAGUAGGUAAGAUCUUCGUUUAAGUCAAAAAACCAUGUUAGCAUUACCAAGUGUCUGACCUGGUGCAUAUGGACUUAUGUGGACCCAUGAGAGUUCAAAGAAGAGCGAAAAAAGGUAUGUUUUUGUUAUUAUUGAUGAUUAUUCUAGAUUCACAUGGACAUUGUUUCUAGCCUCUAAUAAAGAUGUCUUUGGUGCUUUUGAAAUCUUAAUUCAAAAAAUUGAAAACAAACUGGGCUCUUCUUUAGUUUCCAUAAGGUCUAACCAUGGUACAAAAUUUGAGAAUGGAAAGUUCUUAGAAUUUUGUUCAGCUAAUGGUGUAGAUCAUAACUUCUCAGCUCCCAAAACUCCACAACAAAAUGGAGUGGUAGAAAGGAAAAAUAAAACCUUGGAAGACAUGGCUAGAACAAUGAUGCUUGCAGCUAACAUUGCUCAAAACCUAUGGGCUGAGGCAAUGAGUACUGCUGCAUAUAUCAUAAAUAGAUGCAUGAUCAGGCCUAUGUUAGAUAAGACUCCCUAUGAAUUACUACGAGGAAGAAAGCCAAAUAUUUCUCACUUUAGAACUUUUGGUUGUAAAUAUUUUAUUCACAACAAUGGAAUGGAUAUUUUGGGAAAAUUUAAUGCUAAAAGUGAUGAGGGAAUCUUUCUAUGAUACUCAUUUAAUAGUAAAGCUUAUAGGGUUUUAAACAAACAAACUAACUGUCUUGAAGAAAGCAUGCAUGUAAUCUGUGAUGAAUCCUGUGUUAAGACUAACCUGCAGGAAAAAAGUGACACUGAGGAACAGGUAAUAUCACCUGGUUCAUCCACUGGAGCUAUCAAACAUGAAGACACCUUGAUAGGGGGAACUGAAGCUGAAGUCACAGUAGCAGGGGGAACUGAGCCUCAAAAUAGCUCCACUCAGAACAUCAACAGUAGUCCUGGAAGCUCACUAGGGUUGAUCCCAAAAGGAUACAAGUAUCAAGGAUCACAUCCUAUUGAGAAUGUACUUACUGAUAUUAUAUCUGGAAUUACCACAAGGUCUGGAUUGAGAAAUAUCUGUACCUUCAAGGCAUUUCUAUCAAAAAUUGAACUAAAGAAGGUAACUGAAGUAUUGCUUGAUGCUGACUGGAUUAUAGCCAUACAGGAAUAGUUGAAUCAGUUUGAGAGAAGCAAAGUCUGGCACUUAGUUCCUCUUCCAAAAAACAGAUCAGUAAUUGGGACUAAGUGGGUCUACAGAAACAAAGUUGAUGAGCAUGGAACAGUCAUAAGAAACAAGGCAAGAUUGGUGGUCCAGGGAUAUAAUCAGGAAGAAGAAAUUGACUUCGAUGAGACUUUUGCACCUAUAGCUAGACUUGAAGCUAUAAGACUACUUGUUGCCUUUGCUACCUACAUGGAGUUUAUCUUUUAUCAGAUAGAUGUGAAGAGUGCAUUCCUAAAUGACAUUGUCAAGGAGAAGGUGUAUGUUAAACAACCUCUAGGUUUUGAAAGCAAAGAAUUUCCUGAUUAUGUAUUCAUAUUGGACAAAGCCUUGUAUGGAUUGAAACAAACUCCAAGAGCUUGGUAUGAAAGAUUGUCAAAAUUCCUGUUGGAAAAUGGUCAUACCAUAGGUAAAAUUGACAACACUCUUUUCUUGAAAUCAAAUGGGAAGGACUUGUUGAUUGUGCAGAUAUAUGUGAAUGAUAUUAUUUUUGGCUCAACAAAUAUGAGUAUGACCCAUGAAUUUGCCAAACUCAUGAGUAGUGAAUUUGAGAUGAGCAUGAUGGGGGAGCUGAAUUAUUUCUUGGGCAUGCAAAUAAAGCAAUCAGCUUCUAGGACAAUGAUUCACCAACAGAAGUAUGCUAAAAAGCUUCUUAAAAGGUUCUCCAUGGAGGAAGCAAAAGAGAUCAGCACUCCUAUUGCCACUACCAUAAAAUUAGACUUAGAUGAAGCAGGAUCAGAUGUUGAGCAAAAAUUUUAUAGAGGAAUGAUUGGUUCAUUAUUAUAUCUCAUAGCAAGUAGGCCUGAUAUUGUGUUUAGUGUAGGACUGUGUGCUAGAUUCCAAGCAAAACCAAAAGAAUCCCAUUUAAAAUCUGUGAAAAGAAUUCUCAGAUACCUGAAAGGAACCACUGAUCUUGGAUUGUGGUACCCUAAAUGUAGCAACUUUAAUUUGGUGGGAUACUCAGAUGCUGAUUAUGCAGGUUACUUGGUGGACAGUAAAAGAACUACUGGCAUGGCACACUUUCUUGGAUCAUGUUUGAUUACAUGGUCCACUAGGAAGCAAAAUUCAGUAGCUUUGUCAAUUGCUGAAGCUGAAUAUGUUGCUAUUGGCUCUUGUUGUGCUCAAUUGCUAUGGAUUAAGCAACAACUUAAGGACUUUGGUAUUGAUAUAGGGUGUGUCCCAAUUUUUUUUUGAUAACACAAGUGCCAUAAACAUAGCCAAAAAUCCUGUUCAGCAUAAAAGAACUAAACAUAUUGAUAUCAGACAUCACUUUCUUAGAGACAAUAUUGAAAAAAGUCUUAUAUCAAUCAUGUUUUGUUCUUCUGAGGAACAAAUUGCUGGCAUCUUCACUAAGGCUUUGAGUAGAGAACAUUUUGAAACAAAUAAGUUAGCCUUGGGGAUGAUUAAACUUGCAUAAGUCUCCCUCAAUGCUUGAUCAGAAUAGGUUGUUUUAUAAGUGAAUGUUGAUUAAUUCAGUCUCACACAUUAAAAAGUGUAUCCUAAGUCCAAAAAUUAGAAUAUAUUGACUCAUGAUUAUGUUGAUUUUGUAGAAAAGCUGGAACACUGAGGCAAUUAUAAUCAAUUCUUUUAGGUAUGACUAAAGUUAUCUUCCAGUACCUUACUAAGAAAAGAGUUAUUUACAUAGUCCCUUCAGUUCCACUUAAACAGCCAAAAAUCAGGGGAUCUGCUCCAUUUUAAAAGUUGUUCCUUCCUUUUCCAUCAAUUCAGAUUUCUCAAUCAUUACUCCUCUUCCAUAUACAAUCCACUGCCUCUUCAACUUUCUCUAAAGGUUUUCUUUUAAAUAAUCCUUUUAAGUCUAUCUUAACUCUAUUCUCAAAAUCAAGAAAAAUAUCUUGUUCCAUUAUGGCCUCUCCUUCAUCCUCUUCAUCUUCAUCAUCUAGAAACCCUAUCAAAAACCUCAUAAAAUCUAUUAUCCUUCACCCAAACAUCACUUUACCUUCCAUCAUCCCUCCGAAAAUCUCCCAUGAAUUGACCAACUUCGCUAUAUUUCAUCAUCUCCAAAAUCCCUUCACCUUCUUCAACCUUCACCAAACCCCUUCUCCUUCCUCCAACCAUCCCACUCAACAUAGUUGAAAUUGAUGAAAACUCUAGUGACAGAGACGACCUUCCCAUAGCAAACUUAAUUCCCAGGAAAUCCAGAUCUCAACCACAAAGAAAACCCAUAUCUAUUUCUGUUGAUAACACAGUUCCUUGGAAACCCUCUCCAACUGUCUUUGCACUUCGAACUCCUCACACUAAAGGAAAGAAGAAGCAUGAAGAUGCUUUCUUGAUUGAAACACUUCAAGCAAGCAAAAAGAAACGGGUAACCAUUUCUGAUCCCUCACCUUCUCAUGCAUCGUUCCCUGAUAUUCUUUUUCGCUCAGUAAAAAAGAAUAAGACUAUUAUGGCUAAAACUACCAAAGUUUUUCCAUCUCACAAAAACUCUCCAAAAUCUACACCCAAGAAAUCCACCUCUAAGUCCACUCUAAAGGUCAAGGCUCCCACAUCUUCAAAAGCUUCACCUUUUAAGGCCUCUUCCAUAUCAAAGAAACAUGUCAGGAAACCCGUUCACUUUGAUUCUUCUGACUCUGAGUACUAUCUAGACACCACUGCUGAGUUGGACUCUGACUAUGAGGGUCCUGUACCAUCUUCUUAUCAAGAUACCCCUGAAGCUCAUAAUUUCUACUUCCAAAAAUGCCAAUUUGCUAGAGGGAGAGUUAUCAGUGGGUUUGGAGGAGCUGAUAUGCACACUUUGAUGAGAAAACUAGAGUUUCAAGGAUGGUUUUUUUAUGUUUCUUCAGGGAUAUAUUCAGAGGAAAUUUGGCAAACCUGAAGUCUAUGAGUUUUAUACAAAUGGGAUAGGUAUAGGUGAGUUGUUUUCUACUACUGUGAGAAAGGUUACUGUGAACCUUUACAUUACUGAUAUAGCUAGGAUUCUACAUAUUCUUUCUGGGGGUUGGCGUCACUAUAUCAAAGGCAGUUGGCCACCCUUGGACAACCUUACUUCUACUCUUGAAAUUUGUAGAAAGUUCUCUAGGAAUCCUCAUCUGAUUCAUCAUCGAAGGGUUUUUAAGUGAGAGAUGUCCCCCCUUCAUCAACUCUAUUUUGAUGUAGUACACAAGAUGAUCAUUCCUAGGAAGGAGAUAAGGAACGUGGCUAGUUUUUUAGAUCUCACUCUCAUGGAACUGUUAGAUACUGAAGUAAGAAUUAAUUUACCUAGACUUAUUCUGAAGCACAUGCAAAGGGUGCUCAUCAAGGAGAAAAAUGGGCAUGCACUUCCUUAUGAAUUCUGGCUUACCUCUAUCCUUGAGAAGUUUAGGGUACCUGUUCAAGUAUGGUCUUCACAGACUGUGAAAGAUAUCAUAAGAAGUAUGAAUCACAUGAUGCUACCUGGUUCCAUGAGGAAUGUGGAUAAUUCUAUGCAGAAACUAAGGAAUGCACACUAGCUGAUAAACAGGGUGAAGUUGAAGCUACACAGGCUACAUUGGAGGCAGCACAAGCCACUCAUGAAGAGGAAAGAGGAAUUCUUCAAGCUCAAAUUGAUUCCCUAACCUCACUACUAGAAAGAGAAAGAGCUGAAAAUACUGAUGUGAUUAGGAAACUCACCUCUCUAAUUCCCUCUUUUUCAUUCUUUUAUCUCUUGUUUCUGCUAUUCAAGACCAACUUUUUGUAUCUUUCCUCAAAUAACUUAUUUUCUAAUAGGGUGCUGCUGGUUGAUAUAAGUCAUAUCAUGAAUGAAAUGGUCUUACUUAUUUUUAUAUAUUUUGCUACUGCUUUAUCUUGCUGUACUCAUGUUCUGUUACUCUGAAUUUUGAUUGUCUUAGUGAUUGCCUCAAAGGCCAUGAAUUAUUAAACGGUUUUUCACUUGUUGAAUCAGUUUUUUGAUGAUGUCAAAAGGGCUAAGGAAUGCACACUAGCUGAUAAACAGGGUGAAGUUGAAGCUACACAGGCUACAUUGGAGGCAGCACAAGCCACUCAUGAAGAGGAAAGAGGAAUUCUUCAAGCUCAAAUUGAUUCCCUAACCUCACUACUAGAAAGAGAAAGAGCUGAAAAUACUGAUGUGAUUAGGAAACUCACCUCUCUAAUUCCCUCUUUUUCAUUCUUUUAUCUCUUGUUUCUGCUAUUCAAGACCAACUUUUUGUAUCUUUCCUCAAAUAACUUAUUUUCUAAUAGGGUGCUGCUGGUUGAUAUAAGUCAUAUCAUGAAUGAAAUGGUCUUACUUAUUUUUAUAUAUUUUGCUACUGCUUUAUCUUGCUGUACUCAUGUUCUGUUACUCUGAAUUUUGAUUGUCUUAGUGAUUGCCUCAAAGGCCAUGAAUUAUUAAACGGUUUUUCACUUGUUGAAUCAGUUUUUUGAUGAUGUCAAAAGGGGGAAGAAUAGACUAUGCAACACUUAUAACUCAAUGACUAACCAUGCUUCAUUCUGUAAUCUUCUAGUCAUAGUUCUUUACUGAGUAUGUCAGGAUUAAAGGGAUGCUGAAGUGCUGAAUUUACCAUCAUAAAAAAGGGAGAAUUUGUUAGGAAAACCAGUUGAAGUUUUGAUGAUGAACACAGUGAAUGAAAUAGGUUCCACAACAUGUUCCAUGCAACAUGUUCCACACAAGUGAAUCUACUACUAUCGAUUGAUUAGCAUGAAUAUCCUAUAAGGCGAACAGGAUGUUAGAGCAAAGCUAUUUACAAGCCAAGCUGAUAAAGAAGAAACAAGUUCAAAUUCAAAAGAGUGAAGGCAAUCCAAGUCAAGAUAGGAAGGACAUCAAGGAAGUCCAAUUCAAACUAGAAAACAAGGAAGGACGACAGAAAUUAAAAGACGGAAAAGACAAUCCAAUUCAAUUAAAGAAAGGAGAUCAACUGAAGGUUUCAAUUAGGGUUGCUAUAAAUAUAAGGAAAAAGAUCAAAGCAGUCUGCGCAUAAAAGAUAUAGUCAACAAUCAAGCAAUCAAGUUCGUCCAGUUGAAGAAGAAGAACCUAAUCUAUACGUCUUAAGUCGUACAUCAGUUGUAAUAGGUUGGUUCUAUUAAUUGUAACGAGUCAUAGUUCUUGUACUCAGUGAUCCAUAAUCUGAGAUAGAAGUAUUUGUCUUCAAGUUGGGGAACUCAAAGAUUUGGGAACACUUAUUUUGGGUGAAAUUAGUGUUUUUGUAGUGAUAGGAAUUAGAAGUUUUAAUUUCUAAGUUACAAGAAGACUUGUAAUUGUUUGAUUGUUGGGGCUCAAGAGUUUUUAGUGAAGUUGGGAUUAAAUGUAGAAAUACAGGUCGUGGUUUUUUACACCUUUCUUGAGCCGGUGUUUUCCACGUAAAAAUACUGUGUUUAGUUUUCUCUUUUGUGAACUGCAUUUACUUACCUGCUCCACAGAUAGGCAAACAGUAGAAUCGAGAAAUAGGUAGGGCUUAUACUUUACAAUAUGUAUGUUCUAUUGUUUUUCACUUAGAUGAAGAGCAUGCAGUGAUAUAUCGUAGUACAUUUUAUAAAUUAAAAUAUGUUGAUAUAUCAUACUCUACUAAUAUGAGGAUUAUGGGAUUUUUACACUCCCAUACUCUACUGAUGUGAGGUGUUUUUACUAUUUUCAGUAAAAUGGAGAGUUUGGAUAUUAGCAUAUCUCCUGAUUUAAGUGAAUUAUUAGAUGAAAAAGAUGAAGAAUUAGAAAAAGUUUGCCGAGAGCAAGACGAAGAGUGGAUGACUUUGUGUCAACUAGCAGGUAAAUAUGUUUUGACGUAUUGCAAAAAGUACUUAUGUGAGGAACCUUUUCGUACAUCAAAGCGCUCCGGACAUAUAUUUAUUCAAGAGAUAUUACGAGGAAAUGAAACUCGUUGUUAUGAAAACUUUCGAUUUAAGAAAGCGGUGUUUAUUGAUUUACCCCAUGACUUAACCGAAAAAUAUGGGCUUAAAGCCACUUGUGGAAUUUCUACACACAAAAUGUUAGGCAUGUUUUUGAUGGUUUGUGCACAUGGAGCGGAAAAUCGAAUGAUACAAGAAAUCUUUCAACAUUCUGGAGAGACGGUUCAUAGACACUUUCAUAGUAUGUUAAAUGUUGUUUGUAAUCUUGCAAUCAUUAGACCACGUUUAAAUUAUAAUGAUGGUGUAGAAGCUCACAAGUCAUGUAACGAGCGAUAUUUACCCUUCUUUAAAGUAAGUUACACUUUCUCCAAAUAUAUACUUUAUUAUACUUAAUAUUUAAUUUCUUUCUUGAUUAUUUUGUUAAGUUAAAUUUGUAUAUGUAUAUACUUGUAGGAUUACAUUGGGGCACUUGAUGGCACACAUGUUAAAGCUAGAUUGCCGCAAGGUCAAGAAAUUCCGUAUAUUGAUUGUAAAGGUUAUCCGACUCAAAAUAUUCUUGCCAUUGUAGAUUUUAACAUGUGUUUUACAUUUGCAUUGGCUGGAUGGGACUCAUGACAAUCGUAUAUUUUGUGAGGCUCUUCGUAGACAAGAACUCAACUUUCCACAUUCAUUGGAAAAUAAAUAAUAUCUUGUUGAUUCUGGAUAUUCACACAUGAAGGGAUACAUGGCUCCUUACAGAGGAGAUAAUGUGAGGUAUUACCUUUAUGACUUUCGGUGUGGUGCAACACGACAAUUGCGGGAGCCAAAGGGACGCAUUGAAAAAAUUAAUUAUUUGCAUUCUUCUUGUAGAAACAUAGUAGAACGUACAUUUGGUGUAUGAAAAGUGAGGUGGUCCAUUUUGCGCGACAUGCCUUACUAUAACAUUGACACUCGAAGAGAUACCGUAAUUGCUACUAUGGCCAUUCAUAAUUACAUUAGAAAGAAAUGCAAUGUGGAUAAUGCGUUUCAAGCAGCUGAGAAUGAAAGAUAUAUCCCAUCGGUUGAUUUUGAUGUAGGCUCAACUUCAAUAGCUAACAAUAUGGACGGCGAAAAUGUGAGUGAGGAAAGUAAUGUGCAUUGGGUGUGGCUUCGUGAUAUGAUUGCUAAUGAUAUUUAUAAUGCUUAAGAUUUUAUAACUCCAGAUUUUACAAUUUUGAUUAUGAAAUAAAAGCUGAAGAGCAAAUUUGAUAAGAUAGUGUGUGCCAAUUUAUUUACAACAGAUUUUAAAGUGAUGAUAAUUAAUCGCAAUCACAAAUAAAAUAUGAUAGAAUUUAGUUUCUCGAUGAAUAUUUGUAAAUACAACUUUGUUUAUCGCUUAAUCAACCAUUAUCAUUAUCAUUUUAUUCACUGUUGCCACUAAUUACUACCCACGAUCAUCAUCUCCCGACACCCAAAGUUAGGUGUGAAUAUUAUAUGGGAGAAAUGACAUAUCAUAAUGAAAUGGCAUAAUACUUAAAUAUGACCUUUAAAUUGAUCACAAAUCACAUUUAUGACCUCUAAAUUUGGAUGUGUACAGGUAGAUACUUGAACUUAUAUAAAGUUGAACAAGUCGACACACGUGUCCUAUGUGGCAUAAUAAAUGUAGGACACUAUACGGGAUAAGAAUCGGCCUCGUAGGGCGUCACAUAAGACAUAUAUGUCUACUUGUUUAAUUUUAUAAAAGUUUAAGUGACUAUUUAUGCACCCCAAAGUUGGAGGUUAUAAUUUGUUAAACAUGUGUGAUGGUAAAUUAAUAAACAACAGUUAGUCAUGUAUGAGGUUUAUUUAUACAUUGAAAAUUAAACUGUUUAAAUGUAUAAUAAUUUCAAUCCAACAUAUACACUGCAGUUACAAAUGUAUGAGGCUAACUUAUACAUCCAAAAUUAAUAUAAUUUAUUAGACAUGUAAGAUAGUUACUUAUAUCUAACAAAUUCUUAUUAUACUAAAAUAGAAACUACAUCUAAAUAUGUAUGAGGGUAACUUGUACAUAUAAAGUGUUCAAAGAGUACCCUAAUUAAACAACAUAUACAAAUGUAUGAUGGUUAUGUAUAUAUCUAACAAAUCAUGACAGACCAAAACAUAAACAGAAAAUACACAUGUAUGAGGGUAACUUAUACAUUUCAAAAAUUAAUAUCAGCUUUAUUAGAAUGUAUAACCCUUACAAUAAUAUUCCAGAACAACUAUAUUAUACAUUCUUUUGAUGAAACACUAAUGUAUGGUGUCUUAUUAUGCAUGUGUCAAAUUAUACAUACACUCAUAAUAAAUACCUUCGACAGACGUGGUCUGCCGGAAUCAUCAAAUUUCUUUUUACUUGCUUUUGAAGUAGACUUCUUCGAUAGAAGCAACCUUAUCCCACAAUUUCUUCAUUGAAACGGGGUCGUUUCUGUGCUUUGAUCGAUUCUCUGCCCAAUCAGGAUCUUGUUCAUCAAAUGUAGUAGGAACAAAUCUAAGUGGAAUAUCUUGUACAGUUGCAUCUAACUGAGUAAUUCCUAAACUAAAACUUGAAGGAUUAUCCAUUAGCAAAUAACACUAUUUUAAGUUAACAAUGUUGUUAAAUCGAACUAAAAAACAAGAAAAUCUCAGGUCUAACUUGUACCAUAUGAAAAAUAACGAAAAGACGAACUACUUAACUUGAAUGAGAUUGAACAUUACUAUAAUUUGAACAUGCAAAAAAAUAAAAACAAAAAAACCUUGAAUUGGUAAAGUUGAACAAAAAAAAUAAUGAAGUACAAUAUUAAAAAAAAUUAGCUGUUGAAUAACUUACAAUUUGAUAACCACAAGUGGAGUUUACUUCAAAGAUGCCGUAAAAAGAGGGGUUUCAAAAAUAGAGUAAAAAACGGCUUGAUAAUGGGAGCAUAAUGGAGUAAAAGACGGAAGGAAAAAACUCGUUGUUACAUGUAUAAUAUUGAUGAGAGAGAAAAUAUCAAAUAAAGAGAUUUUUAUAAUUAUUAUGAAAUUUGUGUAAUUAUAAUUGAGGAUUUUUUGUAAUUAUGUAAUAUAAAUUUGUGUAUAUAUAUAAUUCUUAAUAGAAAGAAUGACAUCAAGACUCAAGGAGGCUAUUUGAGAAAAAUCGGUCCAUGACAUCCAUAAAGGUCAAUCCUCUCCUGUCCAUUAGGCCCAUUCCUUCUACAGAAAGAUAAUCGAAAGGCUUAAUAUAUGGAAAAGGACACUAAUGGCCUGUUGGCCGAAAUAAAUUUCAUCUAAAUAAUUCAAGAAAUCGCAUUUUUAUAUUAUAGUCACGUGAUUGAUGUCAAUGGUUGACGUGUGCGUUGAUGCAUGUCUUUUUCUUUUUCUUUUCCUUAACUUUGUUAUUUUUUGAUUGGCCAAUGCUUUUUUUUCUUUUUUUUGGCCACUACUUUAUUUAUUUUUCUUAUUUAUUUCAAAGAACAAUUUAUCUGUUUUAUUAAAAUUCUACCAAAAUAAAAAAAAUUAUCAAUUAUAAAAUUUGCAUUAUUAUUGUAUAAAAGAGUUUUCUUUUUCAAAUACAUAUUUGACAACAAAUACAUAUAUACAUAUUUUAUACAAACAAUGAUAUGACUUAUAUACAUAUUAUAACAAUAAUUGUGCAGGGUAUAUACACAUUUUAUACAAUAUUUAGUUACAAUAAUUAUUUAGAUACAUAUUUUAUAUGACAUAUAUGCCGUUUCUAUACACAUCAUAUACAAAAACAUAUUUUAUAUAAUAAAUAUAAACAUUCUAUGCAACAACUAUACAGUUUUUAUAGACAUUUUUAUACGAUCUUUAGUUGUAAUUAUUUUUCAAAUAUGUGUUUUAUAUAAUUAUUGUUCAUUUUUAUAUAUACAUUCUAUACAAUUUCUAUAUAUAUUUUAUAUAGAUGUGUAUUUUAUAUAACAAUACAAUUUCUAUAUACAUCCUACCUAGUUCUACACAUAUAUCUUAUAUAGAUACAUAUAUACAUAAUUAUACAGUUUUUAUAUAUUUGAAUUUUUUUUUUUUUAAAGAUAAAGAAUAUUUUUAGCUAAAAAAAAUAAUAGUGAAUUUUUUUAAAAAAUAAACUAUUUAAAAACAAGUCUGAGACCAAAAAAAAAGAAGGAGAAGAAGAUAAUUCAAAGUAAAUAGCACAAUAGCAAAUCAAAGUUGAUAUAAUGGAGAAGGAAAGCUUUUUUUUUAAAAAAAAAAAAAAAACAUAGAAAUCAACCUAAAAAAAAUUAUAGAAAAUUCAGUUCUAAAAAUGAAAAAUGUAGAUCUUCAAAAGCAUAAAUAUGUAUGAAAUAAGAGAGAAGUCUUGUCAAAUCAAUUGUUAGAAAUUGAACCACAUGUGUGUAAUACAAUCUAAAAAUAAAUAAGAAAAAAAGAAAUCUUACAGUGAUAUGAUAAACAAUUGAAAAUCAAAAAAGAGAAAAGGGGGCAAAAUCUAGAAAAAGGCCUUCGUUACUAAUAUUUAUUAUUGUUGGUAUUUUAUAUUUGCUAUUUGAGGUGGGCGAUCCACCUUUAUGUCUACCAAUGACUAGAAAUUGAAAAUAUUUUCAUCGAGAUCAUAUUUUAUAAAAGAGUCCAAGUUAGGUCAUUCGUUUUGAAAAGAGUCAUCCCAUGUCUUUUUUUUCUUAAUAGAUUUCAAAAUGCAAUCUAACAAACUCUCUCAUUAGCUGCUUAGUUUGCUACUUUGCCUAUUAAUAUUUAUAUUAGGCUCGAGUGAUAUCAUACAAGAGGUUAUUUGAUUCAUACAAAAUUUAUGUUCAACGAGAUUAUUUUUUAUGACACUGACUUCAGGUUAGAAUAAUACAACUAAUAUGUACUUGAAGUCAGAUUUUAUAAGCAUUAAUGAGAUUAAUUUGUUUCUGAAUUUGAAAUUUGGUUAGCAAGUAGUAAUACCAUAAAACAUUUCCUUGUAAAAUAUGUCAACGUUCAUUUAAAAAAAAUAAAAAUAAAAAUAAUUAAUUUCUUAGAAAAUGUGGGCAGGCCCAUUAGAGCUCACAAACCGCAUAGUGAUGAGUUGGGAUUGCUCUUUUCUAGCCCAUCAAAUGAUGGCCCACGGUUUGACUUCUCAAACUCCAAGCACUCGUGUGGGUUGGGGGUGCCACCUUUAUAAAUUAUUUGUAUUAAAUUCUAAAGGAAAAAUGACACUCUAUAACAUUUUUUAAUAUAAAUAACUUAAAUUUGAAAACUUUUCAAAAAGUGGUCAGUGGGAUAUACUAUUUCCAUUUGACAGUCUUUUUAGCCUGCGUAGUUCAUAUACAAUACUGAUACAAUAUUCAACUUGGACAAUUUGGUCCUUUUAAAAAUAUUUCAAUUUUUUUUGCUAUAAAUUUUUUAACUGAUCAAAUAUUUUUUUUUUUAACUAUUUAGACAUAAUCAUUAAAUUAUAUAAAAACGAUAGAAUUGUUAAAUAGAAUAUGUAUUUAUAUAAGAUAUAUGUAUAGAAACUGUAUAAUUCUAUCAAAUAUGUAUAUGUAUAAAAUAUAUAUAAAAAAUAUAUAGAAAGUGUAUGAAAAUUAUAUACUAAUUGUUAUAUAAAACGCGUAAAAAAAAGUACAGUUGUUGUAUAAAUUGUGUAUCAAAAUUGUAUAAUUUUCGUAUGGAAUAUUUAUAUGUAUAAGAUAUGUAUAGAAAUUGUAUAGAAUGUGUGUAGAAACGACAUAGAACACACCAGUAAAUUAAAAAGGCUAGUAAGUGAAAUUUAAAUUUCAUGGUCAUUCUUAUGAAAAAUAGUUUAAUUUGAAGUGUUGUUUCUGUCAUUUCCCCAACUUUAAAUUGAUGUGAAUUGUUUGCAAUCACAAAUAAAAUAGAAAAAAUUGAAAUAUAAAUUUAUUGAUGAACAUCUGUGAGUACAACUCUUUUUAUCUCUCCUAAAUAUUGUCCAUGAUUCAGUGAUUUUUAAGUAAUGUCUUCCUCGGACGUAGGAUGAUAUCUAUGGACCCCCUUGCGAUAUGUUUAAUCGUCAAAAAUGUCAAACAACAUAUCUGAGAAAGAGAAUAUUUGAUGUUAUGAUCUCUUUAUGAAUAUUCCUAAGUCUUAUGAAACUUUGAGAGACAAUAGAUAAAUCUAUUUAUGAGUACUCGGAAUGUGGUGGGAUAUUUAAGAUGUCUCUUUAAUGAUAUAUGCAUCCCGUGUUAUAAACGUGAGAUAAGGUCCAAAAUAAAGUAAUUUUCGAGAAAUUCUAAUGAAUCUUAGAAUCUGAAGAUAGAUUAGAUUCGUCUUGUGGAGUCAUAAUUUAAAUCUAAUAAUACUUUAAUGUCUAUAUAUGACCCUUAUUCAACGGUUGUGGAGUAUAGACUUUUUGAAACUCAAAAAAUAGGACUUGAAGUACCCAUAAAAUGGAUCCUUCGUAUCUUUACGAUUUUAUAACUCUAAAUUUUACAAUUUUGACUAUGAAAUAAGAGAUGAAGAGCAAAUUUGAUAGAUAGUGUGUGUCGAUUUAUUUGCAUCAGAUUUUAAAGUGAUGAUAAUUAAUCGCAAUCACAAAUAAAAUAUGAUGAAAUAGAGAAUUUAGUUUCUUGAAGAAUAUUUGUAAUUACAACUUUGUUUAUCCCUUAAUCAACCAUUAUCACUGAUCAUUUUAUUUACCAUUGCCACUAAUUACUACCCACGACCAUCAUCUCUCGACACCCAAAGUUAGGAGUGGAUAUUACAUGGAGGAAAUCAAAUAUCACAUUGAAAUGACAUAAUACUUAAACAUGACCUUUAAAUUGAUCACAAAUCACAACUAUAACCUCUAACUUUGGGUGUGUACAAGUAGAUACUUGAACUUAUAUAAAGUUGAACAAGUCGACACAUGUGUCCUAUGAGACAUAAUAAAUGUAGGACACUAUUCAUGAUAAGAAUCGGCCUCGUAGGGCGUCACAUAAGACAUAUGUGUCUACUUGUUUAACUUUAUACAAGUUUAAGUGAUUACUUGUGCACCCCUGAGUUGGAGGUUAGAAAUGUGAUUUGUCAAGUUAAAGGACAUGUUUAUGUAUUGUGCCUAAUGAAAUUUUGACAAUAAUAGUUUUGAUAUUAUGAUAUUUAAUAUUCCUUUUGUUUUUUUUUUCAGAAGUUGUCAUUCAAUAUUUAUAAAAAGAAUGCUGAAAUACGAAACACUCGACUAUUCUAUCUUGAUUGAAAUAUAUAUUUUUUAUUUAAUUAACGAAGAAAAUUGCAUGCUUGCACUUUCUUAUAAAUAAUUUUUACAUGUGUAAGGUGUUAGUAUAAUAUAAAUUGAGACGUUUUCUUGAAAAGCCGAAAUCAUAUUUUUUUUAUCCUUUAAGCAUAUAUAAAUCAAAAUUGAACAAACUACAGUGAUGACCGCGCCAUAAAAUAUCAAAAACAAACUUUAAAAUAUCAAACCAAGUUAACUUGAUAUAAUUCUACAACUUCAAUGUUGUACUAUUUUUUUUUAAAAGUUAUUUUUCUAUUCAAAUCUUAAUAUAACAUUUUAAUAUUCAGAUGUAUAAUUUGUAUCAUCUUAAUAUUCAAUUAUAUAUUUAAAUGCACGCAUCUCGUCUUAAUAAAUCAAUAAGAACUAAGUGAAUAAUUUUAGAAUUUAAAUUCUUGACAUGUUUUUUAAGUAGUCAUACUAACAAGUAACAACCACCCCCCCCCCCCCCCCCCCAAAAAAAAAAGUAACAACCAAGGUAAGUUCUACAUGGUUAAUAAAUUAUUAUUAUUUCCCUUAAAAAGAAAAUGAUGGUCAUAGACCAUCUGUUUUCCCGAGUAACGAGUAAAUAGUUAUCCAAAAAUUUUUGUUAAGGCAGAUUAGAUCCUCGUAACCCCCUCUUUUUCUCUCACUGAAAAAGCACAAUCCGCGUCACCAGAAAAUGAUCCAUUCUACACCGUAGAUCUCACUUCCAAUCAACGGGUGAUGCUCAUUUUCCCACUUUCACGCGGAUUGAUAUUCCUAUCCGUCGAUUAACAAGUAAAUUCCCAAAUUUUAAACGGCUACGAUUCAUCCCCCGCCACAUUUUACCGCCCACGAAAUCCACGCCCCUCCAAAUCCCCCUUGUAUAAAUACCCUCUCCCAACCCCUCGUUUCUCAUUGACUUCAAAUUCCAAACCCUAGAUUCUUCUUUUUCUUCUUCUUCAAAUUCCCGUGUUUGAAAAAUGUCUGGUCGUGGAAAGGGAGGCAAGGGAUUGGGAAAGGGAGGAGCAAAGAGGCACAGAAAGGUUCUGAGAGACAACAUCCAGGGAAUUACCAAGCCAGCUAUUCGUAGGCUUGCUCGUAGAGGUGGUGUGAAGCGUAUCUCUGGUCUGAUCUAUGAGGAGACUCGUGGAGUUCUCAAGAUCUUUUUGGAGAAUGUGAUUCGUGAUUCAGUUACCUACACUGAGCAUGCCAGGAGGAAGACUGUUACUGCGAUGGAUGUUGUUUAUGCUCUUAAGAGGCAGGGAAGGACUCUGUACGGAUUUGGUGGUUAGAUUUGGGGUUUUUAGCUCUGGGGAAAUGGGUGGUAGGUAGUAACUGUAGCAUUUAGUUUAUGAUGCUUUUGUGGUUGCGUUGGUUGGUUCUGUUUAGUGUUCUUAUGGUCUAGACGCAUGUAAUAUCUGGUUACAUUAUCUAUGAACAAAGUUAUGUUUCUAGUAAUUCUAUUGUUCGGCUGCCAGUUGAUUUAUUUUGUUAUUUGAUAUAUCUGAAUGUUUUAUUAUCUGUUCAGUUCUUUGGAAAUUCUGUUUGUUUUUGGGUAUUAUAGACGUAGUGUAUUUCUUCUUGGCAUUGAUGUUCAAUACAUUCUCUUGGUUUCUAUCAAUGAUUCACUGUCUAAUUUUGGAAGAACUGAUGCAAAUUAACUAACAGUCAUGUGCUCUUGAUUUCAUUUGAUUCUAUGUCUGUUCACUUUCCUGAUGGUGUGUAAUCUUCACUUGUUGGAUUCUAAGUUUAUCCUUUGUUUUUGAGCUGUUAAAUCACUCUGUUAUUUAUUGAUUACCUGUCUUAAGAACAAUGGAAAAUUGUUGGAUGCUUGAAAGUGGAAUGCUCAACCCAAUUUUAAUAAGAUCUGUUCCACCCUAGUUUAACCAUUCAGCCAAAUUGAUUUCACCACUCACAUUGUAGCGUUUAGUUUCAGUAUCAAGUUGCCUCGCUCCGACCCAGAUUGUUGUAAAAUAAUAAGUAUUAAACACGAGAUUGAUGUGGAAACCAAUAUGAGAUAGUAUUAAGUUGUUUACCAUUUUUAUCAAUUUGUCAUUGCCAAAUGAUUACAUUCUAGUAAGCUUAUCUACAUUCUGAUCAGCAUUAUCAAUGAGCUGUCAAUGUCUGUAUUUUCAUCAGUAAUCGGUUCAUUGGUCUGGAACCCGUUCAUUAGCAGCUCCAUCUUGAUCAUCAUUUUGCUCAUUAGCAGCUCCUCCUUGUUCAUUAGGAACCUGUCCAUUAGCACCUCAUUAGCAGCUCCUUCUUGAUCAUUAGGAACCUGUCCAUUAGCACCUUCAUCUUGAUAAACAUUUUGCUCAUUAGCGCCUAUAUCUUGUUCAUUAGGAGGUUGUUCAUUAACGUCUCCAUCUUGUUCAUUAGGAACCUGUUCAUCAGCGUCUCCAUCUUGAUCAGCAUUCUGCACAUUAACGUCUACAUGUUGUUCCAUAGGAACCUGUUCAUUAGCGCCUCCAUCUUGAUUGUUAGGACCUUGUUCAUCAUCAUUCCAGUGAACAAGCUUUUCCCUGCCACAAAAUACUCAUUUGUAAUAACAUCUUACAGGUCAUACCGCAUAUGUGUACAGUCAAUCUGCACAUUCGUAGUUAGAAACUUACCAUUUCAUAUAGAUUUUCCUUCUCUAAUAUACAUGUAUGGUUGGUUGACUGCAAUCUGCAGAAAUCAAAAUUUCAGUAAUUUUUAUUUUUAAAAAGCAAGAUCGAAAUCAACCUGUUAAUGAAAAUGAAACACUCUUUAAUAUUAGUAUCUUACAACUUUCCACCCAAGCAGCAUUCCGCAUUUAACACAGUAUCUGCUAGUGUUUUGCCAGAUUUUACUUGAUGAUAUCUCACGCCGUUUGGUACUUCAACAUUAAACCUGCAUACAGCAUAUACACACAUGUAUAAAGUUUUGUAACGAAUGCAUAUAUGCCUCAGAUCGCAGAAAAACUUGAGGCGAAUAACAAAAUCACAAGAUGGUGAAAUCGUCUGUAAAAGCCCAAUUCCAAACAUGAAAUCACGACUCACACUUUAUUAAAGAUCCCUACAUCCAAGGAUUCCUGCAAAAUAUACAAUACAAGAAAAUAAGCAUAAUAAGUUUGUGUCAAGAAAUAUAUCAGCGUGCUGAAUAAAUUGCACUUCAUGACAGAAUAGCAGUUGAAGUUUAUGAAAUCAGUAGCAAUUUCAUUAGAUGAUACAACAUAGUUUUUCCUAGACGACUAGUUAAGUUUAUAACUAUACGCUGGAAAUUAAUACAUUUACUUUGGAGUAUCAAAGAAAAUGUCUGCAGCCCACAGAUAAUGGUUUGAUUUGUUCACAAAUAAGUUGAUAACAUAUUGCAAAAUAUGAUCAUUCAGAGAGAUUUGAGUGAUAAUCUGUUAAGAAUUCGUGCCCUACUGAUUUUCUUAUUUUCGCCUAACUUUUGCGUAAUGAUGGAACGUGUUGCCUGACGUGUUCCACUAACCUGUUUCAAGGAAGCAGUAAACAGAAAAUAAAGAACACAAUGAUUUUUACGUGGAAAACACCUGACUCAAAAGGUGUAAAAAGCACGACCUGCAUCUCUACAGAAUUUAACUCCAACUUCACUAAAAAACUCUUGACUGAUUACAAAACUCUUGUAACCAACAAAUAAGAAUUAUAAACUCUAAUCCCUAUGACUCAACAACUAGGAAUCGUAAACUCUAAUCCCUAUAACUCAAUAACUAGGAAUUAUAAACUCUAAUUCCUAACUAUACAUACAUCUCCCAAGGUAUGUGUUCCCAAAGUCUCUGAGUUUUCCCAACUCGAAGACUAGCUUCUAAUUCAGUUUAUAACACACUGAAACUAAUAUUACAUGAAUAGCUUAAAAUGGCCCUUUAGGCAAAACUUUUGGGCAUUUCCACUCAUCUUUAAGACCAAGGAGCCUUAAAAUUGUAUGCCAACCCUAAUUAAUUCUUAAUGCAACUUAGAAGCUUAACGCUAAAACUCUUAGCUGGAUUCUGUACUGAGGACCAGGUUCUUCAACGUGUUUUUUCAGUGAUUGAGUAGCACUUCGUGAAGUCAAUCUAUCGAUUGAGUUUUUCUGUUUUUUUAAGUGCGUGAAUUAUUCUGGCGGCUGCAUCUUCUAUUUAAGCACAACUCUCCAAAGAGUCGUUCUUUAUUUCAAACUCCUACUUCCAACUCUUGUCUCUUUAGUGUUGUAGUAAAACUCCAACUCUUUUAAAUUCUUCAAUUUUCAGAAUCUUUCUUCUUCCACACAUUGGACUCUUAAGGAUAUGCUUAGAAGUAAAACUUCUUUUCACAUAGGACUUCUUUUUCAACUCAACUUGCUUUCCCUUAUCAUCAAGUGAUUGAAUCAAAUUCAACUUGUUUCAUUCAUAUUGUCAUUCAUCAAAACUUCAAGGUUCCAACAGAAUCCAUACCAAAUUAUCAGUGAAAUCCUCGAUGAAUGCAAUUCGAGUUCCGCAAAUACCACAGUGGAUGCAAUCACGAGAAGGGGCUCCAUCAUAUCCAACUAAAAAGAGUCUUCCUAUUUUGUUGAAUCAAGAAGCAACUCCUAAUAGAUACCUGCAAAUUCACUUCAACAAUGAACAAAGUGGAAGAGCGAUAUAUCACACAUGCACUGCUGAAAAGUUAGUGGGAUAAAGACUAACUGAUUAUGAAUGUGAAAUGAAGAGAGCUGGUGGAAAAUGAGAAUUCAAGAAAGUAAAAUAAUGGCUGGUGAUUAAUACUCUGAUAGAGUAGAUAUAUAUGCCUACUUCUGAAAUGACGAGACUAAAUUGAUAUAGAAAAAUCACUUCUUGAUUCUUGAAUGGAUCAGUUGAGAAGACUUAUAUCUUGACCGUUAACUCAGAUAGGAGGCAAAUUUGUAUUUCAGUUAUGUUUCCCUUUCUUUUCCUCCUUUAAAAAAAAAAAAAAAAAGAGAAAUACAGUGUUUCUUUUUCUAAGUGUAUUAUUGUACUAUAUGAUGUUUCAUCUCCAAAACCAGAAAAAUGGUAUGUUUGAGUGCGUUAAGGGCGUUCGAUCAAGUUUCUACUUCCUAUUCUCGUUAGCUUUAACAUUAAUAUGGAGUACAAAUCCUCAAAUAUGAUUGAUUGGUCCAAGUGUAAGAAGAGAAAAUGUAUCUACAGUUGAGAGAAUCCAAGUCAUACUCAUGAAUAUUUCUUCGUUCUCUAGUAGCUAAUUACCAUGAUGUUGAUCGAUUGUCUAAACAGAUAUCUCGUGAAAUGGCAAAUCAGUAGAGUUAGCACCAUAAUGCCUCACACAGACCCAAAUAUGAUGUAAAACAGCAAGUAAAUAGAGUGUCAAAUGUCAUUCAGUAGGUUACCUUUCCCCCCUUUAUUCCUAAUUUUUGAAGCUAGAUCUUCGCAGUAUUGCUUUAAGUCUUCAUCACGGUUUCAGUCCUUCAAAACAAAUUAUAAGAAAAAAACAAAAAAAAUUAUUGGUAAACUCAGGCUUUAUCUUUUCUGUUUCUGGGUUGUCAAAAUGCUGCUUGGCUAGAAUCUUGACCCUAUUCUUGGUUUACUAUACACAAGCGUAAAUGGUUUCUCUUCUACCAUCAGACUUGAUCUCAACAGAAGUUACACACCAUUACACCGGGGUAUUACAAAAGCCUUGAUCUUUGAAAAUAUCAGGAGAAUCCAUAUAGCUAUUGGACUGUUAAGGCGAACCGAAAGCUGUCUGCUUGAAGGUAUAGCAAAGCAAAUUGUUUGCUAUACCAAUAUGAGAUUUAAAUGUAUUCAGUUGUAUAUACAAAAUGAUAGUUUAGCCCACAGCAAGAACAGGAACAUUAAGUUACAUAGAUUCACUAUCAAACAUCUGUUCAACUUUAUAGUUUUCGAGGGUUACACAUUUCCGAUACAUUAGACAACUGAACAACAGAAAGCAGAAUCCCAGAUUUCUAUGACAUGGGCGCACUAGAACUCGAGUUAGCAUGUGAUAGAGUCAUUAUUAAAACAGUUUUGUUGCAACCAUAUUCAGGUGACAGAACUCAAAAACCUGUAGGAGUAAAGGCCAUUGGAUCCACAAUUCUAAGCAUAUCAGUUUAGAUAAACUAAGCAUAUAGAGAAUGGUUGUACCAAGGCUCAAAUAGGUAAAAUAUUCGGUGUCAAUUGCUUUGUUGCAACCUGAAGUAAUAACAUGUACUGUGAUCCUAGAAUCGAAAGAGAACAAAGAAUAUCACGCAAUUAUGAAUUAGCAUUUUGUAUAGUUUGAACUCUAAUCAGAAUCUGUGUUAUCUUUCUGCAUUUUGAACAGCAUGAGUAGACUAUCAAUUUUCAUCAUUAUUAUCUGUUCCAUCAGACAGUUGAUCUACAUCUUCAUUCGUUUCAUUGGCGCACCCCCAUCUUCAUUAGGAUCCUGUUCAUUAACUCCCCCAUCUUGAUCAUUAGCACCUCCAACUUGAUCAUUAGCGCCUCCAUCUUGUUCAUUAGGAACCUGUUCAUUAACAACUUGAUCAGCAUUAUGCUCAUUAGGAGCCUGUUCAUUUGCACCUCCAACUUGAUUAUUAGCGCCCCCAUCUUGGACAGCGUUAUCAGGUACAACUUGAUCAGCAUUUUGCUCAUUAGGAGCCUGUGCAUUUGCACCUCCAACUUGAUUAUUAGCGCCUCCAUCAUGCUCAGCAUUAGAAGGUACAACUUGAUCAGCAUUUUGCUCAUUCGGAGCCUGUGCAUUUGCACCCCCAACUUGAUCAUUAGGAUCCUGUACAUUAACAUCUCCAAAGAGAAACUCAUGCAACGUUUCACCAUUCUGGUACCUAAGCAGGUGUCUGCCGCAAAAUACUCAAUUGAAUUAACACGUUACAAGUCAUACCGCUUAUAUAUGUGUGAAGUCUGUUUGCAGAUUUAUUAUUAGAAACUUACAAUCUUACAAAGUAUCUUCCUACUACAAAAUACUCGGACGGUUGGGCAACUGCAAUCUGAAGAAAUCAUAAAUUCUGUAUUUUUAGAAAAAUAGAGCAACAAAAUCGUCUUACUCAUGGAAUCAAAUUCUCUUUAAAAUUAGUAUCUUACUAGUUCCCAUGCGAUCACGACAAGACAAGUCAUACAGGAAAUAAUGGCUAAGGUAUCUCCAUCUACUACACUAUGAUGAUUCUCGUUGUUUUCUACAAUAACGUCAAACCUGCAUAUAAUAAACAUAUGCUUCAGACCUCGUAAAAACACUUAGGCAAUUUUUGAAAUCAUGAGACUUACAUUCUAUUAAUGUAUCCUCCAUAUAUUGCGUCCUGCGCCUGGACAGGAAAACAAACAUAAUUUGUUCUGUUCUUAGUCAAGAAAUAAGACUGAAAAAGAGCUGUCAAAAUUAAGGGAUUGGAAUCUUCUUUAUGAAAUGAGUGGCAAUUUCAUCUAAAUAUACGUACAAUAUAGUGCAGUUCUUCCUAGACAAAUGAUUUAAGCACAAAUUUAUUCCUAAAUUUGGGUAUCAAAGAAAACUUUUUGGUGUGCUCACAAGAAAUGACACAGAGAAAGAAUCCUUACAUUAGGAACGUAAUCCUCGAUGAAUGCAACUUGAUUACCGCAAAUACAGCAAACGAUGUAACCCGGCUCAUCGAGUAGAGCCUGUGCAUCUGCACCUCCAUCUUGAUUAUUUGCGCCUCCAUCAUGCUCAGCAUUAGCAGGUACAACUUGAUCAGCAUUUUGCUCAUUAGGAUCCUGUGCAUCUGCACCUCCAUCUUGAUUAUUUGCGCCUCCAUCAUGCUCAGCAUUAGCAGGUACAACUUGAUCAGCAUUUUGUUCAUCUCCAACUUGAUCAACAUUAGCUCCAUCUUGAUUAUUUGCGCCUCCAUCAUGCUCAGCAUUAGCAGGUACAACUUGAUCAGCGUUUUGCUCAUUAGGAGCCUGUGCAUUUGCACCUCCAUCUUGAUCAGCAUUAGCACCUCCGACUUGAUCAGCAUUUUGCUCAUUAGGAGCCUGUGCAUUUGCACCUCCAACUUGAUCAACAUUAGCACCUCCUACAUCAUCAGCAUUUUGCUCAUUAGGAGCCUGUCCAUCUGCACCUCCUCCAACUUGAUUAUUAGCGCCUCCAUCUUGGUCAGUGUUAACACCUCCAACUUGAUUAUUAGGAGCCCCUAAAUUAGCACCUCCAAAGAGAUAUUGACGCAACGUCACAUGAUUCUGGAACAUAAGCUGGUCCCUGCCACAAAAUACUCAUUUGAAUUAACACCUUACAAGUCAUACCGGGUAUGGGUGCAGUUUCAAUUUGCGAAUUUGUAAUGAGAAACUUACAUUAUGACAAAGAAUCUUCCUGGUACGAAAUACUGGUGCAGUUGGGAUUCUUCAGCCUGAAGAAAUCAUAAAUUCUGUAUUUUAAGAAAAAAAGAGUAACAAAAUUGUCUUGUUCAUGAAAAUCAAAUGCUCUUUCGUAUCUGUAUCUUACAAUUUGCCACCCAAGCAGCUCAUUACAUUGCAUACAGCAAGUAUCGAAUCUCACUACUUGGGUAUAUCCAUGUUCAUGAGUAUUCGGUUGUUCUCCUAUAUUAACGUUUCUCCUGCAUAUAUAAUAAACAGACCUCAGAAAGAAAAAAAAUCUUAGGCAAAUAUUCGAAAUUGCAUGAGACUUACAUAUUAUAAAAGUAGCCUCCAAGAUCUCUGUCUUGCGGCUGGACAAGAAAAUGAUCAUAAUAAGUUGUUCUGUGCUUAGCGUCAAGAAAUAUAACAGAAAAAGCAAGAGGGCAAACAGCUGGGGAUUGAAUCCUCUUUGUGAAAUAGCAAUUUCAUCAAAAUAUACUUUUUAUUAAACCAAUGACUGAUUACGAAUUUAUUCUUACAUGAUGAUUGAAAUCAUUGAGACGUGCAAUUUGAUUCCCGCAAGAACUGCAAUAGAGAUCAUAUACUGAGUUUCCUUGCAUUGUUGAUCAAGAAGCAACGACUCCUGUUGAAGAACAAAAUUUCUUCAAAAAAGAACAAAGUGGAAGAGAAAUAUGAACUUCUGAAAGAAUCAAUGGGAAAAAAAGAAGGACAAACUUGGAAAAUGAAGAUAUAAGAAUUCGAAAACAUGCAGAACGACUGAAUUUAAUGAGAAUGAGAAAAGAAUGUUAGUAAUAUAGAAAAGCCACUUCUUGAUUCUUGAAUCCAAGCUCUGUCUUGACGGUUAAUUCAAAAGGGAGGGAAAUUCAACUGUAUUUUAAUUUUUUAUUUUUACUUACUAGUAUAACAAAGAUUUUACAAUUUGCCCCUCCAAAAUCUGAAACUAGUCAUAUUGACAUUUAAUUUACCCCUUAACUAUACGCGUAGACUUAUGUGUAAAGAAUAAACGGAAAAGCCUCAAAAAUACUCUUGAACUAUCUAAAAUAGCUCAAAAAUGCACCACAUUAGCUUUUUGGCUCAAAAAUACCCCUCCCUUUAACAAAAUUUGGAAAAGAAUCAAAAAUACCCCUGAACUAUCUGAAAUGACUCAAAAAUAUCCCUCUGUUAAAUAUUUGGCUAAAAAAUACCCAUCUCUUUAAUGAAAUUCCACCAAGCAUGCCACCUAGAUAAUAAAAAAGGUAAACAACAUAAAUCCCAACACUUUGCUACCUAAUUACACUCUCUCCCAAUUUUUAUAUUAAUUGCUUAAUAUCCCGGAUAUAAUACAUAAGUUUGGUCCGGAUACAUAACCAACAGAUACAUAACUACCAAACUAAUUGACUGUAAAAAAGAAAAAUAAUAAUAAAAGAGAGAAUAAUGGAGCAAUUAAUACGAUUCUAAUUGAGCAAUUAUAUCUCUUUAAUUCUUCCAUCACAAGCCUUUUAUCCUUCUAUUUAUACUGCAAAGCUUCCUCCUUUAAUUCUUCAAUAGCUGUAACAAUAAUUAAAAACGAUAAAUAAAUAAUUAACUUCCUAAAAUAAUUCAGAAAAUUGAAAAAACAGAAGAAAAAAAUUGAGCAUCUUCGAUUUUUUCGAGUUCUUCUAAAGUAACAAUAAAUUGAUUGAGCUUUGUUAAUUUGUUGGAGAUGUUAUCCAUGGCAGAAACUUCAAUUAAAACAUCUGAAAUUAUUUUUGAGACAUAAAUAAAGUUCAAAUAAAGCUGAAUGUAUCAGAUGAAAAAAAACAAUACAAAUCAACUUCAACAUUUACUAUGUAUCAGAAGUAAUGGAUAUAUCUCAUACUUAUGUAUCAUACUCCUAAUGUUUAAUGUUUAAUGGAUAUAUCUCAUACUUAUGUAUCUUAUUAGUUUACUAAGACUCUUUUGUUGGAUUUCACACUUUUAAACCUAUUAACAGGAAAAAACUUAUUUUUUAGAUGAUCAAAGAAAUUUGAUAAUAGCGAUGUUACAUUUAAUAAUUUUUUUUUUAAAAAAAGUAUUAUGUAACUACCGUUUGUCUACUUUGAUUAAAAAUUAAAAAGUCGUGUAAGUUUUGCCCGUUUCACUGACGUUUUUAAAUAAAAUUAAAAAUAAAGAAGAAAGGAAUGUCAUAUAAUUAAAAAAUACUAACAUUUUACAUGUGGAUAGUAAUGUGGCAUAGUCACGUAGUUUUUUUUUUAUCUAGGUGGCAUGUUUGGGGGAAUUUCGUUAAGGGGAGGGGUGUUUUUGAGCCAAAUAUUUAACAGAUGGAUAUUUUUGAGCUAUUUCAGAUAGUUCAGGGGCAUUUUUGAACCUUUUCCGAAUUCUGUUAGAGGGAGGGGUAUUUUUGAAUCUAAUAUUUAACGGAGGGGUAUUUUUGAGCCAAAAAUCUAAUGAGGGGCAUUUUUGAGCUAUUUCAGAUAGUUCAGGGGUAUUUUUAAGCCUUUUCCGAAGAAUAAAAUUAUGAGACAGACAUUUGUGAAGCUUUAGUUAAUUGUGUAAAUUUCAUAAAUCUCAACAUUUUAGAAGUAAUUACAUCCCAUCAAAUUUUUUUAAUUAGUUUAAUCUCUCUCCCGUUUAGUAUACAUUCUGUAAAAGACAUAUACAUAACAAGUAAUGUAUAUUGUAAUCUGUUAGAGUCCUAGAAAACAGGGAGUAACAGAUAUUCAGCAUUCAUUGACGUAAAUGGCGCAACUAAUUUAAUACGUCGAUUAUUGCAUCCCAUAAAUCAUGUUUCAUGAACGGAAUUUCAAAUUUUAAAAAUCACAAAUACCUAAAAAUGCAAAUCUGAAGCAACAACAUAAAUCAAAAAUCAAAUUUCAUCUCUAUUUUUGUUGUUUACUGAACAAAGCAAAUUAUUUUCAAUUAUUGAAGAUGAAUAUUGCUAUUCUUGUAAGGUACUCGGGUAAAUGGAGAUCUCAAAUAGAAUAUGUGGAUUAUAAAAGUGAAGGGAUUGUUGUUGCUGAAUCAGUAAAUUAUAUGAGGUUGAUUUCAUCGAUUGCUGAUGAAAUAAACAUUGACGAAACUCGAAAAAAUAUUGAUGUACGUUAUGUUGUUGACGGGAAUGAUUCACCUUUUCAUAUCCGUAACGAUAAUAAUGUACGAUUGUAUGUUGAGUUGAAAAAAUCUCAACCGGCGUUCAUGAUGUAUCCGUUAUGUAUUUCAACAACAGAAAAAUGUGAAGAUGACAAAUUGUUCAAUAGGGAAAUAAGAGUUGUGGUUUGCCUGGAAGGUGUUGAAUCUGAUGCUUUGGCUUUAUUUAUUGCUGAGACACAAAAUGAGUAUGCUUUGUAUGUACCAGAGGUUGAAGAUAACUUGAUAUGCGAUAGCAAGAGUAUUGAUGUAAUGGUGAAAUAGUGUAUAGGGAUAAAAAUACGCUUGUUUCAGUGAUGUCGAAAUAUAAAGUGACUAAUGGAUUCAAUGUUAGAGCAAAACGAUCAGACAAAAAAAGGUGAAAUCAUAUCUUUUUUAUACUAAGCAGUAUGAUAUAUGAAGUCAUUGAAUGUUUUAUAUUAUUUGUUUUUAAUUAAAAUGUUAUAUAUAGUUGCAUGAACAUGUGUAUUUUUUUGUGCUAAAACUAAAAUCGAAAUACAAAUUAUCAUUGUGACCUUUGCAAUAUCUGUUUGUUAGUAUGUUGAAGUUAUGUAUGUCUAUGUGAGGUAAUGAAUUUCAAUUUACAAUUUUUUUUAUUUUCUGAAAAGCCAUUGGAUACAUACAACAAAACUGGUUACCAUUUUCUUCGUUAUUAACAUUUCUGAGGUGCUUGGUUUAAUAUACAUAUAAGUUGCUAUGUCUAUGAUUUUAAUUCUUUAUAUUAUCAGUUUUGGUAAGGGAAAACUGUUAUGUAUAUUAAAACAUAUACAUAAAUAGUUAUGUAUGUGUAAACAAAUACAUAACUGGUAACAUGUCAGCAGAUAUGUUAUUUAAUCCAUAAUCUGCAUACUUCGUUUUUAAAGUUUAUUAUGUGAGUUAUUAGAUUGUAUAUAGCUUUCUUUGAUGAAAUAUUAUGCAUGUCUAUGCUGUAUUAUGAUGGAUUUGUAACAAUUAAAUCGUUAAAACUUAUGAAAUGAUGCAAAAUAUAAUCAUUUGAAUAGUAUUUUUUAUAUUUCAGCUAUGUACUCCUUUGUUACAAUGAGAAAUAUACGUGAAAGUUGGAAGAAUCUAGUUACAAAAAAAUAGAUGUUUUUAUGAUACGAAAAUUUAAUCCAAAACAUACAUGCAAUUUGAGGGAUAGGGUACUGCAAAAUAUUUUGGCGACAACUUCUUUUGUAUGUGAAUUCACAGCUCCAAAACUAGUUAACUAUAAGAGAAGGCACACACUGGGGGACAUCAUUGAAGAAAUGAAAGUUGUAUAUGGUGUGGAUAUAAAUUAUAUGAAAGCAUGGCGUGCGAAGGAGUGUGCCAUCGCUUUGCUGAGGGGCGGACCUGCGGAUGGUUAUAGGCAGAUGCUGAGAUACAUUUAUAUGUUAAAAAAUGUAUAUCCUAAUUCGUACGUUGCAAUGCACAAAUCAUGGGAUAAUCGGUUCAUGUAUUUAUUUAUAGCAUUGCAUCCCAUGAUAAGGGAUUUUGAGUAUUGUAGGCCUGUUGUUAUUGUUGAUGGUGUACAUUUAAGUGGACUAUAUCAAGACACUUUUGUCUCAGCAAGUACUCCUGAUGGUGCAGGUAUGUGAAAAAUCAUAAAUCCCUGAUUUUUGUAAAACAUUCAUUGUAUUUCAUAUUUUUUUUUAAUUUAUUGAAAAAAAAUUGUUAACUUUUUUUUUUUGUAUUUAAAAAAAAACCAGAAAAAAUUGUAUUUAUUAUCACGUACGUAUUUAUGUAUAUUCUAAUAUACAUAUGUUAAACUAUGUAUAUGUUAACAUAUACAUAAAAAUUUUGUCCAGUAGACUUUCAAAAAAUCUUAGUGUUCUUCUACUAAUACAGUUUUUACUUAAUUUAGGAUGCAUAUUAUCACUUGCGUAUGGGAUUGUGGAUACUGAGAAUGAUAAUUCAUGGACAUGAUUUUUCAAUCAGUUCAAAGCUGCAUUUGGUGAACGUGAAAACAUGUGUGUUGUAUCUGAUAGGAACAAAAGUAUUAUAAAGCUGUCAGUGUCGUAUAUCCAAAUGUCCCACAUCUUGCGUGUAUAUGGUAUCUUUGGAAAAAUGUUUGUAGUUACUUUCAUAAGAGCAAAGAAAGUAUCAGUGAUUUGUUUUAUUCAAUGGCUAAAGCUUAUAGGAAAGAUGAUUUUGAAUAUUUAAUGACAAAGAUUGAAAAAGCUAAUCCGAAAGUGAAAAAAUAUUUACAAGAAGCUGGUUAUAAAAAGUGGAGUAGAUAUCAUUCACCGGUAAAUAGAGGUCGGAUGAUGACCUCGAAUAUUGCUGACUGUAUUAACGGUUGUUUGGUAGAGACCCGACGAUUGCCAAUAUAUGAAUUCUUAGAAGAAGUUUGAAUAUUAUUUGGUUCUUGGAACUAUAAGAACAGUGAAAUAGCUUCUUAUACAAGUAUCACUUUGGGGCGUCGAUUUGAAGAAAUUCUUACUCUCAACGGUGUGAAAGUUUUGAGAAUGAAGGUAUGUAUAAGCUUUAACUUUUUAAAAUGUGCAUUUAUAUGUAGUAUUUGUUUGACUGAAAAUAAGUGUAUUUAAAUUUUUAUUUCCAGUAAAAAAUAAUUGGUUGGAAUUUUGUUAUUUAUUGUUUAGGUGAAGGCUUCUUCAACAUAUAUAUAUUCAGUUUAUGAAUCUGGGAGAAGAUACAUUGUUGAUUUAGAAAAUGGCUCAUGCAACUGUGCAAGGUUUCAAAUAGAUCAAAUUCCUUGUGCUCACGCUAUAGCUGUAUUGAAGUCUAAACAUGUAAAUGAAAUUGGAGAUUACUGUUCAGAAUACUACAAGCCAAACACAUUGGUCAAGACAUAUGAGGUUCCAAUCGUUCCAAUGCCAGACAAGAAAGACUGGGAUGUGUCCAGCAGUGUAGAUGAAGAAGAAGUGUUGCCACCCUUAUACAAAAGACUUUCAGGUAGACCGAAAAAGGGGAGAAAGAAGAAAUCAAGUGAAACACUUUCUGAAAUCAAGUGAAACACUUUCUUCAAGCACAAAUCGUUGUGGACGAUGCGGCCAUGAAGCCCACAAUAGGCGUUUAUGUAGUUUUUUUUCAAAGAAGAACUAGUUUAUUGUUUUGUUAUACUCUUGAAGAGUACUAACUUAUUUAUUUUCGUGUUUUGUUUUCUUUUAAAUAAAUUAUUAUUUAUUUUGAUUUUAAUUUUAGUGUUAAUUUAUUUUUAUUAUUUGUGAUUUUUAUGUAUAAGCUGGUGUAUUUUCAUAAAACGUACAUAGCUCCAAUGUAAAAACUGUGAUAUGUAUGUUUAAUUUUUUUAAAAACUAAAUUUUGAAAAUCAACUGUCAUGUAUUUUCUUUAUAAUGUUGAAUUAACUUAUUGUUUUGCUAUAUUUAUGAAGAGAAAUGAAAUAACCUUGGAAACCAGUGGUACAGUUAUGUAUAUUAUAUAACAUACAUAAAUUGUAUUUAUAGCCUUUAACUCAUAUAUAUAUUUUAUAUAUAUUAUAUAUUAAUUAAUGUAGAUCAUUUAAUCUACAUAGCUCUAUUAUUUAACGUUUGAGUUGUAAAUGUAAACGUAUAGCUGUAAACAAAAAAUUUAAAAAACAAAUGUUAUGAGUUUUACAUACAGCGUUUAGUUAACUUAUUUCUUUAAUAUAGUUUCUGUUUCAAUUAAAUGUAUACUUAGGUAUAUUUUUCAACAUUUAUUAGUUAGUUAUAUAAUGUAAUAUGUAUAUUAUAAUAUAUACACAGAUUAAAAUUAGGAGGUCUUGUGUAUAUGAAAACCUAUACAGACAUUACAUUUAUGUAUAUUUAACAUUAUACAGUAUUAACCGUGAUGUAUAUUAAAAAAAUAAAUGUUAUGAGUUUUACAUAUAGCGUUGAAUUAACUUACUUCUUUAAUAUAUUUUUUUUUCAAUUAAAUGUAUACUAAUGUAUAUUUUUCAACAUUUAUUAGUUAGUUAUAUAAUGUAAUAUGUACAUUAUAAUAUAUACACAGAUUAAAUUUAGGAGGUUUUGUGUAUAUUAAAACAUAUACACACAUUACAUUUAUGUAUAUUUUACAAUAUACAGUAUUAACUUUUAUUGUUUACAAUCUAUAUGAAAACAUAUACACACAUAACAUCCACAAAUAUAUGUAAAUGUUGUCAUAUGCAACAUUCAUCAAAAACUGCAUUCAUCAUUGCAAAAAAAUACAUAUGUCAAAUAAAAACUUCAUCAUAUUCAUUAAAAAAAAAUUGUACUCUGCCUUACAAAACAACUAAAAUAAUUAAAACUUUGAAAAUUCCAAACAAAUUUCAGCAGAAUACAUUAAAAAUCUUAACAAUAUUCUUCAGUAAGACUACUCAAUGCAAACUAUUGCAUUAUCAUCUGAAAUUUGAAUAAUUCUCGACUUUGAUCUUGGAGGGUCAUCAGUUUCACUAACAUAACUUUUCUUUACUUUUUGAAUACCAUAUUUUCGAAGUAGUGUGGCGUAACACAUUCUAUGGUAUUCUUCUUCAAAACCAUCAGAAGGCACGUUCAUUUCUUCACUUAGGUAUUUUGCAUAACCAGCAACCUGUCAGACAUACAAAAAAUAAUAGAAGUUAUUAAGUAAUACUUACUAGCAAUGAAAAAUACAAAUACAUUAAUACAUGUACAGUAAUAUUGCAAAUAAAAAGAAUAUAUAAGUAUACUUACACAGUGUCGCAUUCUUGUUGCAUAAUAUGUUGAACAUACUCAACAUCAAAGAGAUGUUCAUUCAAAAUUUGUGUCGUUUGAGUAAUCUUAUCCCUAUAUGUUUCACGAUUAUGCCAAUCUGUACGAGAUAUUUCAUCAUAAAAUUUGCUGUCGGAGAGGUAAGUUGACAGCAUCUUAGCCAACUUUUGAAUCUCAGUAAUUGAUUCCGUAUUCCUUCGUCUGGACAGCGAAUCGUAGAUGCGUAUGCAUCUAUCCUUCAAGGCAAUAACAGCUAACACCCAGUGAAAAUUCUCAUUGCAGUUGAUAGGAACAUACACCUCAUCAACUUGGUGCCAUGGAAAAUCAGAUGGCGUGCAAUAUCCUUUGAUUAUAUGUGUUAUUGCCUCUUCAAUUAGAGCAACGCGAACAGAUUCAGCAUAAUUUUGUUAUGUAGUUAGGACUUUAUCUGUAUCAUCUUCAUAGUAUCUGGAGUAUGUCUUGUCAAUGUAGUUCUUAGGAAAACGGUUGUUGUGAACCUGUAAUCUUGAUCAUUCCUUAAUUUUGAUUUCUUCCGCAAAUGAUAGAAAAUAACAUCAAUAUGCUACAAAAGAGGAGAAAAAAUGAAACGAAUUAUGUGUUGUGUAAUAAAAAUUACAUACUUCUAGGAAGUGUUUGUAGACAUACAUCUAGAUAAUACAUGCAUAUACAUAAAAUAUGAUGAAACCUGAGUAUGCAAGAAAGUUCAUAACUACAUACAUUCAGUGAUGUAUAUUAAAUAUACAUACUGAUUAUCAAUUAUUAACAUACACUUUCAUUAGCAAUCUAAUACAUAUAUUAAGGUAGACAUAUACAUAUGUUGUUGUGUUAUAAUUGAGUUAACAUAUAGGUUAUAAUAUACAUAGAUGAUGUCCAUCUAUUUUAGUAGUGAUGAAAUUGUUAACAUAUACAUAAACUUUUUUUGUGUGACCUGAGGAUACUAGAACAAACAUGACACAAAAAUCAACAGUGAUGUAUAUUAUAAAGUAUAUGUAGGUGUUGUCAAAUGUCUAAACUGGUCAUAUAAAAAAUGAACACAUAUACAGUGCAAAAGCAUGAUGUACAUAAAUUAGAAAUUGAAAUAGUAGUUUAGGAGAGAAAUUGAAGUAUUAGUUUAAGAGAAACAUAGUUUAUUUAAAACUUAUUUAACACAUACAAAAUUUCUGAAGUAGGUUAACACAUAUAUACCAUGAAUGUAUGUAUACAACAUAACAGAACAAUUAAAAGCGAAUGAUUAUCAAAUUAAAAAAUUUAAAUACCUUAUUAUUCCAACACGUGUUCUUUUGAGACAUCAAGUAAAAUCAAUUUUUUGUUCGUGCAUGAGCAACCACAAAAUCAAUUUCAUGAACUCCUAGUGAAGAUGAUUUUGCUUUGUAGUAAUAAUCGUCAUAUUUUCUAUAAAAAAAUUAAAUUUGUUAUUAUAAAAAAAAAUAUAGUACAUUCAUUGAGUGAAAUAAUUAAUUUUAAUAUCGAUAAAAACUUACUUUUUAGCAUGAAACUUCAAUAAUCCUUCCUCCACCCACUGUUUGAACUCUUCAAUUACACUGCUUGAUAUAGUGUCAGAUAAUAGGAAACCAUCAAAAGCGAAUUGUUGUUUCUGCUCUUCGAUUUGAUCCUCAAUUGCUUUAGAGCCAGAAGCAUAUUCUGUUGUGUAUGGAGACUUGAAAACUUUGGAUCUCGUCCUGAUUCUCUUAACCAUCUUAGUAGGAGUUUUCGCAGCUUGAUGAGCCGCAACAAUAACAUCAGUAAAAUCAAGAGGAAGCUGACUAUCAGAGAUGUCGUGUUGGUUCACAAUUGGUUCUGCCAGUAGAACUACUUCUAUAGGAACGUCAUCAACUGGUGCUGCAAUAACUUUCAAUAUCGCAUCUAACUCGACUUGAGCCGAUUCAGGAAGUGUACUCGAAUAAUCAACCUAAGAUUAAAUUUGAAGUAUGUAUUGUUAGAUUUGGUUUAAUGCGCACAUAGAAGUAAUGCCAUGUGUGAAAAUUAAGACAUUUAGGGCGUAAAAAAAAAUUGGUGAAGUUACCUGAAUAUUAGAUGUUUCAACAUUAUCAUUAUCAGGUUUCUGAUUUUCUACAGUUGCGACUAGACAUUUCAAUGUGGCAGGCCUAAAAUCAGCACUAACUCCUUCAUCAUCCUUGAAAACAUAACACAAAAUAUAUACAAAAGUAGUUCAUUAUUUAGAUUUAACUAUAAGCAAAAAAAUAGUACAUUUCUUACAUAUUUGGCCAAUGGAUGAAAAAGAAUGGCUUUAUUUAUUUACCAUGUGAUCAUUAUGGACAUGCACAGUAGUAGAUGUUCCAGCAUUGGUGUUGUCAGAAUUGUGAUUUGCUACGGAUUCUACAAGAGCAUCUCGGAUGGCAGUAGCAUUAUCCUCACUGCAUCCUUUGACAUCCUACCAAUCAUAAUGUAAAACAUAUACAUAACUAAGUCAGUUCAAUGUUUUAAUUAUAAACAUUAAAUUCUGAGAUGUUUAACUUGUGAUUGUUGUUGUAUGAGACUGCGAUUUCAAUCAAAGUAGUGGCCAUCCAUUGAAUCAUCAGCAGAGUAUACGUUUGUUGAUUUAUCUGUCUCGUAAAAAAUCUACGAAUAAAAAAUAAUUAUUGCUUUAUAUGUUAAUUGCUUUCAUAAUUUGUGUUGUGUUGCAUAUGUAUAUUAUAAUAAUAUACAUAUAAUAUAAUACGUAUACAUUAUAACGUAAAUAUAACUGUCGUUAAACAACAUUCAAUUUGUACCAAAUUCUAAGCUGGAUAAAAAUCAUAAAAUUAAAGAAGUAACGAAAAAGUAAUAUAUGUAACAAAGUAUGUAUAAUUAUCACUUGUGUGUAAAUACCUUUUUUCCUUUUUUUUUUCAAGGUUUUGAAGAUUUCAAUAUCUUCAACAUAUUCUUUAGAUAGUACGUUUCCUAUUUUUUCUUCUCCCUCUUGCUGAUGGUGUUGAAAUAAGUACAGUAUAUUCUUUAGAAAAAAGUUAAUAACAUUAACGUGAUCUAAUAAUAAUGUAUGUUUAAAAAAGUACCCCUUUUUGUAUGCCUUCAAUAUUCUGCAUGAUAUCCAUCUCGUCUGCUUGAACUUGUGUUGAUUUUUCUCCGACAGUUGAACCAUCCAAAACAUGAACCUUUAUAGUUUGUUGUAGUAGAUAUAUCAGAUACUAUGCCAUUUCAGUCUAAUAUACAUAGAUAUAAAAUACACAUAGUAUAAGUUGAGAUUUUUUUGUGGACUUAACACAAAGCUUUUAUGUAUAUUAGUUAAAAUACAUAUCAUCAUUGUCAGCUAUUAUGCCAAUGCAACUAUCAAUUCGAUGAGAAAUAUAUAAUAUACAUAGCAUGUUGUUGGUAUAUUAUAUACUACAAUGUAACAAUUUAUGUAUGUUAUAUUACAAACAUUAAAUGUAUGUAAUAUACAUAGCUAUACACUACACAUCAUACUUAUGAGUAUAACUUAUUAUUAUAUUGUGUAUUUAACUUAAAAUAGUUAUAUAUAUUAGUUAAUAUACAUACCAUAAUUGGCAGAUACUAUGCCAUUGCAACUGUCAACUCCAUGAGAAAUAGUUAAUAUACAUGGCAUAUUGUUUGUAUAUUAUAUAACACAAAGUAAGCAUUUUAUGUAUGUUAUAAAUCACUGUACAAAUAAUAGUUAAAUAACACGUAAUACAAUUCUAAUUCAGAAUAUGUAUAAACGCACAAAAUUGAAUAAAAAAGAAAUACAAAAUCAUGAAUUGUAUAAGUUAAAUGAUUUUUGGUGUACCUUUUUAUUUUUUUGGCUGUGGUGUUUCAACAAUUGGAUGAGUUCGGCAUGUUGUUUAUCCAUUUUUUCAUUUGAGUCAUUAUGUUGUUUGACUAUUAGAUCAUGAAGACAAUUGAUUUUUGUGUCAACCUGCAUGUCAAAAUGAACUUACAUAAGACUACAUGUUGAUGAAAGUUGAAUUUUGUGUAUACCAGCAUGUCAAAAGCUAAAGAAAGUUGACUAUUAGAUAUGAAUGAACUUACAUAAAAUUACAAAAAUAACUUUAUAUCAUCCCACUUUUCAUCAGAAUUGUCCUGACAAACUGACUUGAGUGACGAUGAUGGAGUUGUCUUUUCGGCAUGAACAUGCUCCGAACCUGAAGAAGCUGUUUUUUGGGUUGGCAUAGUUCUUGUUGAAACAAAAGAUGGUGUUUUCUGACAAACUUUCUCCUCGACAGUUGUGGAAUCAAAACGGACUAUUUUUCGCUUCUUAGACGGAUGAGAUGUUGAAGAAUCAGUAAUCAAACCUGCCUUCUUGAGAAUUUCUGUAGGAGGGACCGUACUAAAUACCUCAAAACCUUGUAUGUCGAGGUCCACUUGGGACUGUACAUCGACAACAGGUUUUUUAUCGAAAUAAUCUACAACAAUUUUUGGAGGAAAUCCACUUUCAACAUCUUUUAAUUGAAAUCCCUCAAUCAUUUGCAAAUCAAGACUUUGUACUUCUUCAUCAGUUGGUCGUAUAUUAUUGUAUACUAACUGUUAAACAAUAAAAAAUAGCAACAUUAAUAGUCUGUUAAAGUAAGCACGUUGAAAAUUAAAACUAAGAUCGAAAUAAUAUACAUCAUACUUACCUUGCUGAACAUACCAGCCAUAAAUUUCUCGUACUUAACUUUGGUUCCAACCACCUGCCAGUUGAAAAUUCGGGGAAUUACAUUUCCCAUCCGCUCGGCUAUUGUACUGUCUACCUCAUAACAACAUUCAUAUAUCCAAACAUUCAGCACGUAAGGCAUUCCCCCCAUCGAGUAUAACUAUUUCGCAACAAAAAAAUCCUGUCUCUACAAUGCGAUAAGUUUUUUAAAUGAACUCUUCUCCCAUAGAAAUUGUUCGUAACUACCAUUCUCAACCAUCACAAAAUUCGAUUUGCUAAUUGUAGAAUCACGUACUUGUGAAUACAGAAAGGUGUGAAUGAAGUAAAUUAUUGACAUAUUCAGAGCAUCAGAAUUAUUUUCAAAGUUGCCCAACUUGAAUUGCUCUAUAAAGACUCCUUUUGACAGAACUCUUAGAACCUGAAAAAUACUUCGUCAUUAAUGCGGACUUUGAUGUAAAAGAAAAGAGGUGCUCCUCGAUGUUUCCUGAACAUUUAAGACCGGAUAUAAUGGCAUACUCAAUAAUGGUAAACUUGAGUGUGGUUCCUGGCACGUAAAAGUGUAUUUCAUCCGGAUUGUCUUGUUCUAUCUCGAGCAUGAGUAAGCAUUUGGAUAAUUGACCCUGAUAAUUAUAAUUCGGGAUGUCUAGGAAUGAACCAAAAAUUAUUUGUCGGAAUAAAUUUACGACUUCUUCACCAAGAUAAUUUUUUAUUUCUUCUCCAAAUUUUCGAUUGCAAUAACUACCGAAAUGCAACGAAUGCGCAGGGACCUUUCUUAUCCUGUAUUUCAUACCCUAUUGAGAAAGAAACAACACAUGAUAUGUGAGCAUGUGUUUUUAAAUGAAAAAACACUAAACUUAUGUAUAUUACUAACAUAUACAUAAAAUUGACUUGUGAGAAGUAUUGAUUCUAAAACACAGAAAAUAAUAUAUCAUUAGUGAUGUAUAUGUCAAUAUAUAUAUAGCUGAUAUCCAUUAUGUAUAUGCAGUUCACAUCACAGUAGUUGUCUACCAACAUAUUGAAGUUUAUGUAUCUAUUAUUCAUAAACACAUGACAUGUUCAGUGCAUCAAACUAAAAUAACAAAACACAAACUAUAUAAAACACUAAAAUAACAAGACAUAUCUAUGUCAAUAUGAGCAUGCGUUGUAAAAUUAAAUACUAAACUUAUGUAUAUUACUAUCAUAUACAUAAAAUUGUAUUGAGAGAAUUAUUGGUUCAAAAACACAACAAAUAAAAUAUCAGAAGUGAUGUAUAUGUCAACAUAUACAUACCUAAUAUCCAUUAUCUUAAAUACCUCUUCAAAAAACAUACACAUAUACACAGAAAAAUAUGAUGUAUAUGCAGUACACAACGCAGUAUUAGGUUUGUAAAAACUAACUUAUGUAUAUGUGCUGAGUAAUGUAUGUGUAACACAUACAUGCGAAUUUACAUAAACCCAAUAUUCAUUUAUGUAUAUGUGCUAAGUAAUGUAUGUGUAACACAUACAUACGAAUUUAUGUAAACCCAAUAUUCAUUUAUGUAUAUUAAAAUAUAUAGAUCACUGUAUUUCAAAUAAAAAGCUCACCACAAAUUUAUCUACCCAACAUAUACAGAAACGAAAAAAUUAUAUAUACCUUAGGAAGACGUGGACGUCCAGAAUCAUCUUUUUUGGAUAAUCUUGAUGAUUUUUCAACUGUUUUUUUCGACUUCUUACCAGCAGUUUUUCUAAUCUCUUUCAUCUUGUUGGGGUUGUUACGAAAUUUAGAUAUGUUUUCAACAAAGUUAGGUUCCUCAUAGUUAAAAACUUCGGGAACGAAUCCAACUACCGCAAUUUUGUUAAAUUAAGACCCCCCAAAACAUACUUAAUAAGAACAUGCAACAAUUUGUUCUUUCGAAAAACCCCAAAAUUGAAUUAAGGAGAAUGCUCCAUUAACAAAGUACUAAGCUGUUAAUAUCGUACUUCAAAUGGACGAUUUCGAAAAUUUUGUUAAAGAAGAAACCCCAAAAAACACUUAAUAAGAACAUGCAACAAUUACUUCAUUCAAAAAUCCCCAAAAAUCGGUUCAGUAAAUGAUGAAAAAAAAAAUACUAACCUCAACACUUAAAAAUCAGAAUAAUCAAUGGAGAUUAAGAUAAAAUUUAGUGCCUUAAGUUGGAGCCAAGUACAGUUGUAUUCAAAAUGGUAACCGAUGCUUGAUUUUAGGAGAGUUUUAAGGAUGAAAAAACGGUAAAAGAAUACAUCUUAUGUAUAUUUGCUUUUAGAGAGAGAAACACCAAAAAUGAGAUUUUUGUAAUAAGUUUGAGAAGUUGGGAUUUUUUAUAAUUAAUGAAAGAUAAGUUGUGUUAUUUUGUAAUUUUUAGUUAAUUAAAUACUACGUUAUACUGAUUUAUUGGUCCACAUUAAUACUGUACCCAAUCCAUAAAUUAGUCGACCUUUCUGAAUUUAUUCAUUUGAUAAUUGUUGAUAUUAGAUUUGUAAGAUUACAUCAUUGUUAAAGCUAAGUAAGAAGCCUUUGUUUAGAAUUGGAGCUAGUUUGCAGAAAUCCAUGCGAGCUUGAAUCAUGUUAAGAGUGUUUUUGGAUUGUUCUUUGAACUAAAAUAGCAAUUAAUUUCAUAUUUCUCAUUUGGAUGAUUUGCACUUUCGCCUCUAUUUUAUACUGAUUUUAAUUUUUGUCUCCUAGGACAAUAGCUUUUUUAUGGGCAUAAAGUUACAUUUCAUAUCAUAAUAUCUCACAAGUCAUGGCGCGCUUUCUUAAAGAACUUAUGCAACUCUAAUGUAGAAAGAUACACAAUUUGAUAGCCUAUUAGUGGAACGCUACGCAUUAGUUUAAUUGCAAACAAUAAAAAGUAAAGACCAACCUAUUUGAAGGGCAACCAUGCGAUCAAACAUUUUUAUGAGAAGCCUUAAAGAGAACAUAAAUUUAUGACUUAGUUAAAGUUAUAAAUUAAAAAAAUUAGCUAUAUGACAUGCUCGUAGGGAUGAGAAGGUGCCUCCUAAGCUGAAAGACAAAUUCUAUAGAGUUGCAAUUCGUCCGGCCAUGCUGUAUGGAGCGGAGUGUUGACCAGUCAAGAACUCUCACAUCCAAAAAUUGAAGGUUGCGGUGGAUGCGUGGACUUACUAAGGGUGGCAGGAUUAGGAAUGAGACUAUUCGGGAGAAGGUAGGAGUGACGUCGGUGGAGGACAAGAUGCGAGAAGUGAGGUUGAGAUGGUUUGGGCAUGUGAUGAGGAGGGGCACUGAUACCCCAGUUAGUAGGUGUGAGAGGUUAGCCUUGAAUGCCUUCAAGAGGAGUAGGGGUAGGUCGAAGAAAUACUGAAGAGAGGCGAUUAGACGUGACAUGAAGCAGUUACAGUUUACUGAGAACAUGAUCUUAGAUAGGAAGGUAUGAAGGAUGCUUAUUAGGAUAGAGGGCUGGUGCGUGUGGACGAGUCGUAGUCGGUAGCUAGGAGUGCUUUGGGGUAGCUUGGAUAGUAGUCGUAGGGCUUUGUACAUAGGUUAGAGCUUCUAGUUAGGAGGGUUGAGAGGAGGUGUGUGUGCCUUUGGUUUGUUACUAUAUAGUAUUUGUUUGUGGGUGUUGUAUCUCUGUUGUUUCAUGUUUUAUGGCGACUUUUUUACUGUCAUUGUGUCCUGAGUCGGGGGUUAUCAGAAACAACCUUUCUACUUUUUUCAGAGGUAGUAAUAUGGACUGCGUAUAUUCUACCCUCCCAACCCUACUAUGUGGGAAUAUAUAUUGGGUUUAUUUGUUGACAUGCUCGUAGGUUGUAAUAUGAGAAGAUUUUUUUUCUUUUACAUAAUUGUAAUUAGUAGGUAAUAAUGAACUACUUUCGUCUCAUAUUAAUUGGUCAUCUUAUUAAAAAUAAAUAUCUCAAAUUAAUUGAUCACCUAUAAAUCAAGACAGAAUUAAGUAAAAUUUUUUUAUUUUUCCCCUAUAAUUAAUAUACUCUUUGAAAGUUUCAACAAAUUAUCUUUAUUUCCAUUAAUAUGUAUAAAGAGUAUACUAGUAAAAUUCGUCAUUCCAUUAAUAAUAUUUUAAGCAAGGUACAAAAUAAAAAGUGCUGAACUAAUAUGAGAGAGAGGGAAGUAGGAAAUAACUUAGUGCGAGAAAGAGAAAACUAAUGCUCUUAGCCUCUUACGAGAAGAUCUAUUUACAUCCCUAGAUCUUCUUUCACAUGGAUCGCAUUCCCUUUGAAUCAACGGGUUAUAUUCAGUUUCCGCCUCUCACAUGGAUCGAUAUUUCUAUCCGUCGAUUAACAAGUAAAUCCCCAAAUAUUUAACGGCUACGAUUUACUCCCCGCCAUAUAGCAAAUUCCCCCCAAAUAUAAAUACCCCACCACCAUCAUCUUCAUUUCUCAUUCAAAUUCAAAACCCUAGAAUCUUCUUCUUCUUCAAAUUUCUCUGUGUGAAAAUGUCAGGCCGUGGAAAGGGAGGCAAGGGAUUGGGAAAGGGAGGAGCCAAGAGGCACAGGAAGGUUCUAAGAGACAACAUCCAGGGAAUUACCAAGCCAGCUAUUCGCAGGCUUGCUCGUAGGGGUGGUGUGAAGCGUAUCUCCGGUCUGAUCUACGAGGAGACCCGUGGAGUUCUCAAGAUCUUUUUGGAGAACGUGAUUCGUGAUUCAGUUACCUACACUGAGCAUGCUAGGAGGAAGACUGUUACUGCUAUGGAUGUUGUUUAUGCCCUCAAGAGGCAGGGAAGGACCCUCUAUGGAUUUGGUGGUUAGAUCAAUUGUUAGGUAGUAGAUGUACAUCUGCUGGAAAUUUCUGUUGUUUCUGUGUUCUUGUUUCGAUCUACUUCUUGGGUUCCAGAUAUUGUAAUUUCUCAUUACAUAUUCAAUGAACAGCUGCUCAGUUUUUAGAAAUUACAAUUAUUGUCUUUUAGCUGAUUGUUAUUGUUGUUUAGUUUUUAAAGUUCUCAUUGCAUAGGUUACGCUUAUAUACAUCACCCAUUUCUGUAACAGGGAUUUAACUGCUAAAAGUUGGGAGAAAUGACGAGAACUGGUAUUGAACUCAUUGUUGCUAAUAGAGUCUGCACUGCGUAUUUCCUAAUGUGCCAAACUGUACUGGUUCUGAAACUUAGUUAAUAGGUCAGGUUGCUCUUGUUGAGACUCUAUUAGAAAAGAUACAUCUUCAGAAAUAGAUGUAUCUUUGAUAGGAAAACUCUACUAUGAAUUCAUACCAAAUAGGACUACAUGAUUUAUGUUUAGGUGUCUUAGGUAGCGAUAAACUUCAGUUGCUCUCAAUCAGCAAUUGUUUGACAUUACACAAGGCGACAACAAAUGUAUAUAAUCAUUGUAAUUGAGUUCACUUGGACUAACUUCUCCACUUAUGUAGUUUGAAACAUGUCUGUGUUUACCAACUAGUAGGCAAUAGCAAAUCUUGUUUGGGCAAGUCAAGUUUGAGGAUCAUUUCUAAGUGAUGCAAGUGUCAUGCCCUCAAGGCCCUUCACAAGGAGCCAAGCCAAGAACUUCAACAACUUCAAGCUUUAUUCAUGCACUUGAAAGUUUGUGAAGGUGUUGUAGAUUCGGCCAAGGGAGGGAAUGCAUUGAUUUGUGAAGAAGGGACUUGAAGAGUCUAUAUUCUACAAGGGGCUAGAUGGACUUUCCACUUUAUAUUCCAACACUCAAGGGUCCCCCCUUCUCUUUAGCUCAUUAAGGGUAGUUUUGUCAAUUGACAUGUAAUUGUAUAAAUAGACAAUUUCUUCACCCUUUCCAAUAGUUUUUGAUGACAUUGGAUAUUACUCAUAGUUUGUAGUUUUAGUCUUCUAAUUAUAGCUCUAAAUCCGAAACUUGGUACCUUGAAUGCAAUUGAAUUGGUUUUCACUUGUAUUGAGUAAUUUGGCAAGAAAGGUGAAAUUGAGGGAGUGUGAGUUCUUUGGUCCACCUAAGAGGAAGUUGUCACGACCCAACUUUUCAGGUCAUGAUGACGCCUACCAUAACCCACCAGUAGACAAGCUAACCUGUAGUCCGGAAUGGCUAGUAACGGACUACUUAAUAACAUAAGAAAAAGAAUGCGGAAUAUAUGAGAUAAAGAUCAAUAUAUAGAUGAAUCCCAAAACCUGGUGGUAGUAGUACAAGAGUUUCUAAACAUAAUAAGAGUACAAAAGUGAGAUAUCAAGGAGAAAUACACUGAUUCAACUUACCUCUGAAUACAACUUAGAGGCUAGUCUAAUACAUAGGAGAGAGAUAAAUAAUACUCCGAACGUCAGGAGCUCACUCUAAGUCUCCGAAUCAGGGUUACUCAUAACUCGUGCUAUGAUUUGCAAGCUGCAGAGGUGUAGAAUGAGUACCAAACGAAUGGUACUCGGUAGGCAACUGCCAACCGAGAUCCAAAGAUAAAGUAGAUAAUACAACAUAUAAACAUAAUGGAAACUACAACCAAAAGUCCAUAAAUCAUAUAAUAAGUCAAUGAGAAUAACAAGGGACAACUAUCAUAUUUAUGUCCAAGAGUCUAAAAUAAGAAGACUAAGGAGUAAUCAAGGUGAACUAUCCUGUUCCGGCUACAUUCAAUAUAUGCCAAUGCUAUACCGUAUAUCCCAGGUCAAUAUACAAGUAAAGAGCGAAAGAAAAAUAGAUUGUAAUAUACAAGGCGAAAGAACGACUAUACAAUAUGAACAAUGAAUGUUAAGAUUGAUAUUGGAUAGAAUGACUUAGUAUUGAAUAUACAUAUAAGUUUGGAGAUUAGAUAGGGUUUUGGACCCGUAGGUUGAAUUACUUAAUACCCUUAUAGAAUCCUAUUGCCUUCUCCCUAGUUUGGGUAAAUUUGUAGCAUGGAUAUGAUAUAAUAUUAUGCUCGGAAUACGGUUUUAGCAUCAUUUGAAGCAUGAUUUGUUUUAGCCUUAUUGGGCUAGUGUGAUAGUUUUGGAACCGUAAGUUUGGUAGAGUUGACUUGAGUACCCUUUUUUCUAGUCCAAGUUACUAUCUUAGGCGUUAAUAUGACUUGCUUGACAUCUAGAGGAUGAACUAGAUAACUUAGCCUAGUUUGUAGCCUAGUUUGGAGCAUAGUAUGCCUAAUUAUGGAAAUUAUGGAUUAGAAGUGGGAUCAUCCGGCCCACUUAGGCCAAGAUUUGUGUUAGCCCUUGUGGGCUUAGUUGCAGAUAGUAGACCUAGUUGAGACUAAUGAGCCUUAUUUAUGAGAAUUACUUGGUGAAUUGAUAAAUUGUGAUGAUUUUCGUCGGAUUAUGAUUAGUGGCCCAUAGAGAUGCAUUUUCUUCUUUAUUAUGAUAUUUGACCCAUAGAGAUGCAUUUUCCUUUUUAUUAUGAUAUUUGUCCCAUAGAGAUGUAUUUUCCUUUUAAUUAUGAUAUUUUGCCUAUAGAGAUGCAUUUUUCCUCUUUAUUAUGAUAUUUGAUCCCUAGAGAUGCAUUUUCCUCUUUAUUAUGAUAUUUGGCCCAUAGAGAUGCAUUUUUCUCUUAAUUAUGAUAUUUUGCCUAUAGAGAUGCAUUUUCCUCUUAGUUAUGAUAUUUUGCUCAUAGAAAUGAUUUUCCUUUUAGUUAUGAUUAUUGAGCCUAUAGAGACAAUUUUCGUCUUGGUCAUGAUGGAUAACCUAUAGAUAUGAGAUAUCUAAUAGAGGCGAUAUGCUUGUUGAUAUUAUGCCUCCUAGAUGUGAGAUGCCUCCUAUAUGUGAGAUGAUUAUAGAUAUGCUACGGUUUAUAAAAUUGAUUAAUGAUAUGAGUCCCGGAUAUGUAUAUGGGCCUAAGGCCAUGAUUAUGAUGUUGUGAUUAUUCUGGAUAAAUUAAUGGGCCUAGGUCCGUGUUAUGGUACUGAUUAAAUAUCCAAGAAGUGUUUAUCAUUGNNNNNNNNNNNNNNNNNNNNNNNNNNNNNNNNNNNNNNNNNNNNNNNNNNNNNNNNNNNNNNNNNNNNNNNNNNNNNNNNNNNNNNNNNNNNNNNNNNNNNNNNNNNNNNNNNNNNNNNNNNNNNNNNNNNNNNNNNNNNNNNNNNNNNNNNNNNNNNNNNNNNNNNNNNNNNNNNNNNNNNNNNNNNNNNNNNNNNNNNNNNNNNNNNNNNNNNNNNNNNNNNNNNNUUAACAAAAAUAGGAUGAAUAGUUGAUAAUAAUGAAUGAUGGAUAAAUGAAGGUUUUAGUCUAAUGAUGAACCUAGACUAGAUGUUAGAUGUUGACUAUUAAAUGAAUAGUGGUUAUUUGUUAUCCCGUGAAUAAGGAUUAUGUGAAGGAUAAUGUUUAGGCUAAUAACUAGAGGUUAUGUGAUGACUAGCGAACUAGCGAUUUAAUAAUAAUAAAUGUUGGUUAGCUAAUAACGAGUAAUUUUAAUGUAUUGAUAAGAUAGAUAUCUUUACGGUUAUGAGUAUAUCGACUUGCGUCUGUGCACCUAUUAUAUGCCUAUAUUUAUGUGUCGAGAGUUAUGAUGAUACAUUGAUACCCAGCAAGGACGGAGGAUAUUAUGAUGAUAUUGAUACCCGGUUCGAGUCCGGAAGAAACUAUUGAGAUGAUAUUGAUACCUGACAAGGCCGGAGGAUAUUAUGAUGAUAUUGAUACCCGGUUCGAGUCCAUAGGAUACUAUUGAGAUGAUAUUAAUACCCGACAAGGCCAGAGGAUAUUAUGAUGAUAUUGAUACCCGGUUCGAGUCCGGAGGAUACUAUUGAGAUGAUAUUGAUACCCGGCAAGACCGAAGGAUAUUCUGAUAAUAUUGAUACCCGGUUCGAGGCCGGAGGAUACUAUUGAGAUGAUAUUGAUACCCGGUAAGGCCGGAGGUUGAUGGCGAUGAUGAUGGUCCUAAUGAGGACAGUUGCAUUGCGUUAUUGAUGGUAUAUUUUGCAUUCAUUCCUGCAUGCGCAUCACCUAUCACCAGUAUGCACCUAUGUCUAUCAGCUGGUAUGGGACGGUUGCAUAGAUAUGGGUGAAAAAUAUGCCUUGUGUUAUUAUAUGUUGAUUGAACCUUCCGAGUCUGGGGUGGUGGGGGUACGCAUAGGCUUCUGAGAUCGUUUCGCUGAAGUUUUGGAUCAGUGGCCAUUUGGAACCAACGAAGACUUCUGAAUAGGGAGUUGACUCUAAAAACCAAACGAAUUGCCCGGUAACCGAACCCCCAGUCCCAGCAAGUCAUAAAUGACUUGGGGUAGCUAUGGAGAAGCUCAAACGGUGAAGAUAAGCAUAAAUAUGGAAAAUGAACUGAAGGGUCAUUGCAAAGGUUUGAGCUUCUAUUGGUGAGGUGUGAUUGAUGGUUUGAUACACCAUCUUUUGUUAAUCACUUGAUAGGAGUAAAGGCCCGUCUUUCUACCUAUCUUUAUUUUCAAGCAUUCUUCUUCAUCCUUUUCUUCUAAGUGUGUUGUUUUCCUUUAGUGGAGCUUGCUGAUUUUUAUUAUUUAGAGUCCAUUUUUGUGUGUUGAUAGUCUUUAGACUAUAAGGAUUACUUCAGAAGGGUGGCUGCAAUUGGUCCAGCUAUAUAAGAACAGCAAAUGUAUAUAUCUACAUUGCAAUAGCCUUUACCAAAGGAUUACUUUGCUAGAUGAAACGGAUUAAAUACAUCUGUUCAAGUUUAUAGAUUUCAAAAGGUUACACAUUUGCAAUAUAUUAAAGAACUGAACACUUGAAAGGAGAAACCCAAAUCAGUAUUAUAUGAGCCCUGACACUUGAGUUAGCAUUCACGCCCCUUCUCUGUGGCUUUGCAAAUUUCAGUAAAUUACAUCCAACAAGCACACAACCCAAAAAGCUGUAAAUAUGCUUCGUGUAGCAGAUUUGAAGAUUUCAAGUUAAAUGGGUCAAACAUCACCACCACCACAACAACAUACCCAUUGUAUUCCCACAUAGUGGAGUCUGGGAAGGGUAAAGUGUACACAGAUCAUACCAUUGACGCAUGUGAAGUAGAGAGGCUGUUAAAUGGAUCAAACAUCACCAUACUACAAAGUAACAAUAUAGUUUUAACCAGAUACAGAAAACAACUUGAAUAAACGAAAAAGUAGACUGCAAUCUGCUUGUAAAACAACUCUAGAAUGAGAGUAAAAGCCAUUAGAUCCACAAUUUUCAAACUAACUGAAACGUCAUUUUUCCCACCAGUAGUCAUCCGCAUGGGCGGACCGACGUGCAAUUUUCGGAUGCUCGAGCACCCACUAAACUCGACGUAGAAGAGGUAUAAUUAUAUAAGAAACAGUGAAAAAAUGGUAAAAUAUAUACAAAAGCACCUAGAGAACAAAAGCAUGGUUGGGUGCUCUGGCGUUAGACAUAACUUUCAUGUCUUCCAUGCUGGGAUCGAAUCCCUGUAGCUGCAUUGUUUAGUAAAUUUUUUUUUUUUAGCACCCACAACCUAAAAAAGCUGGGUCCGCCACUGGUCAUCCGCAGCUAUAAGAAAACUAAAGUUAACUAGAAUUGAUUGUCAAGAAGCUACAUUUCUCGAGACAGAGACAAUUGCAUAGCUGUUGCAGUUGAGGAAAUAUGUUUCUGACAAUUGACUUGCUUGAAGAAAUUAAAAGAUAAACUAAGCAGCAAACGGAGAGGUCAAACAUGUAAAAAGUUCAGCGUCAAUUGCUAUGUUCCAACCUGAAGUAAUAAUAUGUCUUCUAAUCCCAAAAUCAAAAAGAGGAAAAAGAAUAUCACACAACUGUGAAUUAACAUUUUGUAAAGUAUGAACACUGACUCCAUUCAGAAAAUGUGCAUCUUUCAGCAUUUUGAUCAGCAUGAGUAGGCUAUCAAUGACUGCAUUUUCAGCAAUAUUAUCUAUCCCAUCAGUUAGUUGAUCUACAUCUUCCUUCGCUUCGCUUGGGGGCUUCCAUCUUCAUCAUUAUUCUGGUCAUUACCGCCUUCAUCUUGAUCAUGAUUCUGUUCAUUAUCUCCAUCUAGAUCAGCAUUUUGCUCAUUAACGUCCACAUCUUGUUCAUUAGGGACCUGUUCAUUAAAUUCUCCAUCUUGAUCAGCAUUUGGCUCAUUAGCACCUAAAUCUUGUUCAGUAGGAAUCUGUUCGUUAGCAUUUCCAUCUCGAUCAGCAUUUUGCUCAUUACCGCCUAAGACUUGUUCAUCAGGAACCAGUUCAUAAGGGAGUCCUAGUUCCUCGUUUAAAUCACGCAACAAGGGUUCAUUAUCCCAGUAAGUAAGCUUGUGCCUUCCACAAAAUACUCAUUUGUAUAAACCCUUACUAGUCAUACGACAUAUGUGUGCAGUCUCAAUUAGCAAAUUUUGUAGUUAGAAACUUACAAUCUCAUGUAGAAUCUUCCUUGUCUAAUAUAGAUGGAUGGUGAGGGUUGGGGGACUGCAAUCUGGAGAAAUCAUUGAUUCAGUAUCUCAUAACAAGGAACAGCAAAAUGUCUUGUUCAUGAAAAUCAAAUGCUCUUUAAUAAUAGUAUCUUACAAAUUGCCACCCGAGCAGCAUCUCACAUUGGAAGCAGAAAAUAUCGACUAGGGUAUAUCCAUUUAUUACACGAUAAUCAUUUACAUCCUCUGAUACGUCAACAUUAAACCUGCAUAUAUACAAAGGUUUCUAAUACAUAUAUGCCUCAGACCGCAGAAAAAAGUUUAGGCAAAUAACAAAUCCCAAAUUGCUGAAAUCAAAUAAAUUACAGACUUACACUCUAUCAAAGAUCCUUCGUGGAAUGAGGUUUAGCACCUACAAAGUGUACAAGACAAGAAAAUGAGCAUAAUAAGUUGUUCUGUGCUUAGUCAAGAAAUAUAACAUAAAUGCUGAACUAAUCACAAUUCAUGAUACAAAUAGGCUGUUGAAAUUAAGCCAUUAAAUCUUGCAUAUGGUCUUUAUGAAACGAAUAGCAAAAAUCAAAAAGAUAGUACAACAUAGUUUUUCCUAAACGAAUAGCUACGGUAUGAGCAAUUCAGAAUAAAAUUAAUUCAAGAUUGUCCUGAAUUUCGAGGAUCAAAGAAAAUGUCUGUAGCCCACAGAACCAUUUCGCGUGUUCAGAAAUGAUGCAGAGAGAGUGAGAAUCCUUGCGAUCCGAAGGUAAUCCUGGCGGAAUGCAACUCGAGUUCCGCAGCUACGACAUUUGAUUUCAUUGCAUUGAUAUAAAGCUCGUCCACUCAUUGUAUGUAUCAACUUUGUUGAAUCAAGAACCAACUCCUAAUAGAUACGUUUCGCCUGUCACGCAAAGAACAAAGUUGAAGAGAGAUACGAAAGAGGAACUGCUGAAGAAGUCUAAGUUUAUCAAUGGAGAAAAUGACUUUAACUUCUCACCAGAUAACAAAUGCAACAAUGGAGAAAGAGUUGGUGAUCAAUGAGAAUUCAAGAAAAUGAAAAAUGGGUGGGAAUUAUAAGAGUAAAUUUAAUGAGUCUGAGAAUAUUGAUAUAGAAAAGUCACUCACUUCUUGAUUCUUGAAUCCAAGCUCUGUUAACUGAGAGGAGGGAAAUUUGAAAUUGCUUCACACGCACACAAUUGGAUAAAUUUUCCACCUUUAUUAGGAAUAAAAUACCAAAUGUGUUUCCCUUUCUUUUCUUUUCCCUUUUAUAUCUAAUAAAAUGUUGUUGUAUUGAGUGUUUACAUCAAAAUAAUAGAUGUUCAACGUACUAUUUAACUAUGAUUAAUUAAUGCAUAUUUUUAUUACUUAUUACAUGUAACUCACUUAAGAAAAUUACCUUAAGUUGAAAGACUAGGCCCCGUUUGGACAUGCGAUACGAAAUUAUUAUUUGAAAUCAUGUUAUGAAAUUGAAGAUUUUUUUGGACAUAUAAUUUGAAUUUCUUGAAGGGGAGCCUUGGUUAACUAGUAAAGUUGCUCCCAUAUAUUUAAGCCAUGAAAACAACCUCCUGCAGAAAUGCACGGUAAAACUGCAUACAGUAAAUUCUUGUGCACCAGACUUGCAUUAUAUUCAAUUUAGAUUUCUUAAGUUGCAUUUUCUCUUAUAAAAAUGAAAAUCUCACAAGUUGUAUAAACUAUAAAAAUUUCUAAUCCUUAAUCUUACCAAAUAAGCAAAUGAUUGUUCGUAAACAAGAUAUCGGACUAUCAAAAGGUAUCACAUUGUUAAAUCACAUAUCUCCAUUUUUUAAAGAGAAAAUAUAUAAUUACCCCCUGAUCUUGUUCGAGAUUUACAAAAAGACACCUAAACUUUCACUUCGACCUAUUACCCUACAAUUCUUCUUUAUUUCGUUGCAAACACACCAUUUUGACCCUCUGCGUGUAUACACGCGCCACAGGUGCGUGAAAGGGUUCGAAUUUGACUUUUUUGACCAAUUAAAAGCUGUCACGUGUAAAAUAAUUGAUAUAUAAUUUAUAUUCUUUUUUUUAAAAUUAAUAUUUAUUUAUUUUUAAAAAUUAUUUCAUAACCCCCACCCCCGCAACCCCCCAUCCACCAUUGUCUUCUUCCCCAACUUCUUUUUCAUCACCAUCACUCAACAACAUCAAUUACAACACACAACAACAACAUCAAUUAUGCCCACAACAACAACAUCAUCAUCAUCAUCAUCAUCACCAUAACCCCACCCUUUCUUCUUCAACAUAAUGUCAUCAUUAAAGCUCCUCCAUUGAAGUUUUUUUUUUUAAAUCAUAUCAUUAAAGCUCCAUUUUGCAAUUAAAACAUAUCAGUUAACUACCCACCAUUCUUAUUCAACACAAUAUCUUCUUCAACUCCAUUAAAGCUCUUUCAUUGAAGUUUUUUUUUUUAAAGUUCCAUUAAAGCUCAUUAAACUAUCUUUAAAAUUCAAUUCAAUCAUUUAACUAUCCUUAAAACUCAAUUCAAUCAUAAAACUAAUUUUUAAAUUGAUUUGAACAAAGAAAAAAAUUAGACGGGGAGAGUGCUGGACGCGAGGCGGCGAGGGGGAGGGGGAGGGGGAGGUGCUAGACGNNNNNNNNNNNNNNNNNNNNNNNNNNNNNNNNNNNNNNNNNNNNNNNNNNNNNNNNNNNNNNNNNNNNNNNNNNNNNNNNNNNNNNNNNNNNNNNNNNNNNNNNNNNNNNNNNNNNNNNNNNNNNNNNNNNNNNNNNNNNNNNNNNNNNNNNNNNNNNNNNNNNNNNNNNNNNNNNNNNNNNNNNNNNNNNNNNNNNNNNNNNNNNNNNNNNNNNNNNNNNNNNNNNNNNNNNNNNNNNNNNNNNNNNNNNNNNNNNNNNNNNNNNNNNNNNNNNNNNNNNNNNNNNNNNNNNNNNNNNNNNNNNNNNNNNNNNNNNNNNNNNNNNNNNNNNNNNNNNNNNNNNNNNNNNNNNNNNNNNNNNNNNNNNNNNNNNNNNNNNNNNNNNNNNNNNNNNNNNNNNNNNNNNNNNNNNNNNNNNNNNNNNNNNNNNNNNNNNNNNNNNNNNNNNNNNNNNNNNNNNNNNNNNNNNNNNNNNNNNNNNNNNNNNNNNNNNNNNNNNNNNNNNNNNNNNNNNNNNNNNNNNNNNNNNNNNNNNNNNNNNNNNNNNNNNNNNNNNNNNNNNNNNNNNNNNNNNNNNNNNNNNNNNNNNNNNNNNNNNNNNNNNNNNNNNNNNNNNNNNNNNNNNNNNNNNNNNNNNNNNNNNNNNNNNNNNNNNNNNNNNNNNNNNNNNNNNNNNNNNNNNNNNNNNNNNNNNNNNNNNNNNNNNNNNNNNNNNNNNNNNNNNNNNNNNNNNNNNNNNNNNNNNNNNNNNNNNNNNNNNNNNNNNNNNNNNNNNNNNNNNNNNNNNNNNNNNNNNNNNNNNNNNNNNNNNNNNNNNNNNNNNNNNNNNNNNNNNNNNNNNNNNNNNNNNNNNNNNNNNNNNNNNNNNNNNNNNNNNNNNNNNNNNNNNNNNNNNNNNNNNNNNNNNNNNNNNNNNNNNNNNNNNNNNNNNNNNNNNNNNNNNNNNNNNNNNNNNNNNNNNNNNNNNNNNNNNNNNNNNNNNNNNNNNNNNNNNNNNNNNNNNNNNNNNNNNNNNNNNNNNNNNNNNNNNNNNNNNNNNNNNNNNNNNNNNNNNNNNNNNNNNNNNNNNNNNNNNNNNNNNNNNNNNNNNNNNNNNNNNNNNNNNNNNNNNNNNNNNNNNNNNNNNNNNNNNNNNNNNNNNNNNNNNNNNNNNNNNNNNNNNNNNNNNNNNNNNNNNNNNNNNNNNNNNNNNNNNNNNNNNNNNNNNNNNNNNNNNNNNNNNNNNNNNAAAAAAAAUGAAAUUAAACGUAUUUAACAAGUGGCAACACCUGAUUGGUGCGUGUGUUCACUUUCUUUGUUGUGACUGAGAUUCAACUAAAAAUGGUGUAUUUGUAACGAAAUAAAGAAGAAUCAUGGGGUAAUAGGUCGAAGUAAAAGUUUAAGUGUCUUUUUGCAAAACUUAACCAACAUCGAGGGUAAUUAUGUAUUUACAUUUUUGUUAAUAUUAUUCUUUCACAUGGUACAAAUGAUAUCUUCAGGACGAUAAUGAGUCCCUUUAUCUUAUAUUAAAGUUAAAAUGUUUUCGAGUCCCUUUAUUUUUAUAUGAAAGUUAAAAUAUGUCUUUAUAUCGAGUGUUGAACGGCAAGCUAGAUCAAUUACUGUUAGAUAUAGCAAAGUAAAUUCACAUGAGAUUUGAGGAAGAGAGAUAAACAGGCAAACCAAUGUUAAAUUUACAAGUAUUCCAGUAAUGGUUGAUAGGCCACAACACAUCUCAUUCUAAAUAAACAUGGAGCUGAAAUUAUUACAAAGGUUUCGUGGUGUAGUUGGUUAUCACGUCAGUCUAACACACUGAAGGUCUCCGGGCGAAGCCAUUUUCGUGGGUAAUAGGUCGAAGUAAAAGUUUAAGUGUCUUUUUGCAAAACUUGACCAACAUCGGGGUAAUUAUGUAUUUACAUUUUUGUUAAUAUUAUUCUUUCACAUGGUACAAAUGAUAUCUUCAGGACGAUAAUGAAUCCCUUUAUCUUAUAUUAAAGUUAAAAUGUUUUCGAGUCCCUUUAUUUUUAUAUGAAAGUUGAUGACUAGGUUCUGUGGCUAGAAGUUGUGAUAAGCUUUGAUCCAUCUGAUAUAACUAGGCCAAAUACAAUCGAUGUUGGAGAGUUUUAUUUGGAAUUCAGACCCAAUUAGCUUUUGUUAAGAAGGACUAGAAGUUACAAAGAAUGGUUAUACAAAAUUAUGUCGAAGCUUUGGCUUUUUGCUGUCUCUCAUCUCCUUUCUAAGUUCUAGUAUCUCAUUCCCUUCUGAUUACUUUCUACUCUAUUAUUCUCUCCUUAGUUUGUGUUGUUAUUACUUUGUUUUAGGAUUCUAAGUUGUAACUUGUAUUCAGUGAUUAUGAUUUAUUCUGUUUUUGUGUUAAAAAAUUCGACUUGUUACAAAAAUCCAUUAGAUCCACGCACUGAAACAUCAUCUUUCCCCACAAUAGUCAUCCGCAGCUAUACGAAACAAACUAAAGUUCACUAGCAUUAUUGUAUAGCUGUUGCAGCUAAGGAAAUACACCUCUGACAGUUUGACUUGCUUAAAGAAAUUUAAAGAUAAACUAAGCAGCAUAUAGAGAACAAACAUUACAAAAAGCAGUGUGUCAAAUGCUUUAUUCCAACCUGAAGUAAUAAUAUGUACUGUAAUCCUAAAACUGAAAAGAGGAAAAAAAACAAUAUGAACUGUGACUUUAUUAGGAAACUGUCCAUCUUUCAGCAUUUUGAUCAGCGUGAGUAGGCUAUCAAUGUCUGCAUUUUCAUUCAAUAAUAUCUAUUCCACCAGCGAGUUGAUCUACAUCUUCCAUUGUUUCAUUGACGCACGUCCAUCUUCAUCGUGAUUCUGUUCAUUAGCAUAUAGAGAACAAACAUUACAAAAAGCAGUGUGUCAAAUGCUUUAUUCCAACCUGAAGUAAUAAUAUGUACUGUAAUCCUAAAACUGAAAAGAGGAAAAAAAACAAUAUAACUGUGACUUUAUUAGGAAACUGUCCAUCUUUCAGCAUUUUGAUCAGCGUGAGUAGGCUAUCAAUGUCUGCAUUUUCUUUCAAUAAUAUCUAUUCCACCAGCCAGUUGAUCUACAUCUUCCAUUGUUUCAUUGACGCACGUCCAUCUUCAUCGUGAUUCUGUUCAUUAACACCUCCAACUUGAUCAAUAGCGCCUCCAUCUUGCUGAUUAGGAGCCUGUUCAUUAGCUCCUCCAAAGAGAGAAUCAUGCAAUGUUACACCACUCAGGUACAUAAUCUGUUUCCUGCCACAAAAUACUCAUUUGAAUAAACACCUCACAAGUCAUAUCGCAUACGUGUACAGUCAAUAUGCAAAUUUGUAAUUAGAAGCUUACAAUCUCAUAAAGAACCUUCCUACUACAUAGUACUGGGAUGGUUGGGCUACUGCAAUCUGAAGAAAUCAUAAUUAAGAAAAAUAGAGCAACAAAAUCGUCUUGUUCAUGGAAAUCAAAUGCUCUUUAAUAUUAGUAUCUUACAAGUUCCCAGCCAAGCAGAAUACGACAAUUGAUACAGUAAACAUUGGCCAGGGUAUUUCCAUCUACUACACGAAGAUAAUUCACAUUAUUUGGUACAACAACAUGAAAUCUGCAUAUAACACAUAUACGCCUCAGACCUCGGAAAAAAAACUUAGGCAAAUAAAUAAAAUCACAAGAUGCUCAAAUACCUAAUUUUCGAAAUUGCAUGCGACUUACACUUUAUUAAAGUACCCUCCAUACACUAAGUCCUGCGCCUGGACAAUAAAACGAACAUAAUAAGUUGUUCUGUUCUUAGUCAAGAAAUGAAGGAAUUGAAUGUUACAUAUCCACUUUAUGAAAUAAGUAAUAGUUUCAUAAAAAAAUAUACACUAAAAAAAUAAUCCUUACAUUAGGAACGUAAUGCUCGAUGAAUGAAACACGAGUUUCGCAAAAACAGCAAAGGAUGCAACCACGCACAUUGAUUAGAUGAUUUCCAAUUAUAAAGGACAUUGUAUCAAAUGAAAGAACUAUUAUGAUUUUGGAGAGAGAUGCAAAUAAUAAAAUACACUCCUACUAGUACCAAACUCUUGCUAAAAAUAAGAAGCAGACUCCUUAACAAAACAACUAAUUACUCUACGAAAUUAUUUUUUGUUUUGUUUUGCCACUUAAGAAUAUUUUACUACAUUUUACCCUCCUAAACUAUUUUCUUUUUAAUUUGAGGCGCUAGUCAAAUUGACAUUUUAUUUUGCACCCUUGCGCCGACCGUACAGAGAAUAAAAUAAGCACCAGUUGUGUUUCCUUUUCUUUUUCUUUUUCUUUUCCUAUACUUCCUUAAUAAUGUUAUUGUUGGGUAAAUUUCGAUGGUUAAAAUUAGUAAAAACUUAUUUGUAUGGAGUGGUUACGUCAAAUAAUAGAUGUGCGACAUACUAUUUAACGGUGAUUAGUUAAUGCAUAUGUUUUAUUACAUUAAAUCAAACGAAAGCCUUGGAGCAACAGUAAAAUUAUGUCUGUAUACAUUACAUGUUCGAGUUGUGAAAGCAACUGCUAAUACUUGCAUCAUGAUAGACAGGGAUGGAGCUACCGAACCCCCUUCGACAAAAAAUUAUACUAUAUAUAUACAUGGUUAAAAUUAUUUUUUAUGUAUAUAUAUAUUAGAUGUUGAACCCCCUUCGAUAAGUUCAGAUGUUCAUUAUGAACCCUUAGUGAAUAUUCUGGCUCCGCCAAUAAUGAUAGACCGCCUACAUUACACCCACUCGGUACUUGCCCAAGUCUAUCCUUUUUACCAAAAUACGUUAGAAUUUUGUUGGUGUAAACACCAGACAGUAGUGAGGAAAAUAAAGCAUCAUCUUAGAUCUCCAGAUGCUAAAGGCAUUCCUAUAUUGUUAUAUAUACCAUAUAAUUUACGAAAUUGUAACUAAUAUUAAUAAGAAAUUUCAAAUUUUAAACAUUUUCGUUAAUUUAGUUAGAUUGUACACAUGAGUGGUAAAUAACGGUAAAAUUUCUCUCUUAUUAAAUUAACAAAUUAAAAUUUUCAGAGUUAAUAACUCAAGUAAUCACUCAACUAUAAACUUUUAUUCUAAAAAAAUCAUUCAACUUUGUUCUUUACCUUAAAUGUCACUCAGCUAUAAAUUUUUAUUUCAGAAAGUAACACAACUUUGAUCUUUACUUCAAAAGUCACUCCACUAUUAAAUUUUUACUGAGAAAGUCACUCAAUCCAUUUAAUUAUUUUAAAAAAAAUAAAAUUUGCUUAUGUAAAAUUUCUAUUUAAAAAAUAAAUUCUGAAAAAUAAAAAGUUUCCAUUUAAUGACCGUUUUAUUCUUAUUUCCUUAAAUUAAUAUCUCGUCGUCCUCUUUUUUCUUCUUCUCAUAAAUUUUUUCGUGACUCGAAUAUUUACAGUAUAAUUAAAUAGAAAUUUCAUAAAAGCAAAUUUUAUUUUGUAAAAAAUAAUUAAAUAAUUUGAAUGACUUUCUAAUUAAAAAUAUAAUUGUUGAGUGACAUUUAAAAUGGAGAUGAAAAUUGAGUGACUUGAAUGUAUAGACAACUUUGCACCUCGUAUCGGUAGAUUCGAGAAGGCCCCAAGAGGAAUUCUUCUUCACAAUUUCUGGGUUUUAGAAUAAUCAAUGGACCCCUAAAAUAUUCGAUUGAAGGAGUGUAUCGAUCAAGCACUCAUGAAACGUUUUCGUUUUCUGAGAAAAUUAUCAAAUUCCAAUGAAAAACCCUUCAUUGCUGUAUUAGCUUUGGCUGCUGCUGGAUUUUUUUCUAGCAAUGAAACCACCAGUUCAAGAACAUCAAUUUUGGUUUCGUUACCCGAUCCCGAUCCCUUAAAAGACAGACUCGUUCGUUCUGCGGCCGACCAAUCUCAAGUGUAUAUUUUCCCAUCGUGUUUUGCUAGAAGAAUUGGUUUGGACUCACCUGGGAAUGUGAAGAAAGAAGGUUCUGGGGAAGAUGACGACGAUGGUGAGAAGAAACAUAAAUGUUGUAAUUGUUUCGGACGAGAUACUAUUGCCAAUGCAGCUGCCACUGUUGGUCCUGCUGUUGUUAAUAUCUCAGUAUCAAGGAGCUUUCACGGAUUGAGCGCUGGAAGGAGUAUAGGAUCAGGAACUAUAAAAGAUGCUGAUGGCACUAUUUUGACUUGUGCCCAUGUGGUUGAUUUUCAAGGCUUGAGGAUUUCGUCAAAAGGAAAGGUUAUGUGACUUUGCAAGAUGGCCGUGUAUUUGAGGGUACCGUGGUCAAUGCGGAUUUGCAUUCUGAUAUUGCAAUUGUUAAGAUCAAAUCUACAACUCCACUUCCAACUGCAAAACUUGGCACUUCAAACAAGCGGCUUCGCCCUGGGGAUUGGGUGGUGGCUAUGGGUUGCCCCCUUUCUCUCCAAAAUACAAUUACAGCAGGCAUUGUGAGCUGCGUCGAUCGUAAAAGUAGUGAUCUUGGACUUGGAGGCAUGCGGCGAGAGUAUCUGCAGACUGAUUGUGCUAUUAAUGCUUGAAAUUCUGGAGGACCUCUAGUAAAUGUCGAUGGAGAAGUAGUCGGAGUUAAUAUCAUGAAAGUACUGGCAGCUGAUGGUUUGGGCUUUGCCGUACCAAUUGAUUCGGUUACCAAGAUUAUAGACCACUUCAAGAAUAGGGGGAGAGUUAUUCGACCUUGGUUGGGUUUGAAAAUGCUCGAUCUAAAUGAUAUGGUUGUUGCACAGCUUCAGGAAAGAGAUCCAUCUUUCCCAAAAGUCAACAAGGGAGUUCUUGUAUCAAUGGUGACUCCAGGGUCCCCCUGCUGAUCGUGCUGGAUUUCACCCUAGUGACGUGGUUGUUGAAUUUGAUGGAAAUCCUGUUGGGACAAUAAAGGAGAUAAUUGAUAUAAUGGGUGACAACAUUGGGAAACAAUUGAAUGCAGUGGUGAAAAGAGUCAAUGAUGUUACUGCUACGUUGAGGGUAAUUCCAGAAGAAGCUAAUCCUGAUAUGUGAAAUGCAAUGUUUUGUCCUCACAGAAGGAUUAUAUAUUUUUCUGAUUUCAAUCUCAAAAAUCAGAAGCUGAUCAGGUACUGCGUAUUGUGAUUGUCCUAUAUGAACCUAUUACAAACUGAUAAGCAUUUUGUAAAGUAAUAACUACACUGGCUCUAUUUAGAAAGUGUAUCUUUCUGCAUUUUGAUCAGCAUGAAUAGGCUAUCAAUGUCUGCAUUUUCAUCAUUAGUUGGUUCAUAUUAUCUAUUCCAUCAGCCAGUUGAUCUUCAUCUUCAUUCAGUUCAUUGGGGUGCCUGCAUCUUGAUCAUCAUUCUGUUCAUUAGUGUCUUCAUCUUGAUUAGCAUUUUGCUCAGCAGCUCCUAAAUCUUGUUCAUUAGAAACCUGUUCAUUAGCAUCUCCAUAUUGAUCAGCAUUUUGCUCAGUAGCACCCACAUCUUGUUCAUUAGGAACCUGUUCAUCAGUGUCUCCAUCUGGAUCAACACUUUUCUCAUUAGCACCUACAUCUUGCUCAUUAGGACACCGUUCAUUCGCAUUUCCAUCUUGAUCAGCAUUUUACACAGUAGAGCCCACAUCUUAUUCAUUAGGAAUCUCUUCAUUAGUGUUUCCAUCUUGAUCAGAAUUUUUUUCGGUAGCUCCCAUAUCCUGUUCAUUAGUGUUACCAUCCGGAUCAGUAUUUUGCUCAUUAGCACCUACAUCUUGAUCAUUAGGACCGUGUUCAUUAGCGUAUCCAUCUUGAACAGCAUUUUGCUCAGUAGCGCCUAAAUUUUGUUCAUUGGGAACCUGUUCGUUAAUGUCUCCAUCUUGAUCAGCAUUUUGCUCAUUAGCGCCACCAUCUUGAUCAAUAUUGUCUGCAUUCAGAGUAGAGGCUAUCAUUGUCUGCAUUUUCAUCAAUAUUAUCUAUUCUAUCGGCCAGUUGAUCUACAUCUUCUUUCAGUUCAUUGGCGCGCCUCCAUCUUCAUAGAUCAUUUCUAUUCAUUAGCGUCUCCAUUUUGAUCAUCAUCCCAUUCAUUAACACCUCCAUCUUGAUCAGCAUUUUUGCUCAAUAGCGCUUCCAUUUUGAUCAUGAUCCCGUUCAUCUUCACCUCCAUCGUGAUCAUCAGGAGCCUGUCCAUUAGCUCCUCCAAAGAGAAAAUUAAGCAACGUUACAUCAUUCCAGUAAAUAAGCUUGUCCCUGCAGCAAAAUAUUUAUUUGGAUUAACACCUUACAAGUCAUGUGCACAUGUGUUUGUAAUUUUCCGUGUAAAAGUCUACUACCUUUUACUAGGGAUAGAUUUUCCAUUUUUCUUUUCCCCUAAGAAUAUUUUAAAUCACUUUACUUCUACUAAUUUUUAUAAAAAGUUACAUUUGUAAUUUACGGUGAAAAUUGGCUAGAAAGUUCUAGUCAGAUUUUUAUUUGAAACUUAACAAGCUGGAGAAGCCUAUAACUAAUUUUCUUACCUUUUACUCACACCUAUGACAAGUAAAAAGAAAAAACUGGAGAACCCUCUAACACCAAGUUUUCAUAGUGAUAACUCGUGAGAUUAAUUUUAGAAUGAGCUUAUCCCAUGUUUGGUUGGGAUAAAAUGUAUGGGAUAACUCAUCCCGGGAUUGUAGUGCUACUUUUAUCCCACCUUGAGGGUGGAAUAACUAAUCCCGGGAUAACUUGUUAUCUCGACCAAACAACCCUUGAAGUUCUCCGGUUCGAAUCCGGGUGAAGCCAUUCUGAACUAUGUUUUGGAGUUUUCCUUACGUGCCAAAUUGGAGUGCAACUUACUUAAGAAACCAGGAGCCUCUUGUUGAGACUUGCUGUGGUGAAAGGAAAACUCAAUCAGUACCCUCAGGACUACGUUAGGCGUUUAGGCAUUUUAGGCAGCGAUAUACUUUAGUACCCUCAAUCAGUAAUUGCUGUACAUACAGCAACACUACACGAGGCAACAACAAGCAUAUAAUCAUCCCAUUUGAGUUCAUUCUGACUAGCUUCUCCACUUCUGCAGUUUGAAAAAUGUCUGCAUUUACAAACAAAAUAGCGCCUUCUUUAUAUGGAUAAGUUAUCAAGGCCCCAAGGUGUCGCGGUACAGCUGGCUAUCACGUCAGUCUAACACAUAGAAAGCGACACUAUAUACUCUUUUACUAAUUAUUCUUUUGAUUUUUCCUAAUCGUUCUUCUCAAUAGAUGAAGUUUGAGGAUCAUUUCUAAGCCGAACAAGACAGAAGAAAUGGCUAAGAAACAGCAGUUGUACAAAUCUACAUUGCGAUAUCCUCUUGACAAAAGGAAUACAAACGUUUACAUCUGUUCAAGUUCACAGAUUUCAGAAGGUUACUUUUUAGCAAUAUAUUAAACAAUUGAACAGUAGAAAACAGAAACUCAAAUUUGUAUAAAAUAAGCAUUGAGCACUGACGAUUUAGUUGGAAUAUACUGGGUAGUCAAUACUAAAACAGCUUCCUGAAAGCCCCAUGAAUAAACACUCCUGUGUGGCUUUGAAAAUUUCAGUAAAUUACACUCUUACCAAACAGAUUUGGAGAUGUCAAAUGACGAUAUAGUUUUAAACAGACGCAGAAAGCAACAUGAAUAAACAAAAGUAGACUCUGCUAUCUGCUCAUAAAAGAAACAUCAUCAUUCCCCACAGUAGUCACUGCAUUUUUAAAGAAAACAAAACUAAAACUUAUAGCAGUUGCAGUGGACUUGCUUCAAAAUAUUAAAAGAUAAACCAAGCAGCAGACAGAGAACGGUGGUUCAGUGUAUGCAUGUAAAAGGUUCAGUGUCAAUUGCUAGGUUCCAACCUGAAGUAAUAAUACGUAUCCAAUCCCCAAAUCAAAAAGAGGAAAAAGAAUAUCACACAGUUAUGAAUUAGCAUUUUGUAAAGUAUGAACUAUGACUCCAUUCAGAAAAUGUGCAUCUUUCAGCAUUUUGAUCAGCAUGAAUAGGCUAUCAAUGACUGCAUUUUCAUCAAUAUUAUCUAUUCCAUCAGCAAGUUGAUCUACAUCGAUGUCCUCCUUCGCUUCCUUUGCGCGCCUCCAACUUCAUCUUGAUUAGCAUUUUGCUCAUUAGCGACCACAUCUUGUUCAUUAGGAACCUGUUCAUUAGCGUCUUCAUCUUGUUCAGCAUUUUGCUCAUUUGCACCUAAAUCUUGUUCCAUAGGAACCUGUUCAUUAGCGUCUUCAUCUUGAUCAGCAUUUUGCUCAUUAGCGCCUAAAUCUUGUUCCAUAGGAAUCUGUUCAUUAGCAUCUCCAUCUUGAUCAGCAUUUUGCUCAUUGGCGCCACCAUCUUGACCAGCAGGAGCCUGUUCAGUAGCGCCUCCAAUUCCAAGCAGAGAAUUAAACAAUGUUACACCUUUCCAGUCAAUAAGCUCGUUCCUGCCACAAAAUAUUCGAUUGAAUUAACACCUUACAAGACAUAUCGCAUAUGUGUGCAGACCCAAUUUGCAAGUUCUUAAUCAGAAACUUACAAAUCCAUGCUGAAAUGUCCUACUUUAAUAUUCUCUGUUGGUUCGGGGACUGCAAUCUGAGAAAUCAUACAUUCUUUAAUUUAAGAGAAAAAAAAAGAGCAACAAAAUCGUCUUGUUAUCAUGAAUAUCAAAUGAUCUUUAAUGUUAGUAUCUUACAAAUUUCGACCCGAUCAGCAUUUUACAUCCUGAACAGCGAACAUGGGCUAGGGUAUUCCGACCUAUUACUUUGCGAUUUCGCGCAUCCUCUGAAACGUCAACAUCAAUCCUGCAUAUAUGCCCCAGGAAAAAGCUUAGACAAAUAAUAAACAGCGCAAGAUUCUGAAAUUUCAUGAGAUUAUGAGACUUACAUUCUAGUAAAGAUCCCUGCAUCAGCUAAGUCUCUUUUCUGCAAAUUAAAGUGGACAAGACCAUAAAAAAUGAGCAUAAUAAGUUGUGAUGUAGUUAGUCAAGAAAUAUAAUAAUCAUACAUCAUAUCCUCUCUAUGAAAUCAGUAGCAAUUUGGUUAUCAAAGAAAAUAUCUGUAGCCCACAGAGACAUUUGGUGCGCUUACAAACAAAUUGAUACUAUAACAAAUUGCAAGAAAUGAUACAGAAAGAGUGAGAAUCCUUACGUUUAGAAAGUAAUACUUGACGAAUGAAACCGUAGCGUUGCAGCCACGACAAUGGAUGCGAUCUUCAGAAGGGAUUACCAUUGUAUCAACUUUGUGGAAUCAAGAAGCAACUAACUCCUAAUAGAUAUGUUUCACCUGUUACACAACAAAGUGGACGAGAAAUUUUAAAGAUGCAAGACUUUACUGUAUCGAGUUUAUCAAUGGAAAAAGAAGAGAGAGAGAGAGACCAACUUCGAAACAAGAAUAGAGCUCUGAAUUUACUGAGAGAAUUGAAGAAAGUAAAAACAAAUAAUGGGUGGGAAUGUUUCAAGUUAAUGGGACUGAGAAGAGAAUGUUUAUAUAGAAAAUUAAGUCAAUUCUUGAUUCUUGAAUUCAGAGGAGGGAUAUUGUAUCAACUUUGUGAAUCAAGGACCUGUUACGUUGCACAGUAAAUUUUCUUCAACAAAGUGGAAGAGAAAUAUCAAAAUUGAGAAUUCAAGAAAGUGCAAAAUGGAAAUGAGAAGAGAAUGUUAAUAUAUAGAAAAGUUGGUUCUUGAUUCUUGAAUCCAAGUUAUGUAUUUACCGUUGAAUUAAUUCAUAUAGGAGGGAAAUCUUGAAAUUAUUACAUUAAGAAGAUUGUUCAAUUUACCCUCCAAAUUAUAUAGUUUUAAAUUUCUGACAUUAGUGUAUUGACAUUUUACUUUUAAUCACAUAUACUGCAACCGACUUAAAAUUGUAUAGAGAACCGUUGCGUUUCCUUUUCCUUGCGAGUUACGAGAAAUAUAGUUGGAAAUAAUUUUAUUUCUAUUUCACUUUGGGAUAAUACCCACGAAAAUAUUUGAACUUUGAUCGAAUUUUCAGUUGAGCAUACUAAACUUUGCGGGGGUCCUAUNNNNNNNNNNNNNNNNNNNNNNNNNNNNNNNNNNNNNNNNNNNNNNNNNNNNNNNNNNNNNNNNNNNGAAUAUAUAUAUAUAUAUAUAUAUAUAUAUUUAUUUUGUGUCUUUAAAUUGUAAUAUUUAUUCAUUAAUUGCUAAUAAAAUGAUCCAAAAUUCAAUAUAAACUUAAAACCUAAAUUUUUCACUUUUCAUCUUAUAUUUUAGUUUCAAGAGAGUUUUUCGCUCCUCAAUUUUUCAUAAUUGUGAUUUUUUAUUAGCGCAUGGAUGAAAACAUACUUGAUCUAAACUUCAAUCACAAUAUAAUUGUCAAAAAUAAAUAUUAUAAAAAAAAUCUGAGAAAAACAGAAAAAAUCGAAAAAACCAAAAGAACCGACUAAAACCUAAACCGAAAAAAUCGAUUUUAUGUUGGUUUGAUUUGAUUUAUAGUUUUAAUAAACCGACAUAAUUGAUUUGUUUUUUUUCAAUAGAAAACCAAACCAAACCGACCUAUGUACACCCCUAUAUCCAACAAUGGUAUUGUUCUUCUCCAAAAUUAGCAGUAGCAGCAGACCAAAACAAUGGUGUUGUUCUUCUCCAAAACAACAUCAUUACAACCCAAACAUUGACAUCCAACAUCCCAAAACAACCAAAAACUCAGAAAGUUUCAAUCUUUACACUCCCCAAGUUCAAUUUAAUAGAAAAAAUAGCAAAAAUUUGCUUCAGAGAAUUCGAAUCACCAAUCUUGAAAGAAACUUUAAAAUGCAUCAUUUAAAAAAAAGAAUAAAAAAUUCAUAAUUUGAGAAAAUCAUCUUCACAGAUUUCUUGAGAAUUCGAAAUUUCAAUUACUAUCAAGAUUGAAGAAGACCCAUUUGGUGUGUGUAUUGAAAUUGAGUCAAAUUGAUGUAAUUGAAUUGGAUGUGUUAAAGAUAACUAAUUUGAUGCGUGUGUAUGUGAUGAAAUUGUGUUCAAUUCAAUUUGAAAUUGUGUUCAAUUCAAUUCCAAGUCAACCAUGGAACACCCAUGAAACACCAUUGAAGAGAAGAAAGACAUAAAAGAGAAGAAAAAACAGAGCAGAUAUAUAUGAAAAAUAAAUAAAAAAUCAUUUAAUUUAUAAAAAUUAGAAAAUUGAGGGUUGUUUUGACAAAACAGAAAGGUUUUUAAACGAUUUUUAACACUUUCAUACGUCCAAUGCGCGUGAAUUACACGCAAUGAUCCAAGGGGUCUGAUAUAUGUCAUUAAAAUAUAGAAAAAAAGUCUAGGGGGUAAUACAACCCAAGCAAAGUUCAGUAUGCUCAACUGAAAAUCCAGUAAAAGUUUAGGAGUUUUUGUGGGUAUUAUCCCUUUCACUUAAGAAAAAGAGCAAGUGUAUCUUAACAAAUGUUAUUGUUGUGUGAAUUUCGAUCUCAAAAACUUGGAAAGUUCGCUCAAUGAAAGAUUAAGUUUAUGGGUGGAAUUAGAGGGGAUAAAAUUAGUAGAGCCGUCAAUAUGGGGCCAAGGACCAAUGGGUCAGCCAGGCCCGACUUGUAAUUUGAUUGGGUGGGUUUCAAUUUUUGUAGCCCAUUUAAGAACAUAGCUUUUUAGCCUGGCCCGGAUAAGCCCAUGGCCCGUAGGGCUUGAGGAAUGUGGGUUGGGCUAGUCCGUAGGCCGGCCCGUCAGUCAAAUAAUAAAUAAUUUAUAAAUAAAAUAAAAUACUGAAAAAUAAUAAAAGAGUUAAAAAACAUUCAAAUUCAAUGAUGACCAUUGACCAAUUCCAUUAACAAAGAAAAUGGAAACUGGAUAAUUUCCUACUUUCCUAUCUAAUACAUAAUAAAAUAAUUACAUAUCUACCACUAAAACAUAAAGAGUACAUUGUACUCUUCACUUUCCUAAUUUUCUUAGUUCAGCUAGCCGCCGCCUCUUCACUGUAUCUCCCUCAACGCGUCAUCGGCUUUCAACCGUGAUGGUUCUGAUUGAGUAGUGUCACCUCUUCGUUUUCUUCCUACUUUGGGUGAUUCGAGCUCUGGCUCCCUUUUGAUUAACAAACAUUAAUAUUAUGUGUUAUUGUGUGAUAAAUAUUUAUGUUUAUUAACAGUGUAAAAUUAAAUUAUAAAAUAUUAUUUUUUAAGAAGUGGGCUGGCCCGUGAGGCCCGUAGCCCACAGGGUAAUAACGUGGGCUUGGUGUUUUUUGACCCGUCAUUUAAAUGGGCCAGCCCGACCUGACCCAUCAAACUCAAAGCCCGUAUAGGCUGGACCAACCCGUAUUGACAGCUCUAAAAAUUAGCCAAGAAAUAUAACACUCUCACUUCAUUCGAAAUGACCUGCUUCGUACUCCCUCCCUCCGUUCAUUUUUACUUAUCAUAUUUUUAAUUGACACAUUUAUUAAGAAAAAUAAUUAAUAGUAUAGUUAUUUUCUCAUAGUAUUUUUAUUAAAUGAUGUUUACAUUGUGUCUUGAAAAUAAUUUGAAGAAAAAACAAUUAAUACUAAAAGUAAAAUAGAAAAAAAGAAAUUAUUUUUUCUUAUUGACAAUCAAAAGGGAGCGGAGGGAGUAUUAGGUCGACGCAAUUAAAAAUUGGGCCGAUAUGUAGCGCCUUAUGAUGAAUCUUGUCAAAACAUUUUCAAAUAGUAAUAUUUUUUAAUUUAAUAUGUUAUAUACCGUCAUGAUUAAAACAAAUAAUUUUAUAAUGUACUAAAAAUUAUAAAAUAAAAAAAUAAAGCAAUUAAAAUACAAUAUGAAUUGAGCCUGAAUUUUCAUCAUUAAUUGAUGUGUUUGUAUUUAGAGCAAUAUUGCAUCAGCCAGUUGAUGUGCAUCUUCAUUUAGUUCAUUUUGCGCCUCCAUCAUUAAAUUCUUCAUCAAACAUUGAGUCAUUAUUUCAAUAAACAAGCUUGUUCAUGCCACAAGACCAAAAAAAAAAUUCAUGUUAGUACUUUAUAAAUCAUAAUAUCAUAUAGCAUAUGAGUAUGGAGGGGCUGCAAUCUGAACAACUGAAAAGAAAAAAAAAAAACAAUUAAAGCGAAGCUGCAGCAAAUGCUCUUGUUCAUCCUUAGCAACAUUCCACAUUUGAUGCAGUAAGUAUCAGCUAUGGUUUUGUCAUUUACUUGCUUAUGGUGUUUCUGCAUUAACGUAUAAUUUCUAUGCCAACUUGUAAGAAGUCAGGGUGGUAGUAGUACUUCCUUCAUUCUUGUCAAUUAGUACUGGUUCAUUUCCUAGGAUUGGUAAAGUAACGUCUAGCCCUCUUGCUUGUACUUAUCCUUUUUGACGAUAUUUUUGACAAUAGCAACUUGCUAACAGGACUACUUCUCUAAGAAUUAUUUAGUGAAAGUUUAGUCUGGAGCAAGAACAGGAUUUGUUUUAGCUCUUAAGCCUUUAGGCAGCUGUAAACUUCAGUAAAUUAUAGAGCAGUACACAGAACUCCAAACGCUGUAAAUAUGUUUCAUGUAGCCGAUUUUUAGAUGUCAAACUAAAUGAUACACGGAUAGCCUUUUUCUAAGGCCACCCUCCAGUACUAACGUUAGCCACGAGGCAGCAUAGAGAGAAGCCUUUCAGAAUCUCCGAAAUUAUUUGUGCAUCGCCAUAUUACAAGAUAACAAUAUAGUGGAUUGUGCUGUCUGCUCAUAAAUUAACUCGAGGGUGAUAACAAAAGCCAUCAGAUAUACAAUUUUCAAAUAUAUGUGUUAGAGAUUCAACUUUACCACACACUGGAACAUCAUUUUUCCCACAUUUUUAAGGAAAGAAAAAAGUUCACUAGCAUUUACUGUCAAGCAACAUCCAAGGAAGUAUAGUCAAAUGCUUAGAUAGUUGACUUGCUUUAGGAAAUUAAAAGAUAAACUAAGCAGCAAACAGAGAAAGGUAGUACCCGAGCUCAAAUAUGUGACAAGUUCAGUGUCAAUUGCUUUGUUCCAACUUGAAGUAAUAACAUGUACUGUAAUCCUAGAAUCAAAAGAGAAAAAUGAAUAUCACACAAUUAUGAAUUAGCAUUUUGUGAAGUAUGAACUCUAUUCAGAAACUGUGCAUCUUUCUGCAUUUUGAACAGCAUAAGUAGGCUAUCAUUGUCUACAUUUUUAUCAAUAUUAUCAAUUCCACCAGCCAGUUGAUCUACAUCUUCCUUCGUUUCGCUGGCACGCUUCCAUCUUGAUCAUGAUUCCGUUCAUUAGCAUCUGCAUCUUGGUCAGCAUUUUGCUCAUUAGCGCCUCCAUCUUGUUCAUUAGGAUCCUGUUCAUUAAUGCCUCCAACUUGAUCAUUAGGACCUCCAUCUUGUUCAUCAAGAACCUGUUCAUUAAGGCCCCCAUCUUGAUCGUUAGCGCCUCCAUCUUGUUCAUUAGGAACCUGUUCAUUAACACCCCCAUCUUGAUCACUAGCACCUCCAUCUUGAUCAGCAUCAGCGCCUACAACUUGAUCAGCAUUUUGCUCAUUAGGAUCCAGUUCGUUUGCACCUCCAACUUGAUCAUUAGCGCCCCCAUCUUGGACAGCGUUAUCAGGUACAACUUGAUCAGCAUUUUGCUCAUUAGGAGCCUGUGCAUUUGCACCUCCACUUUGAUUAUUAGCUCCUCCACCAUGCUCAGCAUUAGCAGGUACAACUUGAUCAGCAUUUUGCUCAUUAGGAGCCUGUGCAUUUGCACCUCCAUCAUGGUCAGCAUUCUCAGGCACAACUUGAUCAGCAUUUUGCUCAUUAGGAGCCUGUGCAUUUGCACCUCCAAAUUGAUUAUUAGCGCCUCCAUCGUCAGCAUUAGCAGGUACAACUUGAUCAGCAUCGUGCUCAUUAAGAGCCUGUGCAUUCGCACCUCCAACUUGAUUAUUAGCGCCUCCGUCUUGGUCAGCAUUAGCACCUCCAACUGGAUUAUUAGGAGCCUGUACGUUAGCACCUCCAACUUGAUUAUGAGGUGCCUGGGCAAUAAUGUCUCCAAAGAGAUAGUCACUCAACAUCACACGAUUCUGGAACAUAAGCCGGUCCCUGCCACAAAAUGCUCAUCUUAAUAACACCUUAGAAGUCAUACCGGGUGGGUAUAUGUAGUGUCUCAUUUUUUCAAGUUUAUAAUGAGAAACUUACAUUCUCACAGAGAAUCUUCCUAUCAAAUUCUGAGAUGGUUGGGUGUCUACAGUUUGAAGAAAUCACAAAUUCUGUACUUUAAGAAAAAAAGAACAAUAAAAUCGUCUUGUUCAUGAAAAUCAAAUGCUCUUUUCCACCCAAGCCAUUCGUUACACUGCAUACAGCAAGUAACUAAUCUGACUGAUUGGGUAUUUCCAUGUAGUUGAUCAAUCAUUGGUAGUAUUUUAACAUUUCUCCUGCAUAUAAUACACAGACCUCAGAAAAAGAUCUUAGGCAAAUAAUAAAAUCACAAGAUGCUGAAAUCACCCAAUUUUCGAAAUUGCAUGAGACUUACAUUCUAUUAAAGUGCCCUCCCCACACAAAGUCAUCCCGCUGGACAAGAAAACGAACAUAAUGAGUAGUUCUGUGCUUAAUCAAGAAAUAUAACAGAACACGAGUACAAAUAUCUGGGGAUUGAAUCCUCUUUAUGAAAUGAGUAGCGAUUUCAUCAAAAUAUACUUAUGAUUGCAUAGAAUUCAGUUCCUAAAUUGGGGUAUCAAAGAAAACAGUUUAGUGUGUUCAGAAGAAAUGAUGCAGAGAGAUGGAGUGAGAAUCCUUACAUCAGGAAUGAAAUCCUCGACAAAUGCAACUGGAUUAUUGCAAGAACUGCAAUAGAUGUAAUCACGACGAUCGAUACCUUGUGGAUCAACUGGAAAGUUUUCUUCCGUUCUAAUAUAUAUGUUCAACCUGUUAUAGAACAAAUUUUCUUCAACAAAGAACAAGGCGGAAUAGAAAUACCAAAAGAAUCAAUGGAGAAAAAAAAAAUAACUAACUUCGAAUCAGUUUAUGAAUAUAACUUGGAGCGGAGCUGGUAGAAAAAUGCACAACAGUAAGAAGAGAAUGUUAAUAUAGAAAAGCCACUUCUUGAUUCUUUAAUCCAAGCUCUGUAUUGACGGUUACUUCAAAAAGGAGGGAAAUUCAACUAUAUUUUAUUUUAUAUUUUUUCCCUUGACAAGAUUUUACGCUUUACCCUCCACAAUUCUGAAAUUAGUCAGAGUGAAAUUUACAUUUAAAAGAUUUUACAUGUAAAUCAAGUCUCAAUAGUUGAAACAAAAGUAACUUUUUUGCGAGGCAUAAAUUUAUAAAUUUGCAUCAUAAAAUUUCACAUGUUAUGUCUAGUGUCCUUAAAAGAACUUAUGUCCCACUAGGCAUAAGUUUGAUUGCUAAGGACAAAAAUUAAAUAUCAACCAUUUUGAAAGGCAAAGUUGCAAUUACAUAUUUUAGUGAAAAAACUUUCAUAGGAGAAUUAUUUAAAAUUAUAAUUUUAAAAUAUUUAUUGCUACACAAAGACUAUAACACAUUAAAAAAUAAUUUCAUUAAUGAUGCUUUUCGCUGUUAUUAUUAUUUUAUAUAGUUAUUUAUCAAGGUAGAAUGAGAAAAAGUAGUAAAUCUUUUUUAAUUUGCUAAAUAGACAAGUUAAAUGAAACAUCUAUUUUUGGUUUGGAGCCAAGUAAGACGGUAUUUCGUAAUAACGAACUAUGAAAGUUUCAAAUAGCCCAUAAUUUUCUUUUUUCGUAAAAGUUUAAAGGCAGAACCAUCAUUAGACACCUAACGUUAGCACGACUUUUCACUUAAGACACUUCAAGUAAACCUUGUACUUUUACUUAUAGAGUCCUACACAGAACUCAUAUAGCAGAUUUGUAGAUGUCAAACUAAAUGAUCGUAAAUCAACUCCAGGGUGAUCGUAAAAGCCAUCAGAUACACACUUUUCAAAUAUGUGUUGGAAUUUAACUUCACCACUGUGGGCGAUGCAAUUUUGAAUAUUUAAAUCCGUAUAAAAUUUGGAUUAUAUUAAAUUUAAAAUAUAUUAGUCCCAAAUAAAUAUUUUGGAUUAAUAUAAUUGGAUUAAUUAUUUAAGUCCAAACAUAUAUGGAUUUAAUUAAAGUCCAUUUUUUUAUUGGGCUAGCCCAUUGAUUUGGGCUACAAAUGAUGAGUCUACUUUGCUAAGCCCAAUAUAUUGUCAUAUUCUAUAGGCCCAAAUAAAUGUCACGUGUCAAAUGACGUGGCAUGCCAAGUCAAGUGAAGGAGCCAAUAGGACCAUUCCACAUGUCAAAAUAAUGCAGCAACCCAAUAAAAUCAAAGCCCAUAAAGGCGCCACAUCACUUGAAUUUGAUUGGUCAAAGAAAGUCCAUCUUCAUCAUCACUCUUCCUUUUCUACAACUAUAAAUAGGGGUCUCAUAAUUCAGAAAGAGGGACCCCAGAACUCUAACAAGUAGCGAGAGAAAGCUCGUGGAUCAAACGCCACAAUUUCUCUAAAAAGCUCAAGCAUUCAAAUCAAGUUCAUUAAGAUUCAAGAUUAAGACCGCAAUAUUCAAGAACAAGCUCAAAAACCCUUGAAUUCAAGCACAAGUCAAGAUCAAGCCCCUCAAAGCAUUCAAAUCAAGUUCAAAUUCAAGAUCAAGCUUUAAACUCUUGAAUUUAUAUUAGAAAAAGCGAAUCAGAGGAUUCAUAGAGAUUGUAAUAUCACAUAUUAAAAUUAAUAAAUUGAUUUUUACAAUAUAUUUUUCUUGUUUCGAAGUAUUGUUUUUCGAUCUCAAAAACUUUAUUGUCCAACAAAUUCUAGCACACCCAGUGGGACUAUCUCUACCUCUCAUCUCAAAUUUUUCAACUGCAAAGUUAAACAACAUUGAAAUGACUUCCAAGAAGGUUAAAUCUCAAUCAACUGUUUCCAAGGCUGCUGAUUCAAAGUUCUCUGCUGAAGUAGAAAGAAUCUUUGGCGUUACUUUCGAAAGCUUAGGAGUUGUGUAACGCCCCGCAUUUUGGGCUAGAAUAAAAACCAUGAUUUCGAUGCGUUGCUAAUUUUGAAGCCAUAAAAUCCUGUGCCAAUACGGCAUGUUAAUUAUUGUGUAGCAUGUGAAUCCGCUCAAGCUUGAAUUUAGACCAUAGAGGUCCUUCAACUCAAGGACGAGUUGAAACUAUUUCGAUCGACUAAGUUUUAGUAGACGUUGUAAAGUGUGUCAGCUUCCAUCGACCAUAACUCUCUAUGUAUGUUGAAUUAGGAAGCCUACUAUCUGUCAAUGAUAGGUAUUCGAGUUAGCUUUCCAACGAUACUAAUUUGGCUAAAAUUCAACACCCGAGCAAGAAGUUAUGGCCCUUCAAAGUGAUAAGCGAUGCCUAACCAAUCGCCCAUGGCCACUGAAAAGCAUAGGCGAUAGCCUAGGCGGCGCCUAUGUGAAGAUAGGCGAUGGGAUGGGCGGCGCCUAUGUAAGGAAUUCUGGUGAAUUAAACACUCCGUGUUAAGGACAAAGUGGUCCUUUUCCACCCUUACUUAGCCCUAAAAAACUAGAUUUAGUUCCAAAGACCACAAAAUACUUAUUCUUUCAUCAAAAGUGCUCAAGAUUCUCCUUAGGGUUUCAACAUAAAAACCCAAAUAGUUCAAGAUUUGACCGUAGGUUUUCAAAGAUAAUUACAUAUUUGGAAUCACCAAUCCGCAAGCUUCAAGAAACAUCUAUUAUCCUUGGAAAUAGANNNNNNNNNNNNNNNNNNNNNNNNNNNNNNNNNNNNNNNNNNNNNNNNNNNNNNNNNNNNNNNNNNNNNNNNNNNNNNNNNNNNNNNNNNNNNNNNNNNNNNNNNNNNNNNNNNNNNNNNNNNNNNNNNNNNNNNNNNNNNNNNNNNNNNNNNNNNNNNNNNNNNNNNNNNNNNNNNNNNNNNNNNNNNNNNNNNNNNNNNNNNNNNNNNNNNNNNNNNNNNNNNNNNNNNNNNNNNNNNNNNNNNNNNNNNNNNNNNNNNNNNNNNNNNNNNNNNNNNNNNNNNNNNNNNNNNNNNNNNNNNNNNNNNNNNNNNNNNNNNNNNNNNNNNNNNNNNNNNNNNNNNNNNNNNNNNNNNNNNNNNNNNNNNNNNNNNNNNNNNNNNNNNNNNNNNNNNNNNNNNNNNNNNNNNNNNNNNNNNNNNNNNNNNNNNNNNNNNNNNNNNNNNNNNNNNNNNNNNNNNNNNNNNNNNNNNNNNNNNNNNNNNNNNNNNNNNNNNNNNNNNNNNNNNNNNNNNNNNNNNNNNNNNNNNNNNNNNNNNNNNNNNNNNNNNNNNNNNNNNNNNNNNNNNNNNNNNNNNNNNNNNNNNNNNNNNNNNNNNNNNNNNNNNNNNNNNNNNNNNNNNNNNNNNNNNNNNNNNNNNNNNNNNNNNNNNNNNNNNNNNNNNNNNNNNNNNNNNNNNNNNNNNNNNNNNNNNNNNNNNNNNNNNNNNNNNNNNNNNNNNNNNNNNNNNNNNNNNNNNNNNNNNNNNNNNNNNNNNNNNNNNNNNNNNNNNNNNNNNNNNNNNNNNNNNNNNNNNNNNNNNNNNNNNNNNNNNNNNNNNNNNNNNNNNNNNNNNNNNNNNNNNNNNNNNNNNNNNNNNNNNNNNNNNNNNNNNNNNNNNNNNNNNNNNNNNNNNNNNNNNNNNNNNNNNNNNNNNNNNNNNNNNNNNNNNNNNNNNNNNNNNNNNNNNNNNNNNNNNNNNNNNNNNNNNNNNNNNNNNNNNNNNNNNNNNNNNNNNNNNNNNNNNNNNNUGGUGUAAAUUAUGUAGGGUAUUCCACCUAGCUCAGUUGCAUUUCAUUAUUGUUGAGAAAAACUAUUGCAUUACACUCAUGUGUUUUCAAAUGACUUGAUAUGAAAUUUCUUUAUAAUGGCUCUCAACUAUAUUUUGUAAAAAUAUUAUGUUUUGCUUUGAUAUCUCUGCGUACCAGUACUUUUGUGCUGACCCCCUCCCCUCUCCAACCUCCCAGGUUAAGAGGCCCAGUCUAGGGGUCAAGAGAAUCAGUAGAUCAUUCACACAGAGUUGUAGAGACAAGUGGUGAGCCUUCUAUGUUUCGGAAGGUCUUAUGUCCUGCAGUCCUUUUAUCUUAUAUUAGUUUUGGGUCUGCUGGGGGCCCUGUCCCAGUUUUCAGAUAGACAUUGUUUCAGUCAUGUAGUAGAGAUUUUGCAGACGGUUUUAGAGAUGUUGAUUUAGAUUGUGGGACACUAUUCCCCAUUUUCAUUUUCAUAUGAUUCUUGACCAUGUUUCCGUUAUAUUGUGUUUCUUUCGCAUUACUUUGAUCAUAUGAAUUAUGUGCAUGAUUAUCAGACAGAUAGGGGUGUUUUGGGCCUCCAUGGUUUGAAAUACUCAUCACGGCCAGGCCCUAGUUCGAGUCGUGACAAGCUAGCACGAGGAGAAAGACAAGUUUUCUAGGACAACAAAUACUUCUAGUGUCGUCCACGCCAACUCCAGUUUUUGGAUCUUCAACCCCAAAAGGAACGAAGUCCAAUGCAAGUGCUUCAAGGAGGAAGCAGUGUGGCAGAAUCGCUUAAUAAGACUUUAGAUCUACUUGAGCAUUCUGGUUCUAAAUACUCUGGCGCAAAGAGUGAUGUUCGUUCAAGCAACUCAUCAUCUCUGACCACACCGCAUAAGUUGCGCACUUCAAAGAUCAACUUGUGCAAUAAUCCAUGCUACUCUUCAACAUCUUCAGUGAUUACGCUAGCGAUGGUGACUGAUGCCUCGUGUAUGGAGGAACAACUUGUGAAUCUGACAAAGGCAAUUGAGAGCCUGACCAAAUAUAUUCAGAAUCAAGAUGCUCGAAUUGAUAAGAUAGUGGAUAGGGUGAAAUAUCUGAUAGACAAAGAAUCUAGUCAUGCACCUGGAAAAUCUCCAGAGAUUUAUGAGAUAGAAAAUCUUGUGAAACAAACACCACCGACUAAAGAGGUGUAAGUUUCUUCUGAGGAAAUGAUCCUGAUUGGGCAAUUGAGGGAAUUCAUUGAAGGGACCCUCAAAGACAAGUAUGAUGUUGUCACAAAAUCUUUCCUUGUGUAUGUCAAGCCCUACACUGCGAGGAUAAAUAGCCUCAAAAUGUCUGCCGGUUAUCAACCCCCCAAAUUUCAACAAUUUGAAGGCAAAGGGAACCCAAAACAGCAUGUCACACACUUUUGUUGAGACAUGUAACAACGUUGGAAAUUACAGUGACUAUCUUGUCAAAUAGUUUGUUCGUUCCUUAAAGGGAAACACCUUUAAUUGGAAUACGAACCUUGAGCCUAAUUUCAUCGAUAGCUAGGAGCAAUUGGAGCGCGAGUUUCUAAAUCGUUUUUAUAGCACAAGGUGUAUAGUGAUCAUGGUAGAGCUCACAAAUAAUCUCCAAAGAAAGGAUGAACCAGUUAUUGACUUCAUCAAUCGAUGGAUAAAUGCUAGCCUAAACUGCAAAGAUAGGUUCAGUGAAGCUUCUGCAAUAGAGAUGUGUGUCCAAGGAAUGCACUGGGAGCUUCUCUACAUCUUGCAAGACAUUAAGCCUAAAUCCUUUGAAAAGCUAGCUAUCCGUGCUCACGAUAUGAAGUUGAGCAUGUCUUCUGCUGGAAAGGAGGCAGUGCCUAUCCAUGACCCUCGAAGGGGAAAGGAUAAGCAGGAACCCAAAAUAUGGGCCAAGUUUGUCCCCAAAAAUAAAAACAAAGAGUCCAUGAAUGUUGAUGUGUCUCCUAUGAAGGUCACCAUAAAGGUGAGCAAGAAUCAAAGUAUGAAGAAGACUUCUGAAGCACGUCCGAAUCAGAAAACUUUAAAAGAGAUACAAGAAAAGGAAUAUCCCUUCCUUGAUUCUGAUGUUACUGAGAUUUUUGAUGAACUCCUUGAGCAUAAGCUCAUUGAUCUCCCAGAGAUGAAGCAUCCUAAUGAAGCUGGAAGGAGCAAUGGCCCUAAUUAUUGAAAUAUCAUAGGCUCAUAAGUCACCCUCUGAAAAAAUGCUUUGUCUUUAAAGAUAAAGUCAUGCAACUGGCAAAAGAGAAGAAGAUCUUCUUCGACGAUGAGACAGCCAGUUCUCAUUAAAUCUUCAUCACAUUUGGAUCGCUCAAUCCAGUCCAAAUAUGUGUUAAAGAGCAUAAUGAGAAAAUAUUAGAGUCUGAUAGGUCUUCAGUUAACGAAAACGAUGAUGAAGGUUGGACUCUGGUAACCAGGCAUAGACGCAAGAGGAUGAGUCUACAAACGGAGUUAUCCGAGCAUCCAAACAGAAGGACAAUGGUAAAGAAACCAAGGAACAAAAGUUGGUUGAAUUCCCAAAGAAGACGAGGGUGAUGGAGCUCUACCCCGAAAAACCUUAGUGUCCGGUGACUUUAGAGGAAUUGUUACUGAGUUGUUUUCGUGUAAAGAUUGCCCAAGUCAACCUUGAGGCGUCUUGUUUUAAUAUCGCCAAAGAGGGGGCAAAUGGUGAGAAUCUACCCAUGGUAGUUGUUUCAUCUUCCGAAAAGCUUGCUGAAACUCUUGGCGAAGAUGCACAUGUAUGUGAUACAAAAAUCACAUUCACAAAUAACGAUUUUCUGCUUGGUGAGGCCCUACAUAACCGUCCCUUAUACAUGGUGGGUCAAAUUCUAGGAAAGAAGAUCAAUAGAAUCUUGAUAGAUAAGGGAUAUGGAAUCAACAUCCUGCCUAUCCGCACGAUGAAGAAACAUAGCAUCGUUACUAGCGAACUGGAUGAAAGCCGUAUAAUGAUCCAAGGCUUCAACUAAAGGGGCCAGAAGGCUAUGGGUUGUAUUAAGUUGGGGAUUCAUAUGGAUGAUUUUCAAUCCAUUGAUGCAUGUGAUCGAUGCCAAAACUUCAUAUAAUAUAUUGCUUGGUAGGCCUUGGGUGCACGGGAACAAAAUUAUCUCGUCCUCUAACUAUCAAUGCUUGAAGUACCUCAAAGAUGGAAAGGAAAGAAAGAUAGUUGCCGAUGACAAGCCUUUCACUGAAGCUGAGUCAUAUUUUGUUGAUGCAAAAUUCUACUCAAAGAAUUAUGUUGUGGAUGAGAAGAGGGUUGAAGAUGUCACCAAGACCAAGUGUGACGAUCUUGCUUCUAAGAAGGCCGCGGUGACUUUAAAAAAAAGUCACCACCAAGAAGAAUCUCUCCACUUCAAAUAAAGAAAGUGUCGCUUCUAUGAAAAUAAAGGCAACUCCCGUUCUUCACUACGUACCAAAAGUAAAGAAAAAGAAAUAUCACUCAUCGGAUUUCCAAGAUAAUAUACUAAAGGGGCUAACUUUACCUAUCAGGAAGAUUGAUGCAAUAAGUCCAUCCUUAAGACUUCUUGAAGAGUCUGUGGCUCAAAAUAUCCCAUAAGAUAUGACACUCCCUACGAAGUGUACGAAAGAAUGCUUUGACCCAAAUGCAUAUAAGCUAUUUGUAAAGUAUGGAUAUAAUCCUAAUGAGACAUCAAGAUUAGGAAAACUUCCGUCAGAGGGUACAACCAGGCAGGCACGUGAAGGCCUAGGAUACACGCAGCCACCUCCAAUUUGCAUCUCCAUAAGAAGGGCAGACAGUAAUUACAUCAUCGUGGAAGAAAAAUACACUGUUGCUAAUAAAAGACCCUCUAUAUUUGACCGACUUAGAGGGUCAAAUGCAAGAACUUAUGUGUUUGAAAGGUUGGGACCUCUAAAUAAGAAGAAAAGCAACAAGCAUAAGAAGAGUCGUCAAAGCACGAUGAUGCACUCUUCACUUAAAAUACAGAAGGAUUUCCAAAGUUUGAUUUCUUCUAGAAUGAAGUGACAGACAGAAAUGGUAGUUUCAUACAACAAGGUGCUAAAAGCAAAGGCAGAUACUAUGGUUUAUACCAAGCAACACAAAGAAGAUUAAGAGAGUGUUGGCUCCUCAUAUUAUGUUACGAACCAGAACAAGAAAGAUGUCUCAUCUCAAAUAAAGGUUGAUGAAGAGAUAGAAGAUGCCUUUUGGUGUUGUCAUAUAUCUGUCAACAACUAUGAUCUUCAAGAGGAGAAAGAUGUUGGGGAUGUUCCAUCAUAACUUAAAGAAGGAGUAAAGGCCACAAUAGAUCCCUUGAAGGAAGUUAAUCUUAGAAUAGAUGAAAACCCAAGACCAACUUACCUGAGUGCGUUUUUAGAAGUGGAAGAGAAAAUCGCUUAUAUGGACACACUCAAAUAAUAUAUGGAUGUCUUCUCCUAGAGCUAUAAGGAAAUGCCUGGCUUAGAUCCAAAAGUAGCGGUCCAUCAGUUGGCGGUCAAGAAUGGUGCCCGUCCUGUUAAGCAAGCCCAAAGACAUUUUAGGCUGGACUUGGUUUCUUUGAUUGAAAAUAAAGUUAACAAACUCAUUGAAGGGAGAUUUAUUUGCGAAGUCAAAUAUCCCAUAUCGAUUUCAAGUAUUGUUUCAGUAUGGAAAAAGAAUGACCAAAUUCGAGUUUGCGUUGACUUUUGGGCUGCCCUAAGGAUGACUUUCCAAUUCCUAUACCAGAGUUGAUGAUUAAUUCCACCACUGGUUAUGAGGCAAUGUCCUUCAUGGAUGGUUCAUCCGGCUACAAUCAAAUUCGUAUGGUGCCAAAAGAUGAAGAACUCACUGUAUUUUGUAUGCCCAAAGGUAUUUAUUGCUACAAGGUGAUGCCUUUUGGUUUGAAGAACGCUGGUAAUACUUAUCAAAGGGAUAUACAGAACAUCUUUAAUGGCCUGCUCCAUAAAAAUGUUGAAUGCUACAUCGAUGAUCUAGUGGUGAAGUCAAGAAAGAGAGACGACCACUUAAAAGACCUAAGAAUGGUAUUCGAGUUACUUCGAAGAUAUUAACUUAGGAUGAAUCCAUUAAAGUGUGCCUUUGGAGUUACUUCUGGAAAGUUUCUUGGCUUUAUUGUGUGACACCGAGGAAUUGAAAUUGAUCAAGACAAGGUCGAUGCUCAAAAUAUUCAUGAGUUAAAAAGCCUCCAAGGAAGGCUAGCAUAUUUAAGGAGGUUCAUCUCAAACCUGACCAGAAAAUGUCAACCAUUUAGUCAUCUCAUGAAGAAAGACACUCCCUUCGAAUGGGACCAAGCUUGUAGUAAUUCCUUUGAUAGUAUCAAAUCAUAUUUAAUGAAGCCACUAGUUCUUGCGGAAUCCAUACCUAGGAAACCAUUGAUACUUUACAUCGCAGCACAAGAGAGGUCAGUUAGAGCACUACUGGCUCAAGAAAAUAGUGAUGGCAAAGAAAACUCUCUUUACUAUUUGAGUAGAAUGAUGACGCCGAAUGAGCUAAAGUAUUCUCCAAUUGAAAAGUUAUGUUUGGCAUUAGCCUUCUCGAUUCAAAAGAUGAAGCACUACUUUCAGGCUUAUGUUGUUCGUCUUAUGUCUAGGGCAAAUCCCAUAAAGUUUAUAAUGUCAAAAUCAGUCCUUAGUGACCGACUUACAAGAUGUACCUUCAAUUUCAAUAGUUUGAGGUUGUGUACGUUCCCCAAAAGGCUGUAAAGGGACAAGCAUUGGAUGAUUUUUUGGCAGAUCACCCGAUACCUGAUGAUUAGGAAUUGAGUGAUGAACUUCCUGAUGAAGAUGCAAUGGUUAUUGAAGCUAAACCCUCAUGGAAGUUGUACUUUGAUGGUGCCACACAUCGAUAUGGAGAUGGUGCCGGUGUGGUGUUUGUCACUCCACAAGAAGAGGUCAUCCCAUACUCUUUUACCCUUACAAACCAUUUCUCUAAUAAUGUUGUUGAAUAUCAAGCUUUAAUACCUGGACUUGAGAUGACAAUUGACAUAAAACAACUGCAAUUACAAGUCUUUGGUGACUUCCAAUUGGUGAUCAAGCAGCUUUUGGGAAGCUAUAAAGUCAGAAAGCCUGAGCUACGACCAUAUCAUGACUAUGCACAGAAGUUGAUGGGGUGGCUUGGAGAAGUAAUCCUCCAACAUGUACCAAGGAGAGAAAAUAGGCAAGUUGUGCCCUAGCUGCUUUGGCCUCAACCCUGACUCUUCCAAAUCAGACUCAAGUCACUAUACGACAAGAAUGGGUAGUACCGCCAACAACUGAAGAUGAAGAAAAUAAAGUUGAAUACCUUGUUGCCAUAUCUGAAGUUGAAAAAGAAGAUUGGCGACAACUUAUCAUUGAUUACUUAUGUUAUGGGAUACUUCCAGAGGACCCAAAAAGAAGGACAUACAUUCGUCAUCGUGUACCUUACUUACUUUACUAUAAGGACACACUGUACAGAAGAUUAUUUGAAAGAAUACUCUUAUGGUGUCUGGGAGAGAGAAAAUCAAUUCAAGCUUUGCAAGAAGCACACUCGGGAGUGUGUGGAUUAUAUCAAUCUGGACUAAAGCUUCAUUUUCACAUUGAAAGGAUAGGAUACUAUUGGCCAACGAUGGUGAAAGAUUGCUUGGACUAUGCUAGAAGAUGCAAAGCUUUUCAAUUCCAUGCGAAUUACAUUCAUCAACCUGCUGAAGUACUACACCCAACUGUAGCAUCUUGGCCGUUCAAUGCUUGGGGAAUGGAUGUUGUUGGUCCACUACCAAAAUCUUCUGGUGGACACUUAUACAUCUUGGCCGCGACAGAUUACUUCUCAAAGUGGGUCGAAGUUGUUGCUCUUAAAGAAGUAAAGAAAGAAAAUGUUGCAAACUUUAUUCGAGUGAAUAUCAUCUGCCGCUUUGGAAUUUCUCAAUAUAUAAUAGCUAACAAUGGCAAGCCGUUUGAUAACAAACUGAUGAAUAAAAUUUGUGAUCUCUUUGGCUUCAAGCAGCGCAAGUCUUCUAUGUACCAUGCGCCGCCGCCAAUGGUCUAGCUGAAGCCUUCAAUAAAACUUUAUGCAGCUUGUUGAAGAAAGUUGUCUCCAAAUACAAACGAGACUAGCAUGAGCGAAUGAAAGAAGCUUUAUGGGUGUAUAGGAUAACUUAUUAUACGCCAACGCAAGCAACCCCAUACUCGCUUGUUUUUUAAGUCGAAGCAGUCCUGCCACUUGAGCGUCAAAUACCUUCUUUGAGAUUGGCUAUUCAAGAAGGGUUCACUGAUGAAGAAAAUUCUAAGUUGCAUCUUGCGGAAUUAGAAGCUCUUGAUGAGAAGAGGCUGGAGGCUCAACAAAAUCUUGAAUGUUAUCAAGCCCGGUUAUCUCGUUAUUUCAACAGAAGGGUUCGCUUAAGGUGAUUCCAAGUUGGAGAUCAAGUUCUUGCAGUAAGAAGGCUCAUUAUCACUUCUCAUAAGUCUAGGGGAAAAUUCACCCUAAAGUGGGAUGGACCAUAUGUAACGCCCCGCAUUUUGGGCUAGAAUAAAAACCAUGAUUUUGAUGCGUUGCUAAUCCCGAAGCCAUAAAAUCCUAUGCCAAUAUGGCAUGUUAAUUAUUGUAUAGCAUGUGAAUCCGCUCAAGCUUGAAUUUAAACCAUAGAGGUCCUUCAACUCAAGGACGAGUUGAAACUAUUUUGAUCGACUAAGUUUUAGUAGACGUUGUAAAGUGUGUCAACUUCCAUCGACCAUAACUCUCUGUGUAUAUUGAAUUAGAAAGCCUACUAUGUGUCAAAUAAUAGGUAUUCAAGUUAGCUUUCCAACGAUAUAAAUUUGGCUAAAAUCCAACACCCGAGCAAGAAGUUAUGGCCCUUCAAAGUGAUAAGUGACGCCUAACCAAUCGCCCAUGGCCACUGGAAAGCAUAGGCGAUAGCCUAGGCAGCGCCUAUGUGAACAUAGGCGAUAGCCUAGGUGGUGCCUAUGUAAACAUAGGCGAUAGCCUAGGCGGCGCCUAUGUGAAGAUAGGCGAUGGGACAAAGUGGUCCUUUUCCACCCUUACUUAGCCCUAAAACAUGAGAUUUAGUUCCAAGGACCCCAAAAUACAUAUUCUUUCAUCAAAAGUGCUCAAGAUUCUUCUUAGGAUUUCAAAAAUGAAAACCCAAAUAGUUCAAGACUUGACCGUAGGUUUUCAAAGAUAAUUACAUAUUUGGAAUCACCAAUCCGCAAGCUUCAAGAAACAUUUAUUAUCCUUGGAAAUAGAAGUACGUGGGGCUAUCCAAAAAAAUCUCAUGGGUGUAGUUGUUCACCACUUGUACAUGAUGAAGCACCUUGGUUUUUACCUGAUUAUGCAUAUGUGGAUGUGAUAUUGAUAACUUGCAAGUUGGGUAUGACGAUACCCUACAGAAAACGAUAUGCGAUUGAAUAAGAUGAAAUUUGAAUGCAUUGCUUUUACAUUUGAAAGGUGGAUGCCCGAAGAAGGCGUUUGAGACACAAGUGGCUCGUCGCUAAAAGAACGUGUUUGCCGACAUGGAAUAUCGGUACUAUGCUUUGUGGUCUUGCGUACCUGAUAUUAUAUUAUCCCAAAUUGGAAUUAUGGUUAGGAGUCAUGCUUUGUGGUCUUGUGCACUACCAUAUUUGAUUUGGGUCGAAACACCAUGCUUUGUGAUCUUGUGUGUGUCUCCCUCACUUAUACUCUAAUCUCGGCGGCAACCGAGGUUUGACAGUUGGUGUAAAUUAUGUGGGGUAUUCCACCUAGCUCAGUUGCAUUUCAUUAUUGUUGAGAAAAACUAUUGCAUUACACCCAUGUGUUUUCAAAUGAAAAUAUCAUGUUUUGUUUUGAUAUCUCUGCGUGCCAGUACUUUUGUGCUGACCCCCUCUCCUCUCCAACCUCUUAGGUUCAGAGGCCCAGUCUAGGGGUCAAGAGAAUCAGUAGAUCUUUCAAAUAGAGUUGCAGAGACAAGUGGUGAGCCUUCUAUGUUUCGGAAGGUCUUAUGUCCUGCAGUCCUUUUAUCUUAUAUUCAGUUUUGGGGGUCUGCUGGGGGCCUUGUUCCAAUUUUCAGAUAGACAUUAUUUCAGUCAUAAAGUAGAGAUUUCGUAGACGAUUUUAGAGAUGUUGAUUUAGAUUGUGGGACACUAUUCCCCAUUGUCGUUUUCAUAUGAUUCGUGACCAUGUUUCUGUUAUAUUGUGUUUCUUCCGCAUUACUUUGAUCAUAUGAAUUAUAUGCAUGAUUAUCAGACAGAUAGGGGUGUUUUGGGCCUCCAUAGUUUGAAAUGCUCGUCACGGCUAGGCCCUGGUUCGGGUCAUGAGACCAUAUGUUGUAUAAGAGGCAUAUUCAAAUGGUGUUUACUAGCUUGUCGAUGCAGAUGGUGUGAGGGUUGGCCCCAUCAAUGACAAGUUCUUGAAGAAGUACUAUCCUUGAAGGAAGAUGACACUCCUUAAGGCACGAGUAUAAACUGCAUGUACACUCCUUAAGGCACGAGUAUAAAUUGCAUGUCCACUCUUGGCCCGCAAGAGUAUAAACUGUGUACGGCUAAAAAAAAAUAAAAGUCCGCUAGGUUGAAAACCUCGGAAGAGACGACCUAGGCAAAAGUUCGGAAACAAAAAAAACACUCACCCAGAACUACUUUGUGACUUGAUCCUUCAUUGAGGUACGUAGGGGCUUAGAAUUUCAUUCUUAGUUCAGUUGCAUGAGUUUCAAAAAAAAAUAUGUUCCUGCAGUAUCUACUAUAUGGAUACCAAGUAUGAAAAUAUUCUAAUUAAAUUUUGGACUCACUCCACGUAUUAGUGGCUCAAUAGGGGAAAACUCCAAUGAAAUAUGAGCUUCAUUCACAUAAGAUGAAGUCUCCNNNNNNNNNNNNNNNNNNNNNNNNNNNNNNNNNUUGAGAGUGAAAUUUUGACAAAAUUUCCAAGUCUUCAAAUCAAGGCCUCUCGCGGGUUUAUCCUUAAAAUGACCUAAAAAUUUCCAUGCCUUAAGGUGAACAAAAUUUGUCCCUUUGCACCUUAAAUUGGCCUCUCACGGGUUUAUCCUUAAAAGGAUCUCAAAAUUUCUAUGCCUUAAGGUGGACAAAAUUUAUCCCUUUUCACCUUAAGUUGGCCUAUCAAGGGUUUAUCCUUAAAAGGAUAUCAAAAUUUCUAUGCCUUAAGGUGGACAAGAUUUGUCUCUUUGUGCCUUAAACUGGCUUCUAACGAGUUUAUCCUUAAAGUAUAUUGAAAUUUCCAUGCCUUAAGGUGGACAAGAUUUGUCCCUUUGCACCUUAAGUUUAUCCUUAAAAGGGCCCAUAUUUAAAGAAGACCGUUGCAUAAGUGCAUCGAUGAAAGGGCCCAUACUUAGAGAAGACCAUUGCAUAAAUGCAUUAGUAAAGGGCUCAUACUUAAAGAAGACAAUUGCAUAAGUGCAUCGAUGAAAGGGCCCAUACUUAGAGAAGACCAUUGCAUAAAUGCAUUAGUAAAGGGUCCAUACUUAAAGAAGACAAUUGCAUAAGUGCAUCGAUGAAAGGGCCCAUACUUAAAGAAAAUCAUUCUGUCUUCAAGCAAAGUUUUUCGGCCUUAAGGUGACGGAAGCGAAGUUAAACUCUCGCACCUUAAUCCGGUUUUCAAUGUCUUCAAGCAAAGUCUUUCGGUCUUAAGGUGACGGAGAAGAAGUUAAAAUCUCGCACCUUAAGCCGGCCAAUUAUUGCAGUCUUUCGAUCUUAAGGUGAUAGAGGCGAAGUUAAGCUCUCGCCACCUUAAGCUGGCCAAUUAUCACAUAAGUCUUUCGGUAUUAAGGUGACAGAGGCGAAGUUAAACUCUCGUCACCUUAAUCCGUCUAAUUAUUGCAUAAGUCUUUCGGUCUUAAGGUGACAGAGGCGAAGUUAAACUCUCGCCACCUUAAGUCGGCCAAUUGUUGCAUAUUGCUAUUUGGUUCAACCCUGCAAAAAAAAAAAGGAAAAACAAGAAAGAAAGUAAAAAAACACAAACAGAAAGGAUGUUACCUGUUAGAGCAUUGCGAUCUUAAAAGUUGUAUAUCACCAACUUGGAUUGAGAUAAGAUGCCUUGAUGAGAAUAAAGCCCUCAAAAUUGAGUUUGAAGCAAUUAAAACUCCCUUUGAUGGUGAUGGUCCCACAUCAAGAUAUAAAUUAUUUGGUGAGGUGAUGCAAAUCUGUAAUCCUCUGUCGGACAGCAUAUAAAGAUCGACUUCAAAAAGUCAUCUAGAACAAUCCAAAAAGUGUUAAAAUCCAAAAUUUGGAUAUAUUAUACAUGCAUGUUUUCGGGAUUAAGCGGAUCAUAAUUUCAAUACUCUCACAUUGAGAUAUAAUUUUUUUUUGGUGAUGUUGCAUAAAUCUGAAUUGUUGAUGCAUCAAAACUCGAUGUUGAUUUCGGGAUAACACCUGAAAAUAUCUCGAUUUUAUUAAAUUACAAAUUUUGGAUAUGUUAUAUAUCUUUGUUUCUAGUUUCACAAGAAUCAAGCGGCUUGUGAUUUCAUCCUUCCUACUUCAAGAUAUGAAAGUUUUAGUAAAGACGCGUAAAUCUGAAAUUUUCAGCAUGAUAAAAUUCUGGGCUAACUUCAAAAUAUUAUCGAAAAUUAUAUUGAAGGAAUUUAAAGCUGAAUUUUUGAUAUGUUAUAGAUCUCGAAGUCUAGUUUCUGGAAUAUCAAAUAGUUUAUGAUUUCAAUAUUCCUACAAUUAGAUAUAAAUUUUUUUACCACAAAUAUGCUGUGCUGAAAAAAAGUGACGAAAAUAAGAGAAAAGUAGGAGGGAAAGAAAUUCCCUCAAUAUUGUUUAUGGCUUGAAAAUCCUAAAAUCGAUAUUGAGAAAGUGGGGAAACUACCUCCUUUUAUAGAGUUGUAGGAUGGAUGUUUCCUUCUCCAAUAUAAGUUCAGAUUGGAAUAAUUUCUAUCUCCAAAUUCAAAUUGGAGAUUGUUUUCUUCUCCCAUACAAAUUCAAAUUGAAAAUCGCUUCCUUCUGCCAUUCAAAAUUAAAUUGGAGGUUAUUUUCUUCUCCCAUACAAAUUCAAAUUAGAGGUUGAUUUUCUUCUCUCAUACAAAAUUCAAAUUGGAGGUUGUUUUCUUCUCCCAUACAAAUUCAAAUUGGAGGUUCUUUAUUUCUCCAAUCUAAGUUCAAAUUGGAAGAGUUUUAUUCCUGAUUAAGUAAGGUGAUGAAAAAGUCUUCCAAAAUCUGUUUGAAAUUGGAUAUCAUGCCUUACUAACGGGGUCUUAAGUAUAGAGAUUCGUGAAAAAAAAUAAGAGAGUUUUGAGAGGCAAUAUCAAUAUGGUUCGGCUUUAAUUUUUUUGAAUGGGGUAUUCAUACGUAUCAAAAUCGCUGAAGCACGAAGAAAACAUGUUUAAAUAAUCAUACUUCAAGGCUAGUCUCCAAAAUAUUAAAUGUCUCGACAAGUCUUGAAGUAGGGGCCAUUUGUGGCGUUUGUGGGUGAUGCAAUUUUGAAGAUUUAAAUCCAUACAAAAUUCGGAUUAUAUUAAAUUCAAAAUAUAUUAGUCCCAAAUAAAUAUUUCGGAUUAAUAUAAUUGGAUUAAUUAUUUAAGUCCAAACAUAUGGAUUUAAUUAAAGUCCAUUUUUUUUAUUGGGUUAGCCCAUUGAUUUGGGCUACAAAUGAUGAGCCCACUUUGCUAAGCGCAAGAUAUUUUCAUAUUCUACAGGCCCAAAUAAAUGUCACGUGUCAAAUGACGUGGCAUGCCAAGUCAAGUGAAGGAGUGUAACACCGCGUAUUUUUGGGCUAGAAUUUAGACCAUCGUUCCUACGUAUAUAGAUUCGAACUGAAUUAUUCUUUAUUAACAUACGUGUGGUAAACACUCCUAUCGUAAUGCCCCAUAAAAUUCUCGAGUCGAUUUCAUUUUUAGUGUUAUGUUUGAGGGGCUAACAACUAGAAUAUUUUUCUUAGUGUAACGAGAACUUAGAGUCAUUUCAGCUGGCAAUCUUCGGGAUACAACUUUUCAACCUUUUCGACAUUCGUUUUUAGAUUUUCAAGUUGCGUUACGAUCGGGAAAGCUCAUAUUACAUCUCGGAUAAGUUUUGGAAUUUUUCAGAACGCAUAAGUCUGCGUUUCGAUUUCAAAACAGUAGCAAAACGAAUAGCCUAUUGCCCAGUUUUCAGUAUUUCAGGGUCAACUUAAAAUGAUCAUAUCUCUCUGAAUAUAAUGAACUGAGAGAGAUGAUACCUAUAAAAUGAAAUAUCUUUGAGUCUUCUUUCUAAUGCAACUGGUUUCAUCCAAAUCCAACAUCUGAGUAAGGAGUUAUACCCAUUUUACUUUAGCCUGUCAGCUUGUCAACUGAGGGACAGUUUCGAAUUUGUUUGUUUUCUUAGGGGCAUUUUAGUCAUUUCACCUCACCUAAAUUUCGUCUAUAACACCAGAUUUAGCCCCCAAUUCAUCAAAAUAUAAUCCUUUUCUCAAAUUUUCUCUCAAGAACACCCCUUAGGGUUUCAAAAUAAAAACCCCAAUAACUCAAGAUUCAACCAUGGAUUUUCAAAAAAAAUUGAAGAUUUGGAAUCCCCGCAACGUAGGCUUCAAGAAGCACCUAUCAUAUUCGCAUAUAGAGGUACGUGGGGUUAUCUCAAAAAUCUCAUGGGCUUAACAAUUCAUGUUUUAAAAAUGGGGGUUUUGAAAUUAUGAAUAUAAGCAUGUUUCAAGCAUCUUUAUGAUAUUGAUUUGGUCUUUAGGCCUUAUUCCAAAGUGAUUUGAUAUAUGAUAUAUGUAUAUGCAUGUAUUCCAAAAAUAUGUUAACUUGAGAGCAUGAAUGAUAUGUAAUCCCUCUCUUGAUGUGAAUUUAUUUUAAAUGUUCAUAUGAUGUAAAUUGUUUGAAAACAUCUUGAAAAGCAUGACAUGAAAUGUUUUGAGAAUUGAUAUGAUUUUGACUUGAAUAUGAGAGGGCUAUUUGUGUUGAAACAUAUUGAAUACAAUGGUUGAAUGAGAAGAAUGAUGUGAUAUUGAUGGNNNNNNNNNNNNNNNNNNNNNNNNNNNNNNNNNNNNNNNNNNNNNNNNNNNNNNNNNNNNNNNNNNNNNNNNNNNNNNNNNNNNNNNNNNNNNNNNNNNNNNNNNNNNNNNNNNNNNNNNNNNNNNNNNNNNNNNNNNNNNNNNNNNNNNNNNNNNNNNNNNNNNNNNNNNNNNNNNNNNNNNNNNNNNNNNNNNNNNNNNNNNNNNNNNNNNNNNNNNNNNNNNNNNNNNNNNNNNNNNNNNNNNNNNNNNNNNNNNNNNNNNNNNNNNNNNNNNNNNNNNNNNNNNNNNNNNNNNNNNNNNNNNNNNNNNNNNNNNNNNNNNNNNNNNNNNNNNNNNNNNNNNNNNNNNNNNNNNNNNNNNNNNNNNNNNNNNNNNNNNNNNNNNNNNNNNNNNNNNNNNNNNUGCUUUAUAAUGGAUCUCAACUAUAUUUUAUAAAAAUAUUAUGUUUUGUUUUGAUAUCUCUGCGUACCAGUACUUUUGUAUUGACCCCCUUCCCUCCCAGGUUCGGAGGCACAGUCUAGGGGUCCAGAAAAUCAGUAGAUUUCCUCAGACAGAUUCGCAGAGUCACUUGGUGAGCCUUCUAUAUUUCGGAAGGCCUGAUAUCUGGCAGUUUCAUUUAUCAUUUAUUUGUUUUGGGUCUACUGGGGGCCUUGUCCCAGUUUUCAGAUAGAUAUUUGUUUCAGUCAUGUAGUAGAGAUUUCGCAGACGUUAUAGAGAUGUUGAUUGAGAUUGUGGGACAUUAUUCCCCAUUAUUGUUUUCAUAUGAUUCUUGACCAUGUUUCCGUUAUAUAGUGUAUCUUCCGCAUUUUUUUUUCAUAUAAGUCAUGUGCAUGAUUAUCGGAUAGAUAAGGGGUGUUUCGGGCCUUGAUGGUUCGGAAUACUCGUCAUGGCCAGGGCCCCGGUUCGGGUCGUGACAAGGAGCCAAUAGGAUCAUGCCACAUGUCAAAAUAAUGCAGCAGCCUCAAUAAAAUCAAAGCCCAUAAAAGGCGCCAUGUCACUUGAAUUUGAUUGGUCAAAUGAAGUCCAUCUUCAUCAUGACUGUUCCUUUUCCACAACUAUAAAUAGAGUUCUCAUAAUUCAGAAAGAGGAACCCAGAACUCUAACAAGUAGCAAGAGAAAGCUUGUGAAUCAAACGCCACAAUUUCUCUAAAAAGCUCAAGCAUUCAAAUCAAGUUCAUCAAGAUUCAAGAUCAAGACCGCAAUAUUCAAGAACAAGCUCAAAAACCCUUGAAUUCAAGAUCAAGUCCCUCAAACCAUUCAAAUCAAGUUCAAAUUCAAGAUCAAGCUUUAAGCUCUUGAAUUUAUAUUUGAAAAGGCGAAUCAGAGGAUUCAUAGAGAUUGUAAUACUCACAUAUUAAAAUUAAUAAAUUGAUUGUUGCAAUAUAUUUUUCUUAUCUCGAAGUAUUAUUUUUCGAUUUCAAAAAUUUUACUGUCCAACAACCACAUACUGGAACAUCAUCUUUCCCUGUCAUCCACAUUUUUAAGGACAAACAAACUAAAGUUCACUAGCAUUUACUGUCAAGCAACAUCCAAGGAAGUAUAGUCAAAUGUUAAUGAUCAAUAUUUUGAUCAUUAGCGCCUCCAUUUUGAUCAUUAGGAUCCUGUUCAUCACCCCGCCCAUCUAGAUCAUCAUUCUGUUCAUUAGCGCCUUCAUCUUGAUGACCAUUUUGCUCAUUAGUGCCUACAUCUUGUUCAUUAGGAACCUGUUUAUUAACGUCCUCAUCUUGAUCAUUAGCACCUCCAACUUUAUCAUUAGCGCCUCCAUCUUCAUCGUUAUUCUGUUCAGUAGCAUCUUCAUGAUCUUAAUCAACAUUUUGCUUAUUUGUGCCUACAUACUGUUCAUUAAUGCCGCCAUCUUGAUCAUUACCGCCUCCAUCUUGCUCAGUGUUUGCGCCUAAAUAUUGUUCAUUAGGAACCUGCUCAAUAAUGCCCCCAUAUUGAUCAACAUUAGUGCUUCCAUCUUGAUCAGCAUUAGCACCUCCAACUUGAUUAUCAGCGCCUCCAUCUUGGUCAGCAUUAGCGCCUCCAUCUUGAUCAGCAUUAGCGCCUACAGCUAAAUCAUGCUCCUGCCCAUUUACACCUCCAUUCUGAUCAUUAGGAGCCUGUACAUUAGUGACUUCAAAGAGAGCAUCGUGCAACGUUACACCAUUCUGGUACAUAAGCUCGUCCCUGCCACAAAACACUCAUUUGAAUUAACACCUUACAAGUCAUACCUACAGUCUCCAUUUGCAAAUUUAUAAUUAGAAACUUACAAUUUCAUAAAGAAUCUUCCUGCUAUAAAAUACUCAGAUGCUGGGGAGGCUACCCUCCGCAGACCCCAAGUGUGGAAAUUCACUGGAUGUGUUGGUGGUGGUGGGGCGGCUGCCAUCUACUUCUUCAUGUUUCCGUUUGUUUAAUACAAAAACAUGAAACCAGCAUAUAAUACACAUGUCUCAGACCUCAGAAAAAAGCUUAAAUCACAAGAUGCUGAAAUGCUCAAUUUUCGAAAUCAUGAGACUUACAUUCUAUUUAACUAGCCUUCGAACACUAUGUCGUGCAGUGCACCUUCAAAGUGUACAAGACAAGAAAAUGAACAUAAUAAGUUGCUGUGUGCUUAGGCAAGAAAUAUAUCAGAAACAGCGGUGUCGAAAUUAAGGGAUUGAAUCCUCUUUAUGAAAUGAGUAAGAAUUUUCAUCAAAACUAUUAAUUUCCAAACGGAUGAGUAAGUACAAAAUUCAUUCCUAAAUUGGAAUGAAAAUCCUAGACAGCAAUGAAUGGUAUCCAUUGUAUCAACCUGUUGCACAACAAAUUUUCUUAAAAAAGACUAACUGCUGAAAGAAUCAAUGGGGAAAAAAAAGACUAACUGGUGGAAAAUGAGAAUUCAAAAAAGUAGAAAAAUGCAGAAAGAGUGAAUUAAAACUGACAAGAGAAUGUUAAUAUAGAAAAGCAACCUCUGUCUUGACCGUUAAUUCAAACAGGAGGGAAAUUCAACUGUAUUUUUAUUUUUUAUUUUUUCCCUUGGACCAGAUUUUACAAUUUACCCUCCACAACUCUGAAACUAGUCAUAUUGAAAUUUUACUUUAAAAAGAUUUUACAUGUUUGGAUGUAUGUAAACCAAGUCCCACGUUGAUAAUUGGAAAAAAAAAAAAAAUGAUAAGUUAGUUAUAAAUAGUUAUUAAGUGUGAUAGUUUUGGGGGGAAAUUGUUAGGUGGAUCAAAAUUGACAAUAUCACAUCAUUUUAAAAGUAUUUUUAGGCAAUACAAAAUCUAAAGUAGAUAAUCUACUUAGACUUCUCAUUAGGGUCAUUUGCAUUUUUGCUACUAUUUUGAGUUUUUUUUUAAUUUUUGUCUUUUAAGAUACUUUUUUGCAACGUAAAAAUUCAUAUUUUUACAUCAUAAAAUCUCAUAAAUUAUGUUUCAUGUUCUUAAAGAAGUUAUGCCUAGCUAGACAAUAGUUCAGUUGCUCAGGGCAAAAGUUCAAGAUCAAUCAUUUUAAAAGACAAACUUUGCAAUUAAAUAUUUUAGUGAAAACUUUUGUAGGCACACAAAUAUCAUGACUUAUUUAAAAUUAAAAUUUUAAAAAAAUUUAUAGCUACACAAAUAUUAUUACGCAAUUGAUAUUGCCAGUGUCAAUAAUACUUGCUUUUUCUUCUUAAAUAAUCAGCAUCAAAAUCCUUGAAAUACGAAAAUAUAUCCGGAGAGUUAGAGUAACUAUUUCUACAAGUAUUGGAAUAUUUAGUUCACUUACACCUAUUAUAUACAAAUAAGAAAACUGCGGAGACCGUUAACACCAAGGUUUUGUGGUGUAGUUGGUUAUCACGUCAGUCUAACACACUGAAGGUCUCCGGUUCAAGUCCGGGCGAAGCCAUUUUGUUAUCUCAUUCCUUUUUUUUUGGGUGCCAAAAUGUACUGGUGCUGUAAAUAUGCUCCAUAUAUCAGACUUGGAGAUGUCAUGUUAAAUGGAUACCAAAUAAUUACAUAAACACCCAAUAUGGUACCACUACCUAAUAGGCAGAGAGGCUGUUUCAUAUCAGUAAAUUAUAGUACUACUUACACACACAACUCAAAAAGCUGUGAUUUCAAAUUAAACAGAUACCAAGCAUUGCCAUAUUACAAAAGAUAAAAGAAGUGGAUUAUGUUAUCUGCUCUUAAAUCAACUUCAGGAUGAGAGUGAAAACUAAAAAACAUUAGGUCCACAAUUUUCAAACGUAUAUGCUAAUCUAACUUCAUCAUAUAGCAAAACAUCAUCUUUCCCAAUACUAAAAUUCUGUAGCAUUUACUGCCAAGUGUCAAGCAAAAUAUAAGGAAAUAGAUCAGUAAUCUCAUAGUAGCUUUUAACUGGUUAGUAGCUUUUAACUGGUUGAUUAUUCUCAAAUGCUUGACAGAUGGCUAGUAUCAAGAAAUUAAAAACAAACUAAGCAGCAUACAGAGAAUAGUAGUACUGCAAUCCCAAAACGGAAUAUCACACAAUUAUGGAAUUAGCUUUUUGUGUAAUUAUGAAGUCUAGUUACUCUACUCAGAAAGUGUAUAUCUUUCUGCAUUUUGAUCAGCAUGAAUAGGCUAUCAAUGUCUGCAUUUUUCUCAUUAGCACCUACAUCUUGCUCAUUAGGACCCCGUUCAUUUGCAUUUCCAGCUUGAUCAGCAUUUUGCAGAGUAGAGCCCACAUCUUGUUCAUUAGGAAUCUGUUCAUUAGUGUUUCCAUCUUGAUCAGCAUUUUUCUCGGUAGCUCCCAUAUCAUGUUCAUUAGGAACCUGUUCAUUAGUGUCUCCAUCCGGAUCAGUAUUUUGCUCAUUAGCACCUGCAUUUUGAUCAUUAGGACCCUAUUCAUCAGCGUCUCCAUCUUGAACAGCAUUUUGCUCAGUAGCACCUAAAUUUUGUUCAUUGGGAACCUGUCUGUUAAUGUCUCCAUCUUGAUCAGCAUUUUGGUCAUUAGUGCCUCCAUCUUGAUCAGCAUUUUGAUCAUUAGCGCCUCCAUCUUGAUCAUUAGCGCCAUCAUCUUGAUAAGCAUUUUGAUCAUUAGCGCCACCAUCUUGAUCAGCAUUUUGAUCAUUAGCGCCUCCAUCUUGAUCAGCAUUUUGAUCAUUAGCGUCUACUAAACCUUGUUCCCCAUUUAAAAGAAACAACGGUACCCCGCCUAAAAGGAACAACGGUACACCAUUCCAGGAACUACUAGUCAUACUGCAUAUAUAUGUGUAGAGUCUCAAUUUGCAUAAUUUUAUUUAGAAACUUACCAUCUCAGACAGAAUCUUCCUUCUCUAAAUAACAUGAAGUGUUGGGGGACUGCAAUCUGCGGAAAUCAUUAAUUCAGUAUUUAAUAAAAGAAGCAGCAAAUCUGUCUUGUUCAUCAAAAUCAAAUGCUCUUUAAUAUUAGUAUCUUACAAUUUGACACCCGAGCAGCAUUCCACAUUUGGCACAGUUUAUUUCGGCUGUGGUAAGUCCAUGUAUCACAGGAUCAUCAGUCACGUCGUCAGAUACUCUUAAACAUUAAACCUGCAUAUAUAUAAAGGCUAGUGACGUUUGCAAUAAUACAUAUCCAAGUUGCUGAAAUCAUAUGAAAUAUCCAAUUUUCAGAAUCGCAUGAAAUCAUGAAACUUACACUCUAGCAAAGAUCACUUUUGGAAAACGGGAUGGCACCUGCAAAGUGUACAAGACAAGAAAAUUAGCAUAAUAAAAUGUUCUGUGCUUAGUCAAGAAAUAUAACAUAUAUGCUAAAUUAAUUGCAAAAUUCAUGAUACUAUCGUCUUUAUGAAAUCAGAAGUAAUUUCAUCAACAGAUACAACAUGAUUUUUCCUAAACGAAUUUAGAAGAAAUUAAUUCAAGAUUGUCCUGAGAAUUUGUUUGUAUACCAUUUGGUGUAUUCAUAAAUAAAUUGAUUUCUGCGGGAUGCAGAGAGAGUAAGAAUCCUUACUAUAGAGUCGAUAUCCCAGACGAGUGCAGGUUGAUUUUCGCACCGACGACAGUAGAUGCAAUGUCGAGGAGGGAUAUAAUUGCAUGGGUGAAAAAGUCGACUGCUCAUCCUCCUAUCAACUUUGUUGAAUCAAGAAGCAACUCCUAACAGAUAUGUUAUAGAACAAAUUCACUUCAACAAAGAACAGAAAAAUGGCUGGGAAUUACAAAGACUAACUUCAAAAUAUCAGAAAAUCGAAGACAGGCUCACUUCUCACCAGAAAAGAAUUAACGAGAAUCCAAGAACGUGAAAAAUGGCUGGGAAUUAGAAACGCAGAAAGACUGAAUUAACUUUGAAGGAUAAAAUGCAGAGAAGAGGAUGUUAAUAUAGAAAACUCAGUCCUUGAUUCUUGAAUCCAAGCUCUGUAUUUGCCUUUAAUUCAGAAAGGAGGGAAUUUUGAAAGAGAAUUUUUUUUUUCUUUUUUUCUUUACGAGAAAUAUAGUUGAUAUCUUAAUAAUGUUAUUAUUGUGUGAAUUUCUAUGGUAAAAAUGUACUUUUAUCGAGUAUUUAUACCAAACAUAAAUGACUGAUAUAAUAAUUAAUAACGAUUAAUUAAUGUAGAGAGAGACGAAGAUCGACUUACAUAUGAAAAUCUAGGAGAAGUUAGUGAAGAUUUGAGUAAAUCAUUUGGUUUCAUAUCGAAGCGUUCAACUAAAUAAAGAAUUCAUCUUGUAAGGAGAUUAAUCGAGCAAUACAGAGAAAGAAAGUUUGACUUACCUAUGGUGUUCAUCGAUCUAGAAAUAAAACAUAUGAUAAAGUCCUAAAGAGGAUUCUACGGAGAUGUUUGGAGGCUAAAUAUGUAGAUGUAGCUUAUAUUAGGGCGAUAAAAACAGGUAUGUCCGCCUUAAGAUUCAAGUGAAUACAAUUGCAGGAGACUUGAAGCACUCCCCCAUCUUGAUGAUUGUUGCACCACAAUUCAGCUCUUAAUCUGUUUUAAUUUGUCAUGGUGAUGGUCUGAUGGAUGAACCAAUGCGGCAUAUCCAGGGGAAUGCGUCAUGAUGUAUAUUAUUUGCAGAUGAUAUAGUGUUGAUGCGAUAGUCGACAAUUUAAUGAUAGACUGAAUAUUUGGGGACCAACUCUAAAGUCUAAAAGGUUCAAGUUUAGCAGGCUAGAGAUUUGACGGUUCUUUUUAAUGUUCAUACUCUUUCUAUUUCUUAAAGUUAAAUUGUUUGACGAAUACAAUCCUUCUUCUUGGUAAACAAAAUCACUAAACCAAGUUCUUGUGUACUUUUAUUUAUAAAAAUGAAAUAAGAUGUAGAAGUCAACUAAUAGUUUACAUAUUCGAACCGUGAAAGCAAUCACUAAUACUUGCAUCAGGAUAGACUGUCUACAUUAUGUCCCUUAGGUGUGGAACUUUUUUUGGUCAAGCAUUCCUAUAUUGUUAUUUAUAGCAUAUAAUUUACGAAAUUGUAACUAAUAUUAAUAAGAAGUUUCAAAUUUAAACAUUUUCGUUAAUUUAGUUAGGCUGUACAUAUGAAUGGUAAAUAACGAUAAAAUUACUCUCUUAUUAAAUUAAUAAAUUAAAUAGGGUAUUUGCUUCCUCUUCAAUCUAUCUUUCAUCCUCUAUACUCAUUUCUUUUGAAUAUUUUUGAUGAUUUCACAUUUUAUUUCAACUCAAUUUCUCUAAAUUCUCUAUAUCAUUUUGUCAUGUUUGAUUCAUACAUGGAAAAAUGAAUAUUUUUGUGUCUCAUUUUUUUUUUAAAUCGAGAAAUCCCCCUCGACAAGUGGUGCAAGGCAUGAAACUUUGGUAUAUAAUAGGCCCGUUCUAUUACAAACUGAUAAGCAUUUUGUAAAGUAUUAACUAUAUCUUUCUGCAUUUUGAUCGGCAUGAGUAGGCUAUCAUUGUCUGCAUUUUCAUCAAUAUUAUUUAUUCUAUCAGCCAGUUGAUCUACAUCUUCUUUCAGUUCAUUGGUGCGUCUCCAUCUUCAUCGUCAUUUCUAUUCAUUGGCGUCUCCAUUUUGAUCAUGAUCCCGUUCAUUAACACCUACAUCUUGAUCAGCAUUUUGCUCAAUAGCGCUUCCAUUUUGAUCAUGAUCCCGUUCAUUUUCACCUCCAUCGUGAUCAUCAGGAGCCUGUCCAUUAGCGCCUCCAAAGAGAAAAUUAAGCAACGUUACAUCAUUCCAGUAAAUAAGCUUGUCCCUGCAGCAAAAUACUUAUCUGAAUUAACACCUUACAAGUCAUGUGUAGAGUCUCAAUUUGCAAACUCUUAAUUAGAAACUUACAAUCUCAUAUAGAAUCGUCCUUCUCUAUAAUACCUAGACGGUUGGGAAACUACACAAAUAUUAUUACAAAAUAGGUAUCACAAGUGCCAAUAAUCAUUGCUUUUCUUUUCUUAAAUACAUCUUGAUUCAAAGCACAUUCAUAAAAAUUGGAAUUUAUGAAAUAUUUACUUCUCAAAAAGUAGUAAUAUCACCCUUUUCAUGAAUUGGAGCACGAGUGCAUGUUAUUAGAAUGUAGCUAUUUGACAUGAUUGUAAUACCAUGACAAGAUUAAUUUUUUUUCUUUUACAAAAAUAAUACUACUCUGUUUCAUAAUACUUGAUUCUUAUUGAUCCGACACGUCUUUUUAAAAAAAUUUAAUUUGAAGUAUAUUUUAUCAAAAUAACUUUAUUAAUGAUAUUUUAGAACUCUAAAUUUAACUAGUAUUAUUUUAUGUAGUUAUUUAGAACUCUUAAUGUACUAGGAAAGUUUUAACUGACUCAUAAUUUCUUUUUUCAUAAAAGUUUAAAGGUGGAACUCAUCAGCAAACAUCUAAAAUUGACACGAUUUUUCACUUAAAUACCUCAAGUAAGCAUUGCACAUUUUAAACUCCCGUAUAGUAAGGCUCUACUAGCUUGAUGCUGGUCGAGCGAACCCCUUGCCCCACCAUGUCCACUAAAUAAAAUAAUUAGAAUCAAAAUCCUUGAAAUACGACAAUAUAUAUUUGGAGAAUUCAAAUAACUAAUUCUACAAGUGUUGGAAUAUUUGUCUAGUCAACUCACGCUUACACCAAAUAAAUAGGAAAACUGGAGGAACUUCAAGCACCAGGGUUUCGUGGUGUAGUUGGUUAUCACGUCAGUCUAACACACUGAAGGUCUCCGGUUCGAGUCCGGGCGAAGCCAUUUUUCCGAUAUGUUAAAAGGUUACCAAAUAAUUACAUAUACCAAAUGUAUGUAGCUAGUAAACUAGCUCUUAAGCUUUUAGGCAGUAAGUAGUACCUCACUGCUUGUGCACCCUACAUAUUUAUUGGAUCGAUCUCUACCAGAACAAUAACGUAUCUGUAUCUGUAAAUUAUAAUACACUACUAAAUACACACAGCUUUUAUCUCUACCAGAACAAUAACGUAUCUGUAAAUUAUAAUACACUACUAAAUACACACAACUCAAAAAGCUGUGAUUUCAAAUUAAACGGAUACCAAGCAUAGCCAUAUUACAAAAUAACAAGAUGGUUUUAACUUUUUUCUCAAACAUUUGACAAAUCCCAAACAUAAAGAAGAAGUGGAUUAUGUUAUCUGUUGUUAAAUCAACUUCAGGAUUUGAGCGAAAACUGAAAACCAUUACAUCCAAAAAAUUUAAUAGUCUCUGUUAAUCCAACUUCACCAUAUAGCAAAACAUCAUCUUUCCCAAUACUAAAGUUCAGUAGCAUUUACUGCCAAGUGUCAAGCAAAAUAUAAGGAAAUAGAUCAGUAAUCUCAUAGUAGCUUUUAACUGGUUAGUAGCUUUUAACUGAUUGAUUAUUCUCAAAUGCUUGACAGAUGGCUAGUAUCAAGAAAUUAAAAACAAACUAAGCAGCAUACAGAGAAUAGUAGUACUGCAAUCUCAAAACAGAAUAUCACACAAUUAUGGAAUUAGCAUUUUGUGUAAUUAUGAAGUCUAGUUACUCUACUCAGAAAGUGUAUAUCUUUCUGCAUUUUGAUCAGCAUGAAUAGGCUAUCAAUGUCUGCAUUUUCAUCAUUAGUUGGUUCAUAUUAUCUAUUCCAUCAGCCAGUUGAUCAACAUCUUCAUUCAGUUCAUUGGGGUGCCUGCAUCUUGAUCAUCAUUCUGUUCAUUAGCUUCUUCAUGUUGAUUAUCAUUUUGCUCAGCAGCACCUACAUCUUGUUCAUCAUAAACCUGUUCAUUAGCAUCUCCAUAUUGAUCAACAUUUUUCUCAGUAGCAACCACAUCUUGUUCAUUAGGAACCUGUUCAUCAGUGCCUCCAUCUGGAUCAGCAGCACCUACAUCUUGCUCAUUAGGACCCCGUUCAUUCGCAUUUCCAUCUUGAUCAGCAUGUUGCUUGUUAGUGCCUCCAUCUUGAUCAGCAUUUUGAUCAUUAUCGUCUGCUAAACCUUGUUCCCCAUUUAAAAGAAAUAGUGGUACCCCGCAUAAAAGGAACAACGGUACACCAUUCCAGGAACUACUAGUCAUACUGCAUAUAUAUGUGUAGAGUCUCAAUUUGCAUAAUUUUAUUUAGAAACUUACCAUCUCAGACAGAAUCUUCCUUCUCUAAAUAACAUGAAGUGUUGGGGGACUGCAAUCUUCGGAAAUCAUUAAUUCAGAAUUUAAUAAAAAGAAGCAGCAAAUCUGUCUUGUUCAUCAAAAUCAAAUGCUCUUUAAUAUUAGUAUCUUACAAUUUGACACCCGAGCAGCAUUCCACAUUUGGCAGAGUUUAUUUCGGCUGUGGUAAGUCCAUGUAUCACAGGAUCAUCAGUCACGUCGUCAGAUACUCUUAAACAUUAAACCUGCAUAUAUAUAUAAAGGCUAGUAACGUUUGCAAUAAUACAUAUCCAAGUUGCUGAAAUAUUCAAUUUUCAGAAUUGCAUGAAGUCAUGAAACUUACACUCUAGCAAAGACCACUAUUGGAAAACGGGAUAGCACCUGCAAAGUGUACAAGACAAGAAAGUUAGCAUAAUAAAAUGUUCUGUGCUUAGUCAAGAAAUAUAACUAUGCUAAAUUAAUCGCAAUUCAUGAUACUAUCGUCUUUAUGAAAUCAGAAGUAAUUUCAUCAACAGAUAUAUUAUAGAACAAAAAACAGAAAAAUGGCUGGGAAUUAGAAAAGAAAUUAACGAGAAUCCAAGGAAAGUGAAAAAUGGCUGGGAAUUAGAAAUGCAGAGAGACUGAAUUUAAUGGGAUAUUUGAAGGAUAAAAUGCAGAGAAGAGAAUGUUAAUAUAGAAAACUCAGUUCUUGAUUCUUGAAUCCAAGCUCUGUAUUUACCGUUAAAUUCAGAAAGGAGGGAAUUUUGAAAGAUAAAAUUUCUUUUUUAUUUUUCCCCUUAAGAAGAAGUAUUACAACUUACCCUCCAAAAUUAUUUUCUUUUUAACUUUAUCGUGUUUUAAACGUACAUAUAUAGAAUACCAUUAUGUUUCCGUUUCUUUUUUCUUUACUUACGAGAAACACAGUUUAUAUCUUAAUAAUGUUAUUGUUAUGUGAAUUUCUAUGGUAAAACACAGUUUACUGAGCCACCUGAGACUGAAGCUUUAAUUUUAGGAUUUCUUUUAACAAGUCAGGAUCCGAUUCGUUACUCCAGAAAUAUAUUUUCUGCUUCCUCGUUUCCUUGGCCUAACGUUAACAUGAUUUGCUUAUAUCUAGACUGCAGUAGCGACUUUUGCGAAAAGGUAUACCGUGAUAGAAGAAAUGGCUUUCUCUAAGAUAUACAAUAAACAGACUAGCAUUCUCUGUCAAGCAACUAACAAAAACAAUUGCAUAGCAGUAUUCAGUGACUUUUAAACUAUAGAUUAUUGUCGAAUGCUUGAAUGCUUGACAGAUGACUUGCAUCAAGAAAUUAAAGACAAUCUAAGCAGCAUAUAGAGAACAGAAGUGCCUGAGCUCAAACAUGUAAAAGUUCAUAGAAAUUAAAGAAAAACUAAGCAGCAUAUAGAGAACAGAAGUGCCUGAGCUCAAACAUGUAAAAGUUCAUAGAAAUUAAAGAAAAACUAAGCAGCAUAUAGAGAACAGAAGUGCCCGAGCUCAAACAUGUAAAAGUUCAUUGUCAAUCGCUUUUCUCCAAAAUGAAGUAAUAAUAUGUACUAUAAUCCCCAAAACCAAAAAAAAAAUAUCACACUGUUCUGAGUUAAUAUUUGUAUGCAUGAACUCUAGUGACUCUACCAAAUGGAAGUGUAUUCUUCGUAAAUCAUCAUAAGCUGGUUUUGCAGCAUCAGUAGGCUAUCCAUGUCUGCAUUUUCAUCAAUGGUUGGUUCAAAUGUUUUGAUUUAGAUCAAAAUUGUCAAUUCCCUCAGCGAUAUCUACAUCUUGAUUAGGAACUUGUUCAUUAACGCCUCCAUCUUGUUCAUUAGCACCUCCAUCCUGUUCAUUAGCGCCUCCUUCUUGUUCAUUAGGAACCUGUUCAUUAGCUCCUCCAUCUUGAUCAGCAUUUUGCUCAUUAGCACCUAAAUCUUGUUCAUUAGGAACCUGUUCAUGAUCGCCUCCGUCUUGAUCAGCAUUUUGUUCAUUAGCGCCCAAAUCUUGAUCAUUAGAAGCCUCAACUUGUUCCUGGUAACGCUGAAGCAAUGUUACUUCAUCCCAGUAAAUAAGCUCGUUCCUGCCACAAAAUACGAAUCAUUUACAACGUUACGUCUUACAAACCAUAUCACUUAUGCGUAGUUUCCAUUUUGUAAAAUUUUCAGAAACUUACAAUUUCAUCACGAAUCUUCAUUCUUUAUAAAAACCUGGACGGUUGGGUGACAGCAAUCUGGAGAAAGGAUAAAGUCUGUAUAAGCAAAACAAACAAACCAGGAACUGCAAAAUUGUCUUAUUAAUGAGAAUGAAAUGCUCUUUAAUAUUAAUAUCUUACAAGUUUCCACCCAAGCUGGUUUCCACAUUUGACACAGUAAACAUCGGCUCGGGUUUGGCCAUCUAUUACUUCAUGAUACGGCUCUUCCUCAAACAUUAAACCACAGAAAUUCCAAUUUCCAAAAUUGGAUGAAAUCAUGUGACUUACACAUUAUGAAAGAUCCCAUGUAGCACUAAGACCCAUUGUAGCACUAAGGAUGGCAACUGCAAAAUGUACAAGACGAAAAUUAAACAGAGUUGCUGAAUUAAUCACGAAGAGCUGUCGAAAUUAUGGGAUUGAAUCUUACAUCAUAUCCUCUUCAUGAAAUCAGUAGCAUUUCAUCAAAACAUACAAAAUGUUUUUAUGUACGAUUCAGAAAAUUAUCAUUCAAAAUUAUACUAUAUGUGGAAUCACAAGAAAAACUCAGAACAUACAACAUGACAUACUACAAAUGUAGAUUCAGAGAGAGUGAGAAUCCUUACCAAAGUAAGGAUAUUCUCGAUGAAUGCAACUCGAAUUUCGUACCUACGACAAAAGAUGCAAUCAGUAGCCUGGAUUUCGUCGUACUCAAGUAUGAAGGGCCUUCCCAUUGUAUCAACUUUGUGAAUCAAGGCCCUGUUACGUUGCACAAUAAAUUUUCUUCAACAAAGUGCAAGAGAAAUAUCAAAUUUGAGAAUUCAAGAAAGUGCAAAAUGGAAAUGAGAAGAGAAUGUCAAUAUAGAAAAGUUGGUUCUUGAUUCUUGAAUCCAAGUUAUGUAUUUACCGUUAAUUCAUGUAGGAGGGAAAUUUGAAAUAUCUUCACAUUAACCCCUAUUUAACAAUUUCCUUUUUCUAUUUUAUUUUUUACAUAUUGUUCAAUUUACCCUCCACAAAUUAUAUAUUUUUAAAUUGUAGUGUGAAUUUCGAUCUCAAAAAAUCAGAAACUUUGCUCAAUGAAAGAUGAGUAAUGGGUGCAAUUAGAGGUGAUAAAAUUAGCCACGAAAAUAUCACACUCAAUUCAUUCGAAAUGACCCGCUUAGUAGUUAUUAGCUUGGUGCAUUAAAAAUUGAACGACAUGGCCUAAACUAACUCAUGAUAAAUCUUAUCAAAUAUUUUCAAAUAAUAUCUUUUUAAUUGAUGUAUUAUAUACCGUCAUGAUAAAAAAUAAAAAAAAUUAUUAUGUACUAAAAAUUAUAAAAUAAACAAAUAAAGUAAUUAAAACACAGUAUGAAUUGAGCGAAUCGGAUUUUGACCCGAAUUUUAAUCCAUUUCAUUUCCAAGUAACUUUUAAGCGGGUCAAUAACCUACUCAGUUAUUAACUCAAUCUAUUUUAAUCCACUCGAAUUCAGCUAAUCCAUUUGACAACUCUAGAUGCAAACUAGAGACUAACUAGCACAAUGGGGAACUGAGGGUGCAACACUGCAACUUGCCCUUUGUAUCAUAAUGAUAAGGGUGUCAAACGGGCCGGCUUGGCCCAGCCCGACCCGGCCCAUGUAACUAACUCAAGCCGGUUUGACCCGGCCCGAUCAGUCCACGGGCUGUAGGAUACAGGAUACUGGGCUGAGUUAUUUUUUGUUUUGGGCUCGAUUAACCUGGCUCGGACCAAACCCGGUCCGAGCUUGUCGGUUAACCGGCCCGAAACCUUUUUUUUAUAUUAAAAAAAAUGAUUUCUGCAUAUUGGGCCAAUUUGACCGUUGGGCCCAACGGCUAUAUUACCGUUUGGGCCCUAAAAAUGGCUAAUUGGCCUAAUUUAAAAAAAAAUCAAUUAAAAUAUUUUUUAAAACUCAAAAAAAAUCAUAUAAAUACCCUACACUUUCAAAUCAUUCUCCAAACAAUUUUCAUUCUCUCAACUCUCAAUUCUCAAAUAUUCUAUAUAUUUCCUAAAGUUCUUACUUUAAUUUUUAAAUUUUGCGAUUACAAAGUACGAGUAGAAGUUUCUAAAGUCGCAACCUUCAAAUACUUCCAAAAUUUGGUAUUGUCGUUCAUCUCUUACGUUUAAUUUUUAAUUAGUGUAUUAAUUGUUGAAUAUUUAAUUUUAUUAUAUUUGUGUAUUUUGAAUUUUUUUAGUUUAAUUUAUAUUAUGGAUAAAUUAAGAAACCUCGCCACUAAAGGUGUUAAAAUUUUUUGUCUCGGAAGUGGUAGUGGUAGUAAAAAAUGAAUUACUAGCGGUAGAGGUACUUCAAGUAGUAGAUAUACCUGUGUGCCUCUGCCUCCGGUACCGCUUAGUCAACCUUUUGAGGAAGAAAUAGGUGUAGGUGCUCACGAUAUGGAUCAUGUUCAAGCUGGGAAAAAUUAUGGUAUAGAAGAAGAAAAUGAAGUAGAUGCGGUUAAUUUAGAUGAAGAUGAUGAAAAUAUUGGUGAGACACCCACAGUAGGAAAUGCUAACGUUAGAUCUGAAUCGGUUAAUCUCCUUCCCCGUCCUCCCCGUUUCCCAAGAGCUCGUAAAAUAACUAGUAUUGCAUGACAAUUUUUUGAACGUAUAUCAGAUAUUGAGGUGCAAUACAAUAUUUGUCAACAAAUAUAUAAGCAUAAAAAAGGAGGCAAGCAAGGGGGUACGGGUACGUUAAUGAGACAUAUAAGUGAUAAUCACGAUAGAAAGUUAAAAAUUGCACAGGGUGGUGCGCAUGUUGGUGGGCCAACACAAACUAGAAUGGACCCAAAACCGGUCAGGUAAUGAAAAAAUAUAAUAAAUUGAGGGACUGGGAAGAAAUAGCUAAAAUGAUUGUUGUGGGUUGUUUGCCUUUUAGUUUUCCUUCUUCUGAUGUCUUUAUUCAUUAUAUUCAAGUAAUUUAUAAUCCUAUGUUUAAUGGUAUUCCUAGAAGUAUUUGUAGGGCCAAUAUUUUUAGACUUCAUUCACAAUAUUGUUUUUAUUUAUCAACAUUGUUAAAAAAUAUUCAAUGUAGAAUAUCCCUAACUUCUAAUGUUGGCCGUGCUGUAAAUAAAAAUGACUAUUUAACCAUUACUUGUCACUGUAUAGAUAGUAAUUUUGUUAUGCAAAACAUAUUCUUGCUUCUUUAUAUAAUGAAGAUCUUAAACAUACUGGAGAUUUUAUUGCUGAUUUGAUUGCUAAAGUUGCGGAAUUUUACGAUAUUGAAAAUAAAAUCUUAUGUAUUGCUUUUGAUAAUGCUUCUAACAACAAGACCGCUAUAACAAAGUUAAAAUUUAAGUUAUCUCCGUCGUUACCUGAAAUUUUUCAUGUUUUAAGUGUGCUUGUCAUAUAUAUAAUUUAAUUGUAAGAGAUGGUCUUGAGUUUUUUGAGCUUUAUAUUAAAAAAAUUCGGCUUGCCGUUGGUUUUAUUCAAGGAAAUAAUCGUAGAAAAAGAAUUAGAGACUUUAAACUUAAAUGUGAACAAAAUGGACUUGCACCGAUAUUGAUCUCCGAAGAAUGUGAUACUAGAUGGAAUGCUACGUAUGAUUUUUUAAAAACUUGUUAUAAAUAUAGAGUUUCUAUUACACUAUCUUUUAACCAACAUUGUGAUUCGUUUGCUGAUUCUGCCCACUACACGCUACAUGAUUCUGACUAGGCUGUAAUUAAUGAUCUUGUUAAGUUUUUAAAAAAAAAUUAUAUAGCUACGGUUGAAUUUUUCGGUGCUUAUUAUCCUAUUGUUUGUAAUAUUUUGGCAUAUAUAGCCGAUAUUUCUGGUUUUCUCGAAGAAUAUAAAAAUAAAGAAGGUUACAAAUAAGUUGUUGGUGUCAUGUUUGCUAAAUUUAAAAAAUAUUUUUUUCGAUUUCCCCUAUUUACUUGGUUGGUGUUAUACUAAUUCCGUGCAUGAAAUAUAAUACUAUGUGCCGCUUUAGUAUUCUUAUUUAUGCUAACUUAGAGAUAAAUACUAACAAUGAUUCUCGUGAUGAAGAACAAGAACAACCUGAUUUGUGGAUGGCUAUGGGGGAUGCGAAUGCUUACAUAGAUAAAUUAUAUAACCACUAUGCUGAUUUGGUUGAUUUAGCUGUACCGACAAAUAUCACUCCAACUGUCGUUCCUCAUCCUCCCGAGGAGCCAUCAUCUUCUAAAAGGCCGGCACAUAAUGGUAUUCCUGAUUUCUUUUAUGAUUUACCUUGUUGGAACAGUGUUGACGAGGGAGCUUACACAACAACUUGUCGGGAAGAGCUGAAGUAUUAUCUUCGAACACCGAUAGAGGAUCACAGACAACGGAUCAACGCGUUGGAUUGUGGAGGAAUAAUGAAACACAAUAUCCCGUGCUUUCAAGAUUAGCCAGAGAUAUCUUGAAUGUUUCAAUGUCAAUCGUUGCAUCGGAGAGCGCUUUUAGUCAGGGAUGACAGCAGCUUGGAGACAACCAACAUUCAUUGGGAAGUAAUGCAAUGAAUAUUCUAGUUUGCCUUAGAGAUUGGAUUAGAACGGAACGAAGAAAUCAAGGAAUGGAAGCGGAGCCGAACGACGAGCAGAGACUUGAAGAAAUUAUGACUUUACGGGAGAACUCAGCAGAAUCAAGUCCAAUGCAUGGUUUUUUCCCCAUUGACUUUGACUAUCCUAUGCAAGUUCCCGUUAAUAUUAACAUGAAUGAGUUGGAAAAAAUGAUGCAAAAUUUGUAGAUUUUCCAUCCAUGUAAAUUAUAAAUUUUGAAUCAUUUUGCAAUCAAUAAAAUUCAACAUUCAUUCACUCUUUAGUCCUUACUUUGUAAUUUUUUCCAUUUAAUGAUGUAAAUUGAAUUUCUAGUUUAAAUUAAAUACUUAAUUUUAAUAUAUUACUAAUUUACUAUCAAAUAUUAUUAAUUUAUUAUAUUAAGUAGCAUAUGUUUUAUUUAAAGAAGUACAUACAUUGAAUGAUACGUAUACAUGUGUAUAUGUUUUAUAAAUUAGUAUAUAUUUAACGUAUACAUGUGUAUAUGUUUUAUAAAUUAGUAUAUAACUAUAUAUUUAGUGCGUGUAUAUGUUGAAGUAUAUGUUUUAUUUAAAGAAGUACAUACGUUGAAUGGUACGUAUAUAUGUGUAUAUAUUUUCUAAAGAAGUAUAUAUUUAAUGUAUACAUGUGUAUAUGUUUUAAAAAUUAGUAUAUAUAUCAUUAUAUUGUAGUAUAUGUUUUAUUUAGAGUAGUAUAUAUAGUUAACUAACGUAUAGUCGUAUACACGAUUACAUGUGUAAUUACGUAUAUGUAUUAUGUGUAUAUAUUUUUUAAAGUCUAAUGUAGUAUAUACUAUAUAUAUAGUGUAUAUAUAUUGUUUAACAUAUGUAAAAUGUAUAUAGGUGGGUAUAUAUAGUGUAUAUUGGAGAAAAAACUUUUUUUUUGUUGUUUGACCGGUUUUGACCGGGUUUAGAUGGGUUGGACCGGGUUGGGUUAAGUGGGCCAGUUCAGGCUGUUGGCCCCGGAACCGGCCCGGCCCAUUUAACUAGGCCUGGAUCCGGCCCGGCCCACUAACCGGCUGCCGAUUUCGAGUUGACCCGGCCCGACCCACUUAGCACCCUUACAUAAUGACAAUGAGACUCUGUCACAUUUGUUACUAAACUUGCUCCAUCUCAUUGCGUGGUAUAUCAUAAUAGGCCAAUUUUUUCUGUUAGUACUUUACAAAUCAUAUAGCAUAUGCGUAUGGAGGGGCUGCAGCCAAAAGUACAGGAUGUCAUACAGGUUCAUAUAGUACUUUCUUCAUUCUUGUCAAUUAGUAGAGGUUCAUUUCCUUAGGAUUGGCAAGGUAACGCCUAGCCCUCUCUAAGAAUUAUACAGAACUCCAAAAGCAGUAAACUUGAGUGCUUGUGCACCCUUCAUCUUUAUUCUGGAUGUCAUACAGAACUCCAAAAGCUGUAAAUAUGCUUCAUGUAGCAGAUUUUUAGAUGUCAAACUAAAUAAUACACGGAUAGCCUUUUUCUAAGGCCACCCUCCAGUACUAGCGUUAGCCACAAGGCAGCAUAGAGAGAGCCUUUCAGCAUCUCGGAAAUUGUUUGCGCAUCGCCAUAUUACAAGAUAACAAUAUAGUGGAUUGUGCCAUCUGCUCAUAAAUCAACUCCAGGGUGAUAAUACAAGCCAUCAGAUAAACAAUUUUCAAAUAUAUGUGUUGAGAUUGAACUUUACCACAUACUGUAAGAAAAAACAAACUAAAGUUCUCUAGCAUUUACUGUCAAGCAACAUCCAAGGAAGUAUAGUUGACUUGCUUAAGGAAACUAAAAGAUAAACUAAGCAGUAAACAGAGAAAGUAUGAACUCUAUUCAGAAACUGUGCAUCUUUCUGCAUUUUGAACAGCAUAAGUAGGCUAUCAUUGUCUACAUUUUUAUCAAUAUUAUCAAUUCCACCAGCCAGUUGAUCUACAUCUUCCUUCAUUUCGCUGGCACGCUUCCAUCUUGAUCAUGAUUCUGUUCAUUAGCAUCUCCAUCUUGAUCAGCAUUUUGCUCAUUAGCGCCUCCAUCUUGAUCAGCAUUUUGCUCAUUAGCGCCUCCAUCUUGUUCAUUAGGAUCCUGUUCAUUAACGCCUCCAACUUGAUCAUUAGGGCCUCCAUCUUGUUCAUUAAUGCCUCCAACGUGAUCGUUAGGGCCUCCAUCUUGUUCAUUAGGAACCUGUUCAUUAAUGCCCCCAUCUUGAUCAUAAUUCUGUUCAUUAGCAUCUCCAUCUUGAUCAGCAUUUUGCUCGUUGGCGCCACCAUCUUGAUCAGCAUUUUGCUCAUUAGCACCUCCAUCUUGAUCAGCAUUUUGAUCAUUAGCGUCUAAACCUUGUUCCCCGUCUAAAUUAAACAACGGUACCCCAUCUAAAAGAUUCAACGGUGCACCAUUCCAGGAACUAAUCGUGUUCCUGCCACAAUAUACUUAUCUUUAUUAAAACUUACUAGUCAUACUGCAUAAGUGUACAGUUUCAGUUUGCAUAUUUUUAAUUAGAAACUUACAAUCCCAGACAGAAUCUUCCUUCUCUAAAUAACACGAAGUGUUGGGGUACAGCAAUCUGCGGAAAUCAUUAAUUCAGUAUUUAAUAAAAGAAGCAGCAAAUCUGUCUUGUUCAUCAAAAUCAAAUGCUCUUUAAUAUUAGUAUCUUACAAGUCGACACCCGAGCAGCAUUCCACAUUUGGCACAGUUAACUUUGGCUGUGGUAAGUCCAUAUAUCUCAGGAUCAUCAGUCACGUCGUCUGAUAUUCUAACAUUAAACCUGCAUAUAUACAAAGGUUUGUAACGUUUGGGAUAAUACAUACCCAAGUUGCUGAAAUCAUAUGAAAUCAGAAUCGCAUGAAAUCGUGUAACUUACACUCUAGUAAAGACCACUAUUGGAAAACGGAAUAGCACCUGCAAAGUGUACAAGACAAGAAAAUUAGUCAAGAAAUAUAACAUACAUGCUAAAUUAAUUCAAGAUUGUCCUGAAUUUGUUUGUAUACCAUUUGGUGUAUUCAUAAAUAAAUUGAUUUCUGCGCGAAGCAGAGAGAGUGAGAAUCCUUACGAUAAAAUCGAUAUCGUAGACGAGAGCAAUAUGAUUUCUGCACUGACGACAGUAGAUGCAAUAUCGAGGACGGAUAUAAUUGCAUUGAUUAAAAAGUCGACUGCUCAUCGUAUCAACUUUGUUGAAUCAAAAAAAUGGCUGGGAAUUAGAAAGACUAACUUCAAAAUAUCAGAAAAUCGAAGACAGACUAACUUCUCACCAGAAAAGCAUUAACGAGAAUUCAAGAAAGUGAAAAAUGGCUGGGAAUUAGAAAUGCAGAAAGACUGAAUUUAAUGGGAUUUUUGAAGGAUAAAAUGAAGAGAAGAUAAUGUUAAUAUAGAAAACUCAGUUCUUGAUUCUUGAAUCCAAGCUCUGUAUUUACCGUUAAUUAAAAAAGGAGGGAAUUUUGAAAGAUAAAAUUUCUUUUUUAUUUUUCCCCUUAAGAAGAAGUAUUACAAUUUACCCUCCGAAAUUAUUUUCUUUUUAAUUUUAUCCUGAUUUAAACAUAUAUGCACCGACUUAAAAAUUAAAAUUGUAUAGAGAAUAGAAUAUCAUUAUGUUUCCGUUUCUUUUUUCUUUACUUACGAGAAAUAAAGAUUAUAUCUUAAUAAUGUUAUUGUUGUGUGAAUUUUUAUAGUAAAAAAUGUAUUUGUAUCGAGUAUUUAAAUGACUGAUAUAAUAUUUACAACAACAAUAACAUAUUCAGUGUAUUCUCACGUAGUGGGGUCUGGGGAGGGUAAAAUGUACGCAGUCCAUACCAUUACUAGAGAAGUUGUUUCCGAUAGAUCCCCUCGGGACAAAAAGACAGUAAUUAAAGAAGUAAUAAAACAUGAAACAAGGUGAACUAACCAAAAUAAAACACCCACAAAAUAUUACUAUACACUAUCAAACCAAAAUCACGCACCUAACCCAAACCCUCCUAGCUAGAAACUUCAAUCUAUGCACAAAGCCCCAUGAUACUAGCAAGGCUACACCCACACGCAACCCUCUAACCUAAUUUGUAUCCUUCAUACCUUCCUAUCUAGGGUCAAGUUCUCGGUAAGUUGUAACUGCUCCAUGUCACGUCUAAUCACCUCUUCUAGUAUUUCUUCGGUCUACCUCUACCCCACCUAAAAUCAUCCAAUGUUAAUCCCUCACGCCUACGAAUUGGCGUCUCAAUGCCCCUCUUCAUAACAUGUUUGAAUCAUCUCAACCUCACUUCCCGCAUUUUGUCCUCCACCGAAGUCACUCCCACCUUUCCCGAAUAGUCUCAUUCUGAACUCUAUCUCCCCUAGUAAGUUCACGCAUCCAAUACAACAUCCUCAUAUCUGUCACCUUCAACUUUUGGAUGUGCGAGUUCUUGACUGGUCAAUACCCGCUCGAUACAACAUAGUCGGACGGAUUGCCACUCUAUAGAAUUUUUCUUGUAGCUAGGAGGGCAACUUCUUAUCACACAAAACUCUCGACACAAGCCUCCAUUUCAUCUACCUUGUCCUAAUAAAUAAUUUGGUUUCAUAUUGAAGCGUUCAACUAAAUAGGCAAUUCAUCUUGUAAGAAAUUUGAUCGAGCAGUGUAGAGAAAGGAAGAUUGACUUAUAUAUGGUGUUCAUCGACCUAGGAAAAAGCAUACGAUAAUAUCCUUAAUGUACAUGUAACUGUUGGGUUCAAUAUGUAUGAAAAAAGCGUAAAUGGAAAAUUGAGGGACACAACCUUUGAGGAAAAGACAUAUUGUUUUGGAAAAGGGGUGACUAUUCAGAUAGUUGUGUCUGUUCAAAAAAAGACACAAUGUUUCGAAUGAACAGACAUGACUCUUCCAAAGGAUACACCUUUUCAGAUGAACCAUUGCUACCUUUAGGAAGGGGCACUUGAUGGCUAUAUAAACCUGCAUUUAUCCACAGGUUUAGGCAUGAAAAAUUUUCUGAAUAUACAAACUCUUCUUGUCUUUAAAACAUUCUGUGUGAUCAAUCAAACUGUUGAGUGAGUUCGUUGAAUCCAACAAUUUGAGGUACCGCUAUUAUUCGGAUUGAAGGGGAUUUUAUCCUAGGAGGAAGAUUCCAUAACCUCGGGUACAGUGAGGAGAAUUAUUCCUUAAUGACACUCCGUGAAGUCGGGGGACUUGGCCUUACAAAUUCUAUUUCAUCUAUUUUCUGAAAAUAAACACACUUCUUAGAUAGAUUAUUCAUAAUCUAGUGCUGAAGGUGUUAAGUAACUUCAAAAGUGUUCUUGUCUUGGAGUUGAACUAAAGUUGAAGUUGGUGUUACAUGUAUACAGAUUUUUGUACCCAAACACCACAAAACUACAGUAACUUACAUUAAGGCGAUAAAGAUAUGUCUGGUGGAGUCAAGAUCCGAGUGAAUACGAUUGAAGGAGACUCAAAACACUUUCCUAUCUUGAUGGGGUUGCACCACGAUUCAGCUCAUAGUUUGUUUUAAUUUAUUAUGGUGAUGAAUGAACUAAUGUUGCACAUCGGGGAGGGGGGAGUAGCAUGAUGUAUGUUAUUUGCAAAUGAUAUAGUGUUGAUGAGAUUAGCGACAAGUUAACGAUGGACUGAAGAUUUGGAGACCAACUCUAAAAUCUGAAGGGUUCAAAUUUAGCAGACUAGAGAUUUGACAGUUCUUUUUCACGUUCAUACAUUUUCUAUUUUUUAAAGUUAAAUUGGUUGUCGAAUACCAUCCUUCUUCUUGGUAAACAAAAAUCAUUAAACUAAAUUUUUGUGUACUUUAAUUUAUAAUAAUGAAAUAAGAUUUAAAUGUCAAGUGGUAGUAUUACUACUAUUAAUAAGAGUGAAAAACAGGCAGCACUUCGUCAACAUGACUGCUUCUUCACCUGUUUCAGUUGCUUCGUGAUUUUACUAUAUUAUCCCUAAUUAAUUAUUUUAACUUAUUUAUAUAUAAGAAAUAUAAUAAUACUUAAUUAAAAAAAAAAAAAAUAGACAUUUAUGACAUGUUUGUUUCAGCUGCUUUAAUUGUAGUUUUAUUUUAUCACCUCAAAUUAAUUAUUAUUUCUUACGCCCUUUCUGUUAUGUCAUACAUCCCCUUGUUUACUAUUCUUUACAUUGAGUCAGGGGUCUCUCGGAAACAACCUCUCUACUUAUUCGGAGGUAGCAGUAUGGAUUACGUACAUCUUACCCUCCCCAGAUCCUACUUUGUGGGAAUACACUGGGUUUGUUGUUGUUGUUGUUGUUGUAUCCAAGUAUUAAAAAAAUAAUAAUAUUUAAUAAAUAAUAAAAUAAAUAUAAAUGAUAAAUCAAUUCUUGAUGUUUUAAAUUAAUAGGACAUCUUAUAUGAGACUUAUUUUAAAAAAUUCACAAGUAUGUUUGCUCCAUGAUUUUACUAUAUUACCCCUAAUUAAUUAUUGUAAGACAUUUACAUAUAAUAAAAUUAAUAAUAUUUAAUAAAAAAAUAAAAUAGACAUUUAUGACAUGUCUACUUCAGCAGCUUCAACCGUAAUUUUACUAUAUCACCCUUAAUUGAUUAUUAUAAGUCAUUUAUAUAUUUAAAAUUUAAUAAUAUUUAAUAAAAAUAAAAUUGACAUAAAAUGAUAAAUUAAUUCUUGAUGUUUUAAAUUAACAUGACAUCUUAUAUGAGACUCAUUUAAUUUUUUUCACAAAUAUUUUCUCAUAAUAGUUUUUCUAUAUCACCUCUAAUUAGGUAUUAUAAGUUAUUUAGGAUAUAUCCACUUCGGUGCUUCAAUCAUUAAAUUUGGUUGACUCUCGAAUUUAUUUUAGUGCUACUUAAAUUGGAAUAGAAGAAAAAGUAUUAUAAAUCAUAAUAACUAAAAACUUAAAUUAUUUUAAGAAUAUAACUGAAUAUCAAUGCCACAAAAAUUUGAAUAAGGAGAGUAACACAUAUUAUUUGAAAAUUACAUAAAAAAAUAUUAUAAUUUACAAUAGCUAACAAUUUAAAAUAUUUAAAAACACAUUAAGAAUCUUAUUGAUUAUCUAAAUUAUGUUUGUGUCACGUAAAUUCGAGAUAGUCUUGACAUUUUAUAAUUUGCAUGUUUUAUUGUUUUAAUUUAGUAAUUUGUUGAUCCAAAUGAUGUUUUCAAAUUUAACAUGUUUUAAAAAAUUAGUACUUUGUUUAUUUUAAUUUAUUUACUUUAUUUUGGUAAAAUAUUAUAUAUUUAAAAAUUAUGCAAAAAAAAAAUUAUAAGUCAUAACUAUUAACAUCUUAUAAUAUUUUAAAAACAUAUAGUAAAAAAUAUGAUUUACUUUUGAAAUUCUAAUAGUGUCACAUAAGUUGCGAUAAAGCAAGUAAUAUAAAUUAUUUGAAAUUUCAUUAAAACAUACUAAAAUCACAAAGAUUAACAACUUCAAAUAUUUAAAAAAAUAUAUUAGUAAAAAAAAUUGAUUGACUCACUAAAUUCUAAUAUUGGGACAAAGCAAGUAACAUAAAUUACUAAAUUACAUAAAAGAUACUAUAAAUCACAAUGAUUAGCAACUUAAAUUAUUUAAAAAUUUUAUAUUAAUAAAAAUUUGAUUGACACUACUCCAAAAACUAUUUAUAUUAUAUAAAUUGAGAUAACGUAAAUAAUAUAUAUUAGGAGUGGAUGGAAGAAAUGAAGGGUCACCUUUUUUAUUUGAAAUUCUUGUAAUGUGACAAAACAUUUUUUUCCUUUUACUAGAAUACCAACUCUAUCCCGUAUUACUAUAUUGUUUUAUUUCCUAUUACAUAUCUUUUAAAGAAACUAGGAGAUUAUUUUUACCAAUUUAACAUUUAACUCUUUUUAUACUAUAUUAUAUUUACCUUCUUUAUCCAUCAAUAUAAAAAUUAACAAUGAAAAACUUUCUUGAAACUCUGCAUAAUUUUAUCUUAAUUUUGUAAAUUAAUAAAUAAUUUGAAACAUGUCGUAUCACUUGGGAUUUGACUAUCACUGGGGGUUUUUCAGUAAAAUCAUGUAGCACAGCUCUAGAAAGUGCAUACGACGCAAAUUCUCAAAACAAUCUUAUACCCAGAACCUAAUCUCCUUUAUUUGGAUUUGAAAACUUUGGAUCCCUCCGAAAUUAAAAUAUUUUCCGUGGCUCCUGAAUCAUGGACGAAUAACUAACUCUAGCUUGCUAUACCAUAUUAAAGUUGUAGAUUCUCCUAUGUGUAGGCUUUGCAAUACAAUGGCUGAAGAAACAAACGCUCGCCCUUUCGUCCUUUGUCCAAAGGUUGCACCAAUAUGGACUGGGUUUAGUGUCAUGCAUCAGCUGAGCACUCUUGUAUCAACUGAUACUCACCCGUCCCGAUGGUUACAUGAUCUAAUCCACCACUAUUUAAACCCCUCCGAAGGGGUGUGGUUACGCACACCCUCUAAGAUCUACAUGGCUUUUUGCAUCUGGCAUAUCUAACUUGCACGAAAUAAAUUCAUAUUUGAAAGUAUUCUCUUUUUACCGUCUUUAAAGGACGUUUCACAAAUGGCCGAGGAAUUUCGGUUCCUAGUAGGCCUUACGGGGGAAAACUAAGAUUUCAAUGGAUCCGAAGGGGCACACCCCCCCCCCUCCCCCCCCCGCGCGCAAGCAAACUGCAUGCUUAAUACUGAUUGUGCUUCUGAGACCUCAUCUACAAAUCAACAUUAACUCGGCCUAGGUGGUGUUUUCUGGAACUAUAAGGCGGAAUGGGUAUUAGGCUUUCAUGGAACCUGCGCUGUUACAGAUGUCCUGGAAGGAGAAACUUACGCUCUGUUAUUAGGACUCCGGUUUGUUUAUCAGAACAACCUUUUUCCACUGGAAAUUGGGAUAGACUCUCAACAAUUAGUCCGACUACUUGAUUCUAAUACAUAUCCGAAUUUAACUUUGAUAUCUGACUCAACUUUAAUAUCUGAUUAUAGGUACCUCCUGGGCGCACUAGAUAAUCGUCAACUGCACCACUUUUUCAGGGAACAGAAUAGGCUAGCUGACAGAUUGACAAGAUUACCUAGUACAAUCUCUACUACUAUGUUGUUUUGGACUCCACCACAGUCACUCAGUGACAUUUUGUAUGCCGAUAUAAAUGGAGUAUUAUUAGUUAGACAGUUGAACACUUUAACUGUUCACCCAAGCGUGUAUUAUAUUAGUCCCAUACAGGAUUUCAAGGGCUCCUACUUCUACUACCACACUUGUGACUCGAUCACAACUAGACUUGUAAAUGUUUUUGUGUUAUAAAUAAAACUCUGCCUGUUUCACCAAAAAAAAAAUCGUACGAACUAAAAAAUUUCUACGUUGCCUAGACCUAUUAUCAUGGCAAAAUGACCUUCUGGACCCUUGUACUAUGUCGAUUUUGUAAGUUAGAUACUUCUACUUAUAUGUUUGUCAUCUGGACCCCUGAAUCCACUAAAAAACAACAUUUUAAAUCCUUUUUUGGUGAGUGUAAUGCACUCUUUCCACGUCAGCGGCCACGCCUGCCUCAUUUGCCACGUUAUUUAAAAAAAUAAAAAAAUAGAAAGUAUUAUAUUAAAUUUCAAGUCAUUUUUAAAAUGCUAAAUAACAAAUUAAAUAUUAAAAUUAACUUAAUUAAAUAAGAAAAAUUUAUAAUUGUAGAAAAAUUUGAAUAAUCAUGUUUUUAUUUUUGCUCACAAAUUAAACAUCAAAUUCAUUCCAAAUAAUUAAAAUUCUUUUCGAACUAAUUUAAAUUUUGAAUUAUAAAUUCAUAUAUACAAACAUAAUAAAAUUUUGAUUUUUAAAUUUGAAUAUCUUUAAAAAAUUCACAAAAAGUUUAAUUUUUUUCAAGAAAAAUUCACUAAUUUUUUAAAGUAUUCACUAUCACUCAUUUUCAAUUCAAAUUUAAAUUUUAAUAAUAAUAAAAAAGAUUUCAAAUUUAAAUUUUUAUUCAAAAAAAUGAAAAGAAUUGAAUUGAGGGAAAAUUAAAAUAAAAAAUAAAAAGUAAAGAUGGUGGUAGGAAGGGGUGUUGGAAGAGUGUUGGGGUAGGGUGUGGGGUUGAAAAGGACUAGGAUGGGGUGGAGAUAGGGCUAGGAGAAGUUUGGGGGCUGGAGGUGGGGUUGGAAGGGGCUGGACUAAGAUAAUGAGGUGUGUGGGUGGGGAUAGGGCUGGGGUGANNNNNNNNNNNNNNNNNNNNNNNNNNNNNNNNNNNNNGGGGCGGGGAGGAAAAAAAUAAUUUUAUUUUAUUUUAACUUUUAAAAAAUAAUUUUAAAUUAUCUUAAAAUUCUAUUUUUUUAAAAAAAAAUUUAAAAAUAUUUUAAAAUUAUUUUUAAAUUUUUCAAAAUAUUUUUAAAUUAAAAAGGAUGGAGGAAAAAAAAGACCCUUUUUAAUUUUUUUUAAUUUUAAUAUUAUUUUUUAAAAUUAUUUUAAUGUAAAAUUGGCCUCCACUCGCACCAUCAGGCGAGUGGCUACACUCUAUUUGUCAUAGUCACCAUUUCAAUGCCACAUAGGCAAGAUCAACGGUCAAAUAGUGCAAAAUAUUAUGUUUUAAUGGGUACAAGGGUCCAGAUGACAAACAUAUAAGUAGAAGUGUCUAAAUUACAAAAUCGACAUAGUAAAGGAGUCCAAAAAGUGAUUUUGCCUAUUAUAAUCCCUAGAUCUUGUUUCACAUGGAUCCUAUCGCCGUCCAAUCAUAUUCAGUUUCCGGGUCUCACCCGGAUCGAUAUUUCUAUCCGUCGAUUAACAAGUAAAUCCCCAAAUAUUUAACGGCUGCGAUUGACUUCUCCAAAUCCCCCAAUUCAUUUCGAACCGGGAAAUUUACGUCGGCCCAAAUCCCCCAACUAUAAAUUACCCACCACCAUCUGCUUCAUUUCUCAUUCAAAUUCAAAACCCUAGAAUCUUUAUCUUCUUCAAAUUCGUCUCUGUGAAAAUGUCUGGCCGCGGAAAGGGAGGCAAGGGAUUGGGAAAGGGAGGAGCCAAGAGGCACAGGAAGGUUCUUAGAGACAACAUCCAGGGAAUUACCAAGCCAGCUAUUCGUAGGCUUGCUCGCAGGGGUGGUGUGAAGCGUAUCUCUGGUUUGAUCUAUGAGGAGACCCGUGGAGUUCUUAAGAUCUUUUUGGAGAAUGUGAUUCGUGAUUCAGUUACCUACACUGAGCAUGCUAGGAGGAAGACUGUUACUGCUAUGGAUGUUGUUUAUGCCCUCAAGAGGCAGGGAAGGACUCUCUACGGAUUUGGUGGUUAGAUCAGUUGUUAGUUAGUAGAUGUAGAUCUGAUGGAAAUUUCUGCUGUUUCUGUGUUUUAGUUUCUAUUUAGUGUUGUUCUACUUCUUAUGCUCUCUAGAUAUUGUAAUUUCUCAUUACAUAUUCAAUGAACAGCUGCUCAAUUUCUAGAAAUUACAAUGGUUGUUCUCCAGCUGACUAUUAUUGUUGUUAAUUGAUUGAAAUUACAUAUCCUGUUUUUGCAACCAUGGGUUUGGGUAUUCAUACAUUUGCGAAGUGCAUACAUUUUCUUUGAUUUAUGUUCUUCAUUGGUUAUUGUUUGUUCAAUUUGAAUUUUGACAAGUGCCUGCUUGGAAAUAGAAGAGAAAUCUGUUCCAACAGUGCUGCCACAUAGUAGUAGACUACCUUGUAAAGAGCUCGGCAAAUUAUGAAAGUUUGGCUCCAAGCCUACUCAACAAAAUUCCCCAGAUUUUCAUCAAUGAAAGGUGACACGAAGUAAAAAUAAAAUGAAAAAUUGACAGCCACUUGCUUUGUUGUGUUAAUUUGGAUGGCUAGGGUGUGCAUUCAAUCUUCGUUUGUUUUUCUUUGUUUUAGUAGCUGAUUGAUUACCUUCAUACUGGUCUUAGACUGUUCAAAGACUAUCUGCACUAGUGUUUUCACCUGAAGGAUUUAGGCACGUUAAAGUGUUUUCACUGAAUUAAUAAUUUAGGCAACAAGUGUUUUUGUAUGAUUGGGAUAUUUCUUUGUCUAUGCAAAUAUGCCUUGGACAUAAUUUUUGAGGCUGGAAUAUUGGGAGCCAAGCCAAUUAGCACUCCCUUGGAGAAAAUCGUAAGUUGGCACUGGUCGGGGGAGCAGACCUUACAGAUCCAAAAGAUAUUAUCGGUUGGUUGAUUGCCUUAUAUAUCUUUGUUUCACUCUACCUGAGUUAUCAUAUGCUGUGUGUAUGUGUUGUCUUAGUUCUUAUAUCAACUAAAGAGGUGAAUGGUGUUGCGACUCUAUGGGUAGUGCACUAGUACAACUCUGGAAGAAAAUAUGGUGCAGAAACAAAAUACCAGUAGAUGAUGAUGACCAUUUGUGAAUUGCAAUGGUUAAAAGUCGUCAAUAUAUAUUGUGACGGUCAAUCAACACUUCACAUUACCCAGAAUUUGAUUUUCUAUGAACUAACCAAAUUUUAGUUAAAGACACUGAACGACCCAGAAUUCAUGGCAAAACAACUUCAGGAUUUGUAUUACCGCGUUUUAGGCAGCGAUAAACUUCAUUGCUCUCAAUCAGCAGUUGCUGGACAUGUGCUCCGUAUAGCAGAAGUGGAGAUGUCAUGUUAAAUGAACACCAAACAUUGCCAUAUUACAAAAUGACAAUAUAGUGAUGCAAAAAGCAACAUGAAUAAACAAAAAGCAUAAUUUAUAAAAAUGCCCUUUUAGUUGGCCUCAUCUCGCAUCUAUGACCUCCAACUCUGCAUGUGCUUAAGUGGACCCUUAAACUUGUAUAAAGUUGAAUAAGGAGACACGCGUCCUAUGUGGCAAUAAUACACGUAAGACGUGAUGUAGGACAUGAAUUAGCCACGUAGGAUAACACACAGGACUCAUGUGUCUAUUUGUUUAACUUUAUACAAGUUUAAGUGUCUACCUAUACGCACUCAAAGUUAGAAGGCCAUAAAUACAAGCUGAAGUCAAGUAAAAGGCCACAUUUAUGUAUUAUGCCUAAACAAAUAGUAAACUAGGAUGUCGCUCAUAAAUGAACUCUGGGAUAAGAGUAAAAGUAUGUGUUAAAAUACGACUUCGCCACAUACUGAAACGUCAUCUUUCCCCAUAAUAGUCAUCCACAUCUAUAAGAAAACAAACUAAAGUUGACUAGCAUUACUGUAUAUAGAUGUUGCAGUUAAGGAAAUACAUCUCUGACAGUCGACUUGCUUAAAGAAAUUGAAAGAUGAACUGUAGUACCAGAGCUCAAACAGGUACUGUAAUCCCAAAAUCAACCUGAAUAUGUACUGUAAUCCCAAAAUCAAAUAGAGAAAAGAAUCUUUCUUUUGUCAAGUAUGAACUCCAUUCAGAAUGGUCGGCUAUCAAUGUCUGUGUUUUAAUCAUUAGUUGGUUUGUAUUAUAUAUUCCAUCACCCAGUCGAUCCACAUCUUCAUUCAGUGCAUUGGUGCGCCUCCAUCAUGAUCAGCAUUUUGCUCAUUAGCGCCUCCAUAGUGAUCAGCAUUUUGCUCAUUAUUAGCGCCUCCAUAGUGAUCAGCAUUUUGCUCAUUAUUAACGCCUACAUCCUGAUCAGCAUUUUGCUCACUAUUAGCGCCUCCAUCUUGAUCAUCAUUGUGCUCAUUAGCGCCUCCAUCUUGAUCAGCAUUUUCCUCAACAACUUCUAAUUCUACGUCGUGUAAAGGAAACAACGGAUCAUUAUUCCAGUAAGUAAGCCUGUGCCUGCCACAAAAUGCUCAUCUCUAUUAACCCUUACCAGUCAUACUGCAUAUGUCUACAGUCUGAAUUUGCAUAUUCAUAAUUAGAAACUUACAGUAUCAUAAGGAAUCUUCCUUGUCUAAUGGACAUGGAUGGUUGAGGGACUGCUAUCUGGAGAAAUCAUUAAUUCAGUAUUUAAUAAAAAGGAGCAACAAAAUCUCUUGUUCAGGAAAAUCAAAUGCUCUUUGGUAUUAGUUUCUUACAUAUCGCCACCCGAGCAGCAGUCCACAUUGGACACAGAGGGCAUCGGCCAGGGUGUUUCCACCCACUACAUGAAGAGCAUUCGCGUCUUGUAAUACUUCAACAUUAAACCUGCAUAUAUACAAAUGUGUGCAAUAAUACAUAUAUGUCUCAGACCGCAGAAAGUUUAGGCAAAUGACAAAUCUCAAGUUGCAGAAAUCAUAUGUAAUAUUCAUUUUUCAAAAAUGCAUGAAAUCUGAGACUUACACUCCACGAAAGAUCCCUACUGGCAAUACGGCUUGCACCUGCUCGGUGGAAAAGACAAGAAAAUGAGCAUAAUAACUUGUUUUGUGCUUAGUCAAGAAAUAUAACAUAUAUGCUUAAUUAAUCACAAUUCAUGAUGCAAAUAAAGCCAUUGAAUCUUACAUAUUGUCUUUAUGAAAUCAGUAGCAAUUUCAUCAAAAGAUACAACAUACUUUUUCCUAAACGAAUAGUUAGAACAAUUUAGAAGAAAUUAAUUCAAGAUUGUCCUGAAUUUGUUUGUGAACCAUUUGGUGUGUUCACAGACAAAUUGAUACUAUAAACAAAUUGCAAGAAAUGAUGCUGAGAGAUAGAGCGAGAAUCCUUACGGGCUGAAGGUAAUUCCCGAUGUGCACAACUGGAUUUCUGCACCUACGACAGCGGAUCCAAUCUGGAGGUCUCAUUGUAUCGACUUUGCGAAUCAAGAUGCAACUCCUAAUAGAUAUGUCAUAAGAACAAAUUCACUUAAACAAAGAACAAGGUGGAAAUUAUAACAGAGUUACCAGCUGUGAUAAAUCGAGUUCUUCACCGGAAAAAAGACUAGCUAGCUUCUCACCAUAUAACAAAUGUAACCAAGAAAAUGAAAAGAGUGAAUUUAAUGUGGCCGAAAAGAGAAUGUUGAUAUAGAAAAGCCACUUCUUGAUUCAAGAAAGUAGAAAUAAUCAAUGAGAGAAAAGGACUAACUUUCGUAGCAGAAUAUGAAUGUAACUUGGAGAAGAGAGCUGGUGGAGAAUGAGAAUUCAAGAAAAGUAGAAAAAUGCAGAACGAGUGAAUUUAAUGGAAGUGAGAAGAGAGUGUCAAUACAGAAAAGCUCUGUUUUGACGGUUAAUUCAAAAAAGUAGGGAGAUACAAUAAUUUUUAAUUAUGUAUCCGAAAAUUACCAAAACUAUGUAUUUGAGAAUGUAUCCAACUGUUUUGUGUUUUUUUAAAAAGUGGUUUAGGUAAUUAAUAAAAAGUGUAACACUUUAUUUAUUUGGACGGUGGUUUGUCAUGGUUUUAUAAUGUACCGUAUUGUAUAGUAUGCUAUUUUAUUGUUCAAUACAGAAAAUAGAAUAUUUGAAUGGACUGUAUCGUUCACUUUUAUUUCAUAACAGUUUUAUUGUUUUGUUUGACGGUAUGGUACUGUAUCGUACCAGAAAAAAUUAACUAAAAUAUCCUUAAUUAUUACAAAUAUUAAAUUUAUCAAAAUUCUUAAUAAAAUAGUUUUCUUCUUGCUAAUCUGUCACAAAUUAUGUCAUGUAAAUAUAUUAAAUUGUUAAGUUCAUGUAAAUUCUAACAAAAUUAAUACAAGAGUAGAUCAAAAUAAAUGUAAUCUGAUUUAUUUUUAUAGUAACAAAUUUCAUUUUCUUUUGGUGUUUUGAAGCGUGACCACCAACGACAAGUACAAAGUUUGAAUGCAGCUUUUGUGUAUGCUACAGGUGUGUUCGGUAUGAAAUACAAAAAAAAAUUCUAGGAAAACUAAUUAUUUCUUACUUAUUUUCUUGUGUUCGUUAUCCAAAUAGAAAAAUAUUUGUAUAUAUUUAACACAAAACAAUGAGAACGAAUAGGAUAAGGGGAUGGGGUAAGAUUUUAAAAAAAAAAGUUGAGGUAGGGGUUUGGUAAGGGGUGAGGUCGGGGGUCAGGUAGGGAUGGGAUAAGAAAAAAAUUUAUAAUUUUCUAAAAAAGAAAUUUUAAAAAUAAUUUUUGCGGGGGAGGGGGAGGGGUGCCUUGUGGGGUGGGGUUUAGGAUAGGCGGUGGAGUAAAUUUAAUAUAGGGUAAAAAAUAAAAUGAGAUUAUAUAAUAUUAAAUAAGGACAUAAUUGAAAAAAAAAAAUAAACAAACCAUGGAAUACCACCAAAUCAGUGACUAUAUAAAGUGAGGGUUUUAACAAAUCAUGAAAUUAAGUUAUACCAUAUCAUACAUGUUAAGAAACAAUCAAAACAAACAUAGUUCUAUUUGCAUAAUUUGACAUAUGUUUUGAAAUAUGAAUUCUCUUAAACUGUUUGAAUGAUAUGGUGGUCCAAACUUUAUGUUUUGAAUGAAGAGACCGGAACUUGAUAUUUUAUGGCUUAGAGAUAUGACUUGCAAGUCUUGAUAUGACGAUACCAAAUCAGAUAACGCCAUAAUAGACUGAGAACAGAAUAUAAGUCAAAUCUCAUUCAGAUUUUCAGAUUUUGAAUUCAGAAAGAUGCAUGUUUAGAACAGGUUAAAAAUGGGCACCAAGAGAGUUAGGUGGUUACCCGAAGUAGGCAUGAGUCAUAUGAUUCGUGCCUGAAAUCGUGUUUUAUCAAUACGGAUUUAUUAUAUCCCCAACGAGGGAUUAUAAGUUGGCCUAGUGCCUUGUGGCGUAUUAGAUUCAGAUACUCCAACCCUUGCGGUAAAUUUGGUGUAAUGACCCUUCAGGUCAUUUUUUAUAUUUAUGCUUAUUUUCACCGUUUGAGCUUCUUCAUAGCUGCCCCAAGUCAUUUAUGACUUGCUGGGACUGAGGAUUCGGUUAUCGGGCAGUUCGUUUGGUUUUUAGAGUCAACUCCCUCUUUAGAAGUCUUCGUUGGUUUCAAAUGGCCACCAAUCAAAAACUUCAGCGAACGAUCUCGGAUGAAAAUUUCGACUGCACCAGCAUAUCCGAAAUAUAGAUUUAAGUCUAGGUAGACCUUUGGUUUGGGUCCCAAUGCACCCGAACUCAUUUCGACCUAUUAGUCGAAAAGUCAUAAAAUCAAAACUAUAUAUGUGGGCCCCACUUUUUGCCUAAACAACCUUGUAUGGAGGUUUUGAUGAUUCCAAUGGUUUUGAAUUGUGGUUUACACUCAAAUUUCACUAUUGGAUCAUAUAUUUUGGGUCCCGAAUGAGUUUCGAGGGUCAAAAAUAAAUUUUUGACUUUGCUGUCGCAGGAUACCGCGUCUAUUCGCCGAAGGGGUCUAUAAAUAGAUCCAAGGUCGUGAUUUUGGGGAUUUUUCUUUCACAUUUGAGAACUUAAAACCCUAAAUGGGUAUGAUAACUUGAAAUUUAGUCUUGUGGGUGUCUAGGGAGCUUGGUAAACAUUUUUUAUCAUGAUUAAGGUAAGAUUUCAUCACUUUAUUGGUGAAUUUCAUUGUUCUUAACCCAAAAUCCCAAUUUUAGCUUAGGGCUUGAUUUAGCCCCAAAUUUCGUUUGUUUGUACCCAUCAAUUUAGGGUUAUGCUUUCUUGGUGUUAGAUGAGCAUUGGGUUGACCUCAGAAAUGCGAUUUUCGUAUGUGAGAUCCACUUGGACUUUUUGGUGUCAUUUUUGGACCCGAAGCACAAUAGUGCAAUAUAGGUAUCGUUAGACUCGUAUUGAUGAGUAGAUUAUAUUUUUGAUAUUGUGAUGGCAUUUUGGAGAUUGUGAAGUGAAGACGAGUAUAUGGUGCUUGAAGUGUGAUUUUGCGAUUUAGCCUUGAGGUAGACUUCUGUCUACUCUUCUUCAUGGAUGAUUGUAACACCCCGUAUUUAAGUACAUAUAUUGGCGUAUUCAAGUACGUGUAUUGGUCUUAUUUAUAUGGAAUUAAUUUUAUUUUAUUUUAUUUAUACCAGAAUUUGCCUGUCGAUGGUUCCAUAUGAAGGUUAUUGAAUAAGCUUUCCAACGAUAUAAAGAUUUCCAAAAACGGAUAGGUUUCGGAUAUAAUCGAGCACGUUCGAAACUAUAAAACGGUGGCCGGGAUAUUUGGGAAUAGUAAAUGUGCAGGAAAAUUUCCUGCACACAAACUACUGAGGUCAGUCAUUUUUUUUGGGUCAACUUUGAACGAUCAUAACUCCCUUAAUAUAAUGAACUGGGAGAUUUUCCACCUAUGAAAAGAAAGAUCUUUGAGUCUUCUUUCCAAUGCAAUUGGUUUCAUCCAAAUCCGACAUCUGAGUAAUGAGUUAUACUCGUUUUACUUCAGCCUCUCAAAAUAGAUUUUUAGGGUCAACUUCAAACGAUCAUAACUCCUUGUACAGGACGAACUGGGUGGCCUACUUUAUAUUAAAUGAAAGCCCUUUGAAUUAUCUUUCCAACGAUACCAAUUUCACCCAAAUCCGAUAUCGGAGCAAAGAGUUAUGGUCGAUUUACUUUAGCCUAUCAAAACAGUCCACCAUGGACAGAUUCGGAUUUACUUAAAUUUUAAGGGCAAUAUGGUCAUUUUCCAUCACCUCAUGGACGAAAAUUGGUCAUUAUANNNNNNNNNNNNNNNNNNNNNNNNNNNNNNNNNNNNNNNNNNNNNNNNNNNNNNNNNNNNNNNNNNNNNNNNNNNNNNNNNNNNNNNNNNNNNNNNNNNNNNNNNNNNNNNNNNNNNNNNNNNNNNNNNNNNNNNNNNNNNNNNNNNNNNNNNNNNNNNNNNNNNNNNNNNNNNNNNNNNNNNNNNNNNNNNNNNNNNNNNNNNNNNNNNNNNNNNNNNNNNNNNNNNNNNNNNNNNNNNNNNNNNNNNNNNNNNNNNNNNNNNNNNNNNNNNNNNNNNNNNNNNNNNNNNNNNNNNNNNNNNNNNNNNNNNNNNNNNNNNNNNNNNNNNNNNNNNNNNNNNNNNNNNNNNNNNNNNNNNNNNNNNNNNNNNNNNNNNNNNNNNNNNNNNNNNNNNNNNNNNNNNNNNNNNNNNNNNNNNNNNNNNNNNNNNNNNNNNNNNNNNNNNNNNNNNNNNNNNNNNNNNNNNNNNNNNNNNNNNNNNNNNNNNNNNNNNNNNNNNNNNNNNNNNNNNNNNNNNNNNNNNNNNNNNNNNNNNNNNNNNNNNNNNNNNNNNNNNNNNNNNNNNNNNNNNNNNNNNNNNNNNNNNNNNNNNNNNNNNNNNNNNNNNNNNNNNNNNNNNNNNNNNNNNNNNNNNNNNNNNNNNNNNNNNNNNNNNNNNNNNNNNNNNNNNNNNNNNNNNNNNNNNNNNNNNNNNNNNNNNNNNNNNNNNNNNNNNNNNNNNNNNNNNNNNNNNNNNNNNNNNNNNNNNNNNNNNNNNNNNNNNNNNNNNNNNNNNNNNNNNNNNNNNNNNNNNNNNNNNNNNNNNNNNNNNNNNNNNNNNNNNNNNNNNNNNNNNNNNNNNNNNNNNNNNNNNNNNNNNNNNNNNNNNNNNNNNNNNNNNNNNNNNNNNNNNNNNNNNNNNNNNNNNNNNNNNNNNNNNNNNNNNNNNNNNNNNNNNNNNNNNNNNNNNNNNNNNNNNNNNNNNNNNNNNNNNNNNNNNNNNNNNNNNNNNNNNNNNNNNNNNNNNNNNNNNNNNNNNNNNNNNNNNNNNNNNNNNNNNNNNNNNNNNNNNNNNNNNNNNNNNNNNNNNNNNNNNNNNNNNNNNNNNNNNNNNNNNNNNNNNNNNNNNNNNNNNNNNNNNNNNNNNNNNNNNNNNNNNNNNNNNNNNNNNNNNNNNNNNNNNNNNNNNNNNNNNNNNNNNNNNNNNNNNNNNNNNNNNNNNNNNNNNNNNNNNNNNNNNNNNNNNNNNNNNNNNNNNNNNNNNNNNNNNNNNNNNNNNNNNNNNNNNNNNNNNNNNNNNNNNNNNNNNNNNNNNNNNNNNNGAAGCACAAUAGUGCAAUAUGGGUAUCGUUAGACUCGUAUUGAUGAGUAGAUUAUAUUUUUGAUAGUGCGGUGGCAUUUUGGGGAGUGGGAAGUGAAGACGAGCAUGUGGUGCUUGACGUGUGAUUUUGCGAUUUAGCCUUAAGGUAAGCUUCUGUCUACUCUUCUUCAUGGAUGAUGUAUGAUAUAUAUUGUGUGAAUGUGAAUGAUAAGAUUAAUAUUGAAUAGAAUGACUUAGUAUUGAAUAUACAUAUAAGUUUGGAGAUUAGAUAGGGUUUUUGACCCGUAGGUUGAAUUACUUAGUAACCUUGUAGAAUCCUAUUGCCUUCUCCCUAGUUUGGGUAAAUUUGUAGCAUGGAUAUGAUAUAAUGCUAUGCUCGGAAUAUGGUUUUAGCAUUUGAAGCAUGAUUUGUAUAUUUAGCCUUAUUGGGCUAGUGUGAUAGUUUUGAAACCGUAAGUUUGAUAGAGUUAACUUGAGUACCCUUGUUUCUAAUCGAAGUUACUAUCUUAGGCGAUAAUAUGGCUUGCUUGACAUCUAGAGGAUGAACUAGAUACCUUAGCCUAGUUUGGAGCAUAGUAUGCUUAAUAAUGGAUUAGAAGUGGGAUUAUCCGGCCCACUUAGGCUAAGAUUUGUGUUAGCCCUUGUGGGCUUAGUUGCAGAUAGUAGACCUAGUUGAGACUAAUGAGCCUUAUUUAUGAGAAUUACUUGGUGAAUUGAUAAAUUAUGAUGAUUUUUGUCGGAUUAUGAUUAGUGGCCCAUAGAGAUGCAUUUUUCUCUUUAUUAUGAUAUUUGACCCAUAGAGAUGCAUUUUCCUCUUUAUUAUGAUAUUUGACCCAUAGAGAUGCAUUUUCCUCUUAAUUAUGAUAUUUUGUCCAUGGAAAUCAUUUUCCUCUUAAUUAUGAUAUUUUGUCCAUGGAAAUGCAUUUUCCUCUUUAUUAUGAUAUUUGGACCAUAGAGAUGCAUUUUUCUCUUAAUUAUGAUAUUUUGCCCAUGGAGAUGUAUUUUCCUCUUUAUUAUGAUAUUUGGCCCAUAGAGAUGCAUUUUCCUCUUUAUUAUAAUAUUUGGUCCAUAGAGAUGCAUUUUUCUCUUAAUUAUGAUAAUUUGCCCAUAGAGAUGCAUUUUUCUCUUAAUUAUGAUAUUUUGCCUAUAGAGAUGCAUUUUCCUCUUAGUUACGAUAUUUGGCCCAUAGAGAUGAGUUUCCUCUUUGUUAUAAUUAUUGAGCUUAUAGAGACGAUUUUUCUCUUGAUCAUGAUGCAAAACCUAUAGAUAUGAGAUGUCUAAUAGGGUUGAUAUGCUUGUUGAUAUUAUGCCUUCUAGAUGUGAGAUGAUUAUAGAUAUGCUACGGUUUAUAAAUAUGAUUAUUGAUAUGAGUUCCGGAUAUGUAUAUAGGCCUAAGGCCAUGAUUAUGAUGUUGUGAUUAUUCCGGAUAAAUUAAUGGGCCAAGGACCGUGUUAUGGUACUGAUUAAAUAUCCAAAAAGUGUUUAUCAUUGUGAAUGAUGUGAUUGCGAUUUAUGGAUAUGUAUAUGUUUGUAUACACAUCUCUCCGAUAUGGGACGGAGGAAGAUGCGGUAUGAUACUUAUUAUUUCAUUGAUUGAAUACUAGUGAUAGCAUGCAUAAGUUUGGUACGUUCAUGAUUAUUUACCAUUAUAAAUGAUGUGAUUAUAGCCGAAAUAUGAUAUUAUGGUUUUUCUUCUUGUUAGACGGUUAAGCUAUGUGGUAACUAGUUGUCUAUUAGCUAACUAUUGCACUUAAUGGCUAUGAAACUAAUGUAUUAAUUAAUGAAUCUUGCUUAGUUGGAACAUGGUAGCUAACGAUGGUCAGUUAAUGAAUGAUGUCAUUUAAUAAAAGAUGGUUAGGUGACAAGUAGUAAUGUGUUGUCUAGUAAUGAUUAACAAAAAUAGGAUGAAUAGCUGAUAAUAAUAAAUGGUAGAUAAAUGACGGAUUUGGUCUAAUGAUGAACCUAGACUAGUUGUUAGAUGUUGACUAUUAAAUGAAUAGUGGUUAGUUGUUAUCUCGUGAAUAAGGAUUAUGUGAACGAUAAUGUUUAGGCUAAUAACUAGAGGUUAUGUGAUGACUAGCGAACUAGCGGUUUAAUAAUAAUAAAUGUUGAUUAGCUAAUAACAAGUAAUUGGGAUGUAUUGAUAAGAUAGAUAUCUUUACGGUUAUGAGUAUAUAGGCUUGCGUCUGUGCACCUAUUAUAUGCCUAUAUUUAUGUGUCGAGAGUUAUGAUGAUACAUUGAUACCCGAUAAGGCCGGAGGAUAUUAUGAUGAUAUUGAUACCCGGUUCGAGUCCGGAGGAUACUAUUGAGAUGAUAUUGAUACCCGGCAAGAUUGGAGGAUAUUAUGAUGAUAUUAAUACCCGGUUCAAGUUCGGAGGAUACUAUUGAGAUGAUAUUGAUACCCGACAAGGCCGAAAGAUAUUAUGAUAUGUAACACCCCGUACUUAAUUACGUGCAUUAGUCAUUGUUAUAUGUGUUGGGGUAUAUGUAUUGAUCCUAAGUUAGGUAUAUAUGAGUUUAAGUAUGAGUAUUGAUUAUUUUGAGAUGGUUUCAAGUGUAUAGUUUGAUUAUAGGUGUAUAGGAAUCGACUUUAUUUAUACCGGAAUUUUCACGUCGAUGGUUCCAUACGAAGGUUCUUGAAUAAGCUUUCCAACGAUAUAAAGAUUUCCAAAAACGGAUACGUUGCGGAUAUAAUCGAGCACGUUCGAAACUAUAAAACGGUGGCCGGGAUGUUGUGAACAGUAAAUGUGCAGGAAAAUUUCCUGCACACAAACUACUGAGGCCUGCCAGUUUUUUGGGUCAACUUUGAACGAUCAUAACUCCCUCAAUAUAAUGAACUGGUUGAGCUACCAUAUAUCAAAAGAAAGAUCUUUGAGUCUUCUUUCCAAUGAAAUUGGUUUCAUCCAAAUCCAACAUCUGAGUAAGGAGUUAUACUCGUUUUACUUCAGCCUCUCAAAACAGAUUUUUAGGGUCAACUUCAAACGAUCAUAACUCCUUGUACAGGACGAAAUGGGUGGCCUACUUUAUAUGAAAUGAAAGUCCUUUGAAUUAUAUUUCCAACAAUACCAAUUUAACCCAAAUCCGAUAUCGGAGCAAAGAGUUAUGGCCGAUUUACUUUAGCCUAUCAAAACAGUCCACCAUGGACAGAUUCGGAUUUACUUAAAUUUUUAAGGGCAAUAUGGUCAUUUUCCAUCACCUCUUGAACGAAAAUUGGUCAUUAUAUACAUAUACUUAGCCUCAUAUCCAUUAUUUAUCAUCCAUUAUUGAAAACUAAGAAACCCUAGCCAAAUUUCAACUCCAAUUAUCUUGUGAUUCAACCGUAGAAAAUCCAAAUUGAUUCCGUAGUUGUGUUCACCGUCUCAAGGGCUUCGAGAAGCACCCCUUAUUUGUGCCAACAGGACUUCGAAAUCAAAAGGGCCAUUUUUUUGGUAAGGAUGUAAAUUAUGUUGGUGUUAUUUAUAUGGAUAUGUAUAUAUAUAUAUAUAUGCAUGUGAGCAUAAGAAGUAUGUUAUUUGAUUGUUGUUGAAAGAUGAUUGGAAAUGAUGUUGGAUUAUUCUUGUGCAUGGUUGGAUUAUGUUAAAUUGUGAAGGAAUUUGGGGUGAUGAUGUGGUAUUGAUGAUGUGGUAUUGAAAUGAUGAUUAUAUAUAUAUACACACAUAAACCUAUUGUUCAAGUUGGUUUUUGGAAUGUUUUGCAAAUAUUGGUAGUAUGGAAUUAUGGAAGAGAAUUGUGGUGUUGGGUUGCUAAUACUAGAUGCCAAACAUUUCAUUGUAGAUAAGUGAUUUGUAAAGGCGGGAAGUUGUGUUGAAUUGGUAUCUGAAUCUACAACGAGGUAUGUAAAGCAUACUCUAACAAUGUUCUUUGGCAUGAAAACACCAAUGUUCCAUCAAGUAAGAUUCCGAGGUUGUCCAAAAACAUGUAUUGUUCUACGUUACCAACGAAGUUGUUUCCAUUCUAUAAAGUGUCAAAAUGUUUCAUUGAUAUACCAAAAGGCUCUUAUUUCAUUGUUGUGAUAUUGAUGAUUCUGAAACACAUUGUUGAUGUACCAAUGAGUCUUUAUUACAUCGUUAUUGUAUAGAAGGUCUAUUACUUGGUUCCUAUUGAUGUAUCAUUGUUUCAAAGUAUCAAAAAUGUGGUGGCGACCGAAAUAACAAUCUCAAAGAUUAAUUGAACUAAGUGAUGAAAGUUCUCUCUUAUCGGGUGGUAUCCCAGGGGCAUAAGCCUAGCAUGGGUCGAUCCCUAUUUCAUGUGUUUAUGGGUGGUAUCCCAGGGGCAUAAGCCUAGCAUGGGUCGAUCCCAGUUGAUAUGUACUGGAGGCAUCCUAAUGGUCACAGUACAGUACAGUAAUGAUUACAAAGACGAUAAGAACGAAGGUAAAGUGAUUGAAUAAAUACAAUGUACAGGUUGUCACAAGUUCUAGUAAGUGUGGUCCACUCCUAUUACGACUUAUUCACUUGUUUCUGAUUUCUAUUGAGCUCCUAUAUCAUAUGUGAUUAUUUACAGCUUUACAUACUCAGUACAUAUUUCGUACUGACGUCCCUCACGGGGGACCUGCAUUUCAUGCUGCAGGCACAGGUACCUCAGCUCAUACACCGCCCAAGUAGGAGCCAGGUCAUACAACUAUUGUUGGUGAGCUCCAGUUUGCUUCGGAGCUUUUCGAGUCGGUUCCUUAUGUUUUGUUAUUGUACAUGAGUCAUGUGUGGGCGGGGGUUUAUCCCGACCCUAGUUAUGUCAUGUAUAUCCUAGAGGCUUUGUAGACAUAAGGGAGGGUAAAGUCAUGGAAGUUUAUAUAGUAACGUUAUAUUUGUAUAUGUGGUGGCCUAUAUAUAUAUAUAUUUGCGCGUGUUGUGCUGAUACAGGUAAUUAGACCCUUCUAUAUGCAACGAAGUGCUGUCCAAUUUUUGGUGACAUGUAAGUGAAAGUACAGGUAUUUGAACGGGUUCUCCCGGGCCUUCUCGGCUUCGGGUGCCAGUCCGGCCCGAUGGGAUUUUGGGGCGUGACAGAUAUUGAUACCCGGUUCGAGUCCAGAAGAUACUAUUAAGAUGAUAUUGAUACCCAGCAAAGCUAUUGAUACCCGGUUCGAGUCCGGAGGAUAUCAUUGAGAUGAUAUUGAUAUCCGAUGAGGCCGGAGGUUGAUGACGAUGAUGAUGGUCCUGAUGAGGACAGUUAUGAUGCAUUGUGAUAUUGAUGGUAUAUUUUGCAUUCAUUCCUGCAUGCGCAUCGCCUAUCACCAGUAAGCACCUAUGUCUAUCAAUCGGUAUGGGACGGUUGCAUAGAUAUGGGUGAAGAAUAUGUCUUGUGUUAUUGUUUGUUAAUUGAACCUUCCAAGUCUGGGGUGAUGGGGGUACACAUAGGCUCGGCUAGGUAUUUGAUUGUCCGGAGUAGCCAGUUAUUUAUGAUGUUAUUGAUAUUGUUAUUAUCAUGGUUAUGAUCAUUAUUAUGGAUAACUUAUGACAGAUUGGUCAUGGAUCCGGUAUUGGGAUUGAGGUAUGUUUUCGACCUUUGUUAUCUUAUGAUUAGAUUAUUAUGCAUGAUUAUUCUAUGUCUAGCCAUAUGGAUUAGAAAUCCUGAGUAUGUUGGUAUUGAAUCCUGAUAGUAUUAUAAUGAGGUCUUAAAAUGAGAACAUGAUGAUGUAGGUUAUGUUGAAAUGACCUUCUAUUUUUAUAUAUAUAUAUAGAGAGAGAGCUAUAUGAAGUCAUGGUACUAUUGGAUAUCCCUUUCUUCGUUGUUCAUAUUGUAUAGUCGUUCCUUCGCCUUGUCUAUUACAAUAUAUCUUUAUUUCGCUCUUUAUCUGUAUAUUGACCUGGGAUACACGGUAUAGCUUUGGCAUAUAUUGAAUGUAGCUGGAAUAAAAUAGUACACCUUGAUACUUCGUUAGUCUUAUUAUGUUAGACUCUUGGACAUGAAUAUGAUAGUUGUCCCUUGUUAUUCUCAUUGACUUAUUACAUGAUUUAUGGACUCUUGGUUGUAUUUUUCAUUCUGUUUAUAUGUUGUAUAUAUCUACUUUAUCUUUGGAGCUCAGUUGGUAGUUGCCUACUGAGUACCAUUCGUUUGGUACUCAUACUACACCUCUGCAGCCUGCAGAUCAUAGUACGAGUUGUCGCCGUUGAUGUGUUCAUCGUGUGGAGUAGCCCUGAUUCAGAGUGAGCUCCUGACAUUUGGAGUAUUACUUAUCUCUCUCCUAUGUAUUAGACUAACCUCUAAGUUGUAUUUAGAGGUAAGUUGAAUUAGUGUAUUUCUCCUUGAUAUAUCACUUUUGUACUCUUAUUAUAUUUAGAAGCUCUUGUAUUGAUACCACCAGGUUUUGGGAUUCGUCUAUGUAUGAUCUUUAUCUCACAUAUUUCGCAUUUUUUUCUUUAUGUUAUUAAGUAGUCCGUUACUAGCCAUUCCGGACUAUGGGUUGGCUUGCCUACUGGUGGGUUAUGUUAGGCGCCAUCAUGACCUGAAAAGUUGGGUCGUGACAUUUGGGUUGGGGGCUUGUCCACCGAGUUAAGGGCGGGUCUCAUAUAGCCCGUGGGAUACUUUCAGAUAUGUAGGGUGUACCACCUAACUCAGAAGUAAAACAAAAAAAUGAAUUGCAUCUACAGAAUUGUUUUAAGAUCAUUUGAAAUUGCCCAUGCAUUUUAAAUUAUUUUAUGCAUAACAUUUUAUGAAAUGCUCUUGCUUAUGUUAUAUAUAAAAUUAUAUUAUUUUGGAUUGCUCUGUGUAUUAGUACAUCUGUAUUGACCCCCUAUAUUUCAGGGUGUGAGGCUUAGUCAAGGGGUCCCUCUAAGCCGUAGAUUUGUCAGACAGAGGUGUGCAGUUGGUAAGUCUCCCUUAUUUUGGAAGACCUAUUUUUUUUUACAUUGUUAUUUCAUUUUGGGUUGUAGGUCCGACUAGGGGACUUGUCCCAGUAUUCAGACAAUAGUGUUUUUGAGUUGUUGGAGAUUUCACAAACUAGUGUCAGGUGCUUUUGAAUGUAUCAUGAACUCAAUUUUGUGUUGUUCAGUUGAAGUAAAAGAAUGACCAUGAUUUCGUAUGAUAACUUUUCCACACUUCUGUAUAUUGUAUGAACAUUGUGUAUGGUUGCCAGAUAAAAAAGGGGCGCUCGGGCCUUCACGGGUUCGAGAUGCUCGUCGCGGCCAGGGCCUCGAUUCGGGUAGUGACAAUUAGCAUCUUAAUACAUAAUUAGCAUCUAAAUACAUAAUUGUAAUGUUGAGAUACAUAAUUUAAUUACUGAGAUACAUUUAUUUCUGAAACUAUUUGAUAGAGAUACAUAAUGCAUUAACUAGACCAAAGAGAGAUACAUAAUUAAUUAUGUAUCUAAAAAUUAUGUGUUUGUGGAUGUAUCCGACUGAUUUUAAAAAAAAUGAGAUUUAGGUCAUUAAUAAAAAGAGUAGAAUUUUACGUAAUUUAGUAAAGAUAAGUUGUGGUGUUAUGUAAGUUUUUUUUUUUAAUUAAAUGAAAAAAAUACUCAAAACUAUAAUCUAAGUUUCUAUUAUUACAUAACUACUCAACUAUCAAAAAUAAUUAUAAAAAUCUCUUUUUGACACUUUCUCUCUUCAAACUUCAUAUACAUAUUUCUGUUAUCCUUUUCUUACACUUAAUGCUCCAAAAAAAGUGUCUAACAUCAAGGAACCUCAAUCAAACGAUUUUCAAAUUUUGAAUUUACAAAUGUGUUCUUCGCAAAUCGCUCAACAUCAACUUUUCCACAAAAAGGAACCACAACCGCCACAGUCCCAGCCAUCAUGUCGCCAACUAGUCUCCCCUCAUUAACAACGACCAAUGAAGGCUUCACCGGUUACCGUUGCUCCACCAUCACUAGACCAUUACCUUAACCCCCCACCCUUUCUUAUGUCAAUACCGCGCCGCUAACACAUGCUCCAUCCAAGAUUGAUCCCAACAACUGCGUCGAGUGGCCAGAGAGAGGUCCGCGACGACCACCAGUCAAACCCUAAAAUUUUUUCUCAUCCCGCGAGUUCUGAAAAUACUUCGAUGAUUUGAGCAUUGACGAAAUUUCAACGCCGAUUCAAAGACAAGGAAAGUUUCAACAUCGAGUCAAAUACUUAUCAUGUAUCAGAAUAAGUUGUUAUUUCAAUAAUAUACAUAACAUAGUUAUGUAUAUGGAUGGUUAAAACGGUAAAGACAAUAUAAUCUGAUGCAUAACACAUGAAUGUAUACAUAUGACAUUUGACAUUGCUGAGAGUUUUUAUAUCACAUCAUAUACAUAACAUAUAUGUUUGACAUAGACAUUGCUGGGUUGUUUUACUUCAAAAAGUAUACAUAACAAAGGUAUGUCUAUGUAUGCUAUACAAAUUGUUGAGUUGUUUUAUUUUAAACCAUAUGCAUAAAAAAGUUAUGUAUAUAUUUGACCUAGACAUUGUUGGGCUUUUUCAUUCCAAAUUUAUAUACGUAACAGAGUUACGUAUAUGUAUGACAUACAGAUUGCUGAGUUAUUUUAUUUUAACCCAUAUACAUAACAUAGAAAUUUAAUGCAAAGUUCUUGGUGUUGAAUAUAGCCUCAACUAUUAGGAGAGCUCUUAUUUUCAUAUCACCAAUACAUAACUAUGUUAUGUGUAUGGAAUACAUAAGCAAUUGCACAUGUGUGUUGACGCAUCUCGCAACAUAUACAUAUCAUAGUUUUGUAUAGGACUCUGUUCGACCUGUUUAAUUGUAUUAUUUCAAUCUAUAUACAUGUCACACUUUUGUAUAUAGAAGAAUGUUAGCCAUUGCUCAACUGUAUUAUCAGUAUUGAAAAUUUUUGUUAGAAAUUAAAUUAAUAUUAAUUUGCAAUGUAUAUUAUUAUAGGAGAUGGAAUACAUCAAAUGCCUCAAUAAUAUUGGAAUGUUCAUCUUUUUGAGAAAUUCUUUUGAAAAAUAGAGCUUGAGAAAAAUCGCAAAUUAUUGAUCGAAAAUAUAAAAUCUGAUGUUAUUUGAUCGACUACAUUGAUUUUGUAUUUCAAAAAUUUUAAAAUUUAAAUUUAUUACUGAUUUUAAGGGAUUCAAUGUUCACUCAUUGAUAGAUAUGACGUUAAUUGCGUUCCACAUUAAAGGAAGACGUGGGUAAUGUGAUAGACAUUUAACUCUGAUAUUUGGUUGAAAUUAAUAGAAUGUUUUUGUAAAAAUAAAAGAAUAAGAUCAUUCGUAACAAUAAAUAAAGUUGAAAUUUGUGUCAUGGCCAAACAUUUUAACUUUUUACUAAAGUGAAAUAAUUUUUUAAAAAAUAAAAAAUUGUUUUGUCCAAACGGGUCCUAAAAGGUGGGAGGGAGUAACAAUUAGUAGUAGUCGGUGAUCGGCUCCUUCAAUCAACGGCUCAUAUUCAGUUUCCGCCUCUCACAUGGAUCGACAUUUCUAUCCGUCCGAUUAACAUGUAAAUCCCCGAAUAUUUAACGGCUGCGAUUUACUCCCCGCCACAUUUCGAACCGCGAAAAUUCAUGGCGCCCAAAUCCCCAAAUAUUAAAUACCCACCACGGUAUACUUCAUUUCUCAUUCAAAUUCAAAACCCUUGAAACUGUAUCUUCUUCAAAUUUCUCUUCGUGAAAAUGUCUGGCCGCGGAAAGGGAGGCAAGGGAUUGGGAAAGGGAGGAGCCAAGAGGCACAGGAAGGUUCUAAGAGACAACAUCCAGGGAAUUACCAAGCCAGCCAUCCGUAGGCUUGCUCGUAGGGGUGGUGUGAAGCGUAUCUCCGGUCUGAUCUAUGAGGAGACUCGUGGUGUGCUCAAGAUCUUUUUGGAGAACGUGAUUCGUGAUUCGGUUACCUACACUGAGCAUGCCAGGAGGAAGACCGUUACUGCUAUGGAUGUUGUUUAUGCUCUUAAGAGGCAGGGAAGGACUCUGUACGGAUUUGGUGGUUAAAUUGCAGAAGUUGUGAAUUAGAUCAGUUGUUAGGUGGUUGAUGUAGAUCUGAUGGAAAUUUCUGUGUUUUGGUUUCUAAAACGUUGUUCUAGUUCUUAAGCUUUGGAUGGUGAAUUUCUCAUUGCAUUUUCAAUGAACAAUGUUCAGUUUCUAGAAAUUUCUAUUGUUAUUUUCCAUCUUACUAGUAUUGUUGAUAAUUGGUUGAAAUGACUUUUACUAUUUGUGCAAUUCAGAUUUAUACAUUCAUGAAAUGCACCAAUUUUCUUUCCAUUUCUCCGUUGUUGAGAAAGCUGAAAGGUGGAUAAGCAUUAACUUUGUGGGCACAGUAUCUAAGUUUCUAGCUUGAGCGAUUCAAUCUGGAGAGGGCCAUGUUUUAAUUUUGUUUUUUAAAAUAUCCACUUGCUUUUUGUCCGCUGUUUCUUGAUAAUUUGAAUGGUUAGAGUGUGUUUAAUUGUAGUUUGCUUUAGUAGCUGAUUAUCUUGAUAUUGAUUUGUUGUCUCAUAUCUAAAUUGUAGCUCAUUUCCUUCUUACCUUGAUGACUUUUGCUCUCUUCUGAACUAGUGUUUGUGAAUAUCCUCUUCAUGUGCUUAAUUGUCUAAAAUCACACGGGAUGGGUUUAGGCAACGAGUUGUGGUUCAUUUCAAAUUGAAUUUUGUUGUUUUGUUGAGCUAUUUUUCAAUUUUUUCCUGUUCCUUAAAUCAUCUUGAUUUGUCAUCUUUUGGAGAUUUGACUUGAUUGAGUUGAAUUUGCUUUGUGUUAUGGUGCUCUUUCCUUAGGCAUAUAUGUCUGCUCUACCCUGUACUUGAAUUUUGUGGAAUGAGUUAACUGCGUGCUGAGUGAUGAUAUAAGUAAGCAGCUAAGUGGUUCAUGGGUCUUACGGCAACAUACCUAGACUUCUUCAUAUGUCUAGACUAGAAUUUUAAGUCUGUUAGUAGUUUGCAUCACUGCUUUAUUUCGACUUGGAUAAUUGGGCAGCCUUCGAGUUUCUUUUGCAUGAUGGUUUGGACUCUCACAAGGUUGGUCUUUUUUCUAAAUUCUAAUGCGUCUUUCUGAAGUAGGAAAGAGAUCUGCAAAGCAGAUCCAUCUUCGUAAGAAUAUCUGCAGAGCUCAACAUCUAUUUGUUUCAAAAUUUUAGAACUUAUCACAUUAUAGUUAGGAGAAACUGCACUCAAUAGCCUCAAUAUACACUCUGAUAUAUCCACAAAACAUGAAGUAGCAUGACGGUCACAUUUCAGUCAUCAGGCUCCUAUUUCCUUUUGAUCUUAAAUUUUGAAGCUGUCUCAACAGUUAGGUCUUUGUAGUAUUGGUUUACAUAUUCAUCACAAUAUCAGUCCUUUGAAAUUUAUUCAUGGUUAAAUAACAUACCCUAUGUGAUCUUGUAAGUCGGAUUUAGGGAGAGUGGGUAUACGUUGUUGGGUUCAAUAUGUAUGAAAAAUGUGUGAAUGGAAAAUAGAGAGAAAAUGGUGGAAGGAAGGAGACACUAAUUUAGAACGUGUACUCCCAAAUUGGAAAUUUCACUAAUUCUCCCACAUUGGUGGGAGAAGGGAACUUUGGAGUGUUUAUAAUGAUGAACACUUACUCCACAUGGUAAGUGAGGCAAGAAGUAAGAGAUGACUUGCGCCGUUGUCGCUUGCGCGGCUCGGAUUUGGAUUUUUCAAAUGAUCGAUCGAUGAGAUCUAUUUUUUGGACAAAAUUUAUUUGAAUUCUGAAAAAUACCAAAGGGAAAAAUGAAUAACGCACUAAAUAUUUUCUGUGUUUAAUACUCCAUUUAUAUGCACUUCAGUAGUGUUUCGAAACAUGCAUGCAGAAGCUAUUUCGAACUGAACAGAUGCUUCAGAAGGAUGCACUGUUUCGAACUGAUGCUUCUGAAGGAUGCAAUCCUUCAACGAAAUGAUACACUGUUUCAUGAAAUGAUACGCCUGUUCGGAACAAACAUAGUCCUUGGAGAAACAGACGUAAUUUUCCAGAAAAGGUGCAAUCUUUUAAGUGAACUAUUGCCACCUUUCAGAAGAGGCAUCUGAUGGUUAUAAAAACCUGCUUUCAUCCACAGGUUUGGAUAUGAAUGAAAUUUUUUUCUGAAAUAAAAACUCUUCUUGUCUUCAAAACAUUCCUUGUGAUCAAUCAAAUCGUUGAGUGAGUUCGUUGAAUUCAACAAUUUGAGGUAUCGCUGUUGUUCGGAUUGAAGACCAUUUUAUCCUGGGAGGAAGAUUUAUAACCUCGAGUACAGUGAGGGGAAUUAUUCCUUAAGGACAGUCCGUGAAGUCGGGGAACUUGGCCUUAAAAUUCUAUUUCAUCUCUUUUCUGAAAAAAAAAAAAAUUAACACACUUCUUAGAUAGAUUAUUCAUAAUCUAGUGUUGAAGGUGUUAAAGAACUUCAAAAGUGUUCUUGCCUUAGACUUGAACUAGUAUUGAAGUUGGUGUUGCAUUUUAUAUCGAAGUUGGUGUUGCAUUUUAUAUUGAAGUUGGUGUUGCAUUUUAUACAGAUUCUUGAAUCCAAAACAUUACAUAAAAUAACGUACGUAGACCUUACCCUGCCUCAUAUGUGAGAGAGACUGUUUCGUCUAGACACUUGGCUUAAAGAACAAUUUUUUGCAAAGCAGGUUGACAAAUAUAAGAAUAAAAGCUAUAAUCAUUAUAUAGUGUGUAAAAUAGAAGUACUGACCAAAAUAAAAGUAAAGAUAACCCAAGUAAAAAAUAAGUAGUAGGAGUUAGUUUCUCAAAUUGUCAUUUCAAAUUGAAUUCAGGAUUGGAAGAGGUAUCAAGGUUCCGUGGUGUAGUUAAUUAUCACGUUAGUCUAACACACUGAAGGUCUCCGGUUUGAGUCUGGGCAAAACCAAUUUUAAUCUCUUUUUUUUUUUUUUUCGUUAGUUUUGCUGCAACUUACUCAAGAAGCCAGGGUCCUUGUGUUGAGACUUGCUUUGGUGAAAGGAAAACUUUACUACGAAUUCACGGCAAACAGGACUACAGGAUUUGAAUUAGCUCAAUCAGCAAUUUUUUUGAGUUUUCCUGAUGUGCCAAACUGGAUUGGUGCUGAAACUUUAAGGAGUCUUAUUGGGAGGCUAGAUGCUUCGGAAAUCAAGUUUACUUAUGUCUAGAUUGCAAUAGCAACUUGCCAAAAGGUAUAUUUUGCUAUCCAAGAAAAUUUAACGACAAAUAUGAAAGUAUAGCAGUCGCAGGUAAUCAGCUUAGAAAUAGACAGGAUAUUCUUCUGUCAAACUCUAAACUUCACAACGUGUGAAAUCAGAAGACAACAAGUUCCCUGCUUUUAUGCAUAAGACUUGAGCAAAUACCAAUUCCAUCCUAAGAAAUUGACAUGAAUCAGAUAGACGAGUUACACAGAGGAAAAUAAAUAAGCACUGCAAAAGAUAUGGGAGACCGCCCCAUAUCUUCAGGGUGAGAGCGAAAAUCGAAAACCAUUAGGUUCACAAUUUUCAAACGUAUGUUAAGUAGCAAAACAUCAUCUUUCCCAAUACUAAAGUUCAGUAGCAUUUAGUGUCAAGUAAAAUAUAAGGAAAUAGAUCAGUAAUCUAGUAGUAACUUUUAACUAGUCGAUUAUACUCAAAUGUUUGACAGAUGACUUGUAUCCAGAAAUUAAAAACAAACUAAGAGCAUAUAGAGAAUGGUAGUACUGCAAUCUCAAAACAGAAUACCACACAAUUAUGGAAUUAGCAUUUUGCGUAAGUAUGAAGUCUAAUUACUCUAUUCAAAAAGUGUAUAUCUUUCUGCAUUUUGAUCAGCAUGAAUAGGCUAUCAAUGUAUGCAUUUUCAUCAUUAGUUGGUUCAUAUUAUCUAUAUCAUCAGCCAGUUGAUCAACAUCUUCAUUCAGUUCAUUGGGGUGCCUCCAUCUUGAUCAUGAUUUUGUUCCCUUUUGGAAUUGGAGCUUGUUUGCUUGUGGCGUUUCAAAGAAAUUCAUGCGAGCUUUGAUCUACCGUAAAUAAUAUCAUAUUAUGUUAAAAUAUCUUAAAUUAUUUUAGUCCAACAAUUGAUAUGAGUCUAUGGUUGACUAAGGAGAUGGGGGAGUGAUGAUGUAAGUCCCAACUUAGUUCCUUUGCCCGUUUACUUGUUGAUGUUCUAUUCUUAUCUAUAGUUUUAAAGAUGCAUACAUAAAAAAAGAAAAGUAUUUAUGGUUGUAUUAGCCACAACUACUCGGUCGAUUUUUUUUUUUUUAUAUAAUACUUUUGUACAUCCUAUUUUAUAUGACACACUUUUCUUUUUAAUCCGUCCAAAAAAAAUCUGACCUCACUAUAAUUAGAAAAAAAAAUAUGUAACUUUAAAAUUUUCCUUAAUGAAAUGAUUUGCAAUCAUAUAAACAUUCAAAACUAAUUUCAAACUACAUAUUUAAAAAUCACAUAAAAUGAAACGGAGGAAGUAAUAAUUAAAUAGUAACGAGCUGCGAGAAAGAGAAAACAAAUGCCUAAAUCUUCUUUCACAUGGAUCGUAUCCCCGUCCAAUCAUAUUCAGUUUCCGCCUCUCACAUGGAUCGACAAUUCUAUCCGUCGGAUUAACAAGUAAAUCCCCAAAUAUUUAACGGCUGCAAUUUACCCCCCGCCACAUUUCGAACCGCGAAAAUUCACGGCGCCCAAAUCCCCCAAAUAUAAAUAUCCACCACCAUCUACUUUACUUUUCAUUCAAAUUCAAAACCCUAGUAUCUUUUUCUUCUUCAAAUUUCUGUGUGUGAAAAUGUCUGGUCGUGGAAAGGGAGGCAAAGGAUUGGGAAAGGGAGGAGCCAAGAGGCACAGGAAGGUUCUGAGAGACAACAUCCAGGGAAUUACCAAGCCAGCUAUUCGUAGGCUUGCUCGUAGGGGUGGUGUGAAGCGUAUCUCCGGUCUGAUCUACGAGGAAACCCGUGGAGUUCUCAAGAUCUUUUUGGAGAACGUGAUUCGUGAUUCAGUUACCUACACUGAGCAUGCCAGGAGGAAGACUGUUACUGCUAUGGAUGUUGUUUAUGCCCUCAAGAGGCAGGGAAGAACUCUCUAUGGAUUUGGUGGUUAGAGCAGUUGUUAGGUAGUAGAUGUAGAUGUGAUGGAAAUUUAUGCUGUUUCUGUAUUUU